UUUUUUUUUUUGUAAAAAUAUGUUUCCUUGCGUUUGCCUAUGCUCUAAUCAUGCGUGUCAUGUCAUCUGUACACAGCUAUGUUUGUACGUGACAGGUUCAAUUGUUUCUACGUAACAAUAUUUGUAUGUAACGUUUAUAUCUUCAAUCUCAGCCUUUGAUAUCUAAAAUUAGGGGUCAAGAUAAUUUAAUCUGUGUGGAUGAACAUAAUGGCUUGUUUGCUUCUUGUCUUAAUUAUAUAAUAGAUAAUACAUACCGAUGUAUACAGUCUAAUGAGUGUUGAUGCUCGUGACGGGUAUCGUUAUUUUCUGACCUUCACAGAUGAUUUGAGCUGAUAUGAGUAUAUAUACUUAAUGAAGCACAAGUUUGAAACAUUUAAAAAGUUCGAAGAAUUUCAGAGUGAAGUGGCGAAUCAUUGUAACAAGAAAAUAAAAUUUCUACAAUCUGAUCGCAGAGACAAAUAUUUGAGUUACGAGUUUGGCCUUCAUUUAAAACCAAUGUGGAAUAGUUUCACAGCUCACGCCACAUGGAACACCACAGCGUAAUGGUGUGUCCAAACGUCGUAACCGCACUUUAUUGGAUAUUGUGCAAUCUGUGAUGUAUCUUACCAAUUUAGCACUGUCGUAUUGGGGUUAUGCAUUAGAGACAGCUGCAUUCACUUUAAAAAGGGCACCAUCAAAAUCCAUUGAGACGACGCCUUAUGAACUGUGGUUUGGCAAGAAACCAAAGUUGUCGUUUCUUAAAGUUUGGGGCUGCAAUGCUUAUGUGAAAAAGUUUCAACCUGAUAAGCUCGAACCCAAAUCGGAGAAGUCCGUCUUCAUAAAAUACCCAAAGGAAACUGUUGGGUACACCUUCUAUCACAGAUUCGAAGGCAAAAUAUUCGUUGCUAAGAUGGAUUCUUUCUAGAGAAAGAGUUUCUCUCGAAAGAAGUAAGUGGGAGAAAAGUAGAGCUUGAUAAGGUAAUUUGCACCUUCUCCCGAAUUGGAAAGUAGUUCAUUACAGAAAUUAGUUCCAGUGAUUCCUACACCAAUUAGUGAGGAAGCUAAUGAUGAUAAUCAUGAAACUUCAGAUCAAGUUACUACAGAACCUUGUAGGUUUUCCAGAGUACAGUCCGCACCAGAGUGGUACGGUAAUCCUAUUCUAGAAGUCAUGUUACUAGACCAUGAUGAACCUACGAACUAUGAGGAAGCGAUGAUGAGCCCAGAUUCUGCGAAAUGGCUUGAGGCCAUGAAAUCUGAGAUUGGAUCCAUGUAUGAGAACAAAGUGUGGACUUUGGUGGACUUGCCCGAUGAUCGGCAAGCCAUAUUAAAUAAAUGGAUCUUCAAGAGGAAGACGGUCACUAAUACUAGUGUUACUAUCAACAAAGCUCGACUUGUCACAAAAGUUUUUCGACAAGUUCAAGGUGUUGAAUACGAGAUUUUCUCACUUGUAUCGACGCUUAAGUCUGCCUGGAUCAUGUUAGCAAUUGCCACAUUUUAUGAAAUCUGGCAAAUGGAUGUCAAAAACUGCAUUCCUUAAUGGAUUUAGUAAAGAAGAGUUGUAUAUGAUGCAACCAGAAGGUUUUGUCAAUCCUAAAGGUGCUAACAAAAUGUGCAAGCUCCAGUGAUCCAUCUAUGGACUGGUGCGAGCAUCUCGGAGUUGGAAUAUACGCUUUGAUGAGUUGAUCAAAGCAUAUGUUUUUAUACAGACUUUUGGAGAAGCCUGUAUUUACAAGAAAGUGAGUGGGAGCUCUAUAGCAUUUCUAAAACUAUAUGUAGAUGACAUAUAGUUGAUUGGAAAUGAUAUAGAAAUUCUGGAUAGCAUAAAAGGAUACUUGAAUAAGAGUUUUUCAAAGAAAGACCACAAUGAAGCUGCUUACACAUUGAGCAUCAAGAUCUGUAGAGAUAGAUCAAGACGCUUGAUAAGAUUUUUCCAAUUAGUACAUAACUUGAUAAGAUUUUGAAGUAGUUCAAAAUGGAACAGUCAAAGAAGGAGUUCUUGCCUGUGUUGCAAGGUGUGAAGUUGAGUAAGACUCAAAACCCGACCAUGCCAGAAAAUAGAAAGAGAAUGAAAAGUCAUUCCCUAUGCCUCAAUCAUAGGUUCUAUAAAGUAUGCUAUGUUGUGUACCAGACCUAUUGUAUACCUUGCUCUGAGUUUGGCAAGGGAGUACAAUUUUGAUCUAGGAGUAGAUCACUGGACAACCAUAAAGAAUAUCCUUAGAAAGGACUAAGGAAAUCUUUCUCAAUUAUGUAGAUGAUAAAAUUGUUCGUCGUAAAGAGUUUCGUCGAUGCAAGCUUUUACACCGAUCCAGAUGACUAUAAGUCUCAAUCUGGAUACAUAUUGAAAGUGGGAGCAAUUAUCUAGAGUAGCUCCGUGCAGAGCAUUGUAGACAUAGAAUAUUUUGCAAAAUACAUACGGCUCUGAUUGUGACAGAUCCGUUGACUAAACUUCUCUCAUGAGCAAAACAUGAUCACACCUUAGUACUCUUUGGGUGUUAAUCACAUACCUAUGUGAACUAGAUUAUUGACUCUAGUAAACCCUUUGGGUGUUGGUCACAUGACGAUGUGAACUAUGGGUGUUAAUCACAUGCAGAUACGAAUAUUAGUGUUAAAUCACAUGGUGAUGUGAACUAGAUUAUUGACUCUAGUGCAAGUGGAGGACUGAAGGAAAUAUGCCCUAGAGGCAAUAAUAAAGUUGUUAUUUAUAUUUCCUUAUAUCAUGAUAAAUGUUUAUUAUUCAUGCUAGAAUUGUAUUAACCGGAAACUUAGUACAUGUGUGAAUACAUAGACAAACAUAGUGUCACUAGUAUGCCUCUACUUGACUAGCUCGUUGAAUCAAAGAUGGUUAAGUUUCCUAGCCAUAGACAUGAGUCGUCAUUUGAUUAACGGGAUCACAUCAUUAGAGAAUGAUGUGAUUGACUUGACCCAUUCCGUUAGCUUAGCACUUGAUCGUUUAGUAUGUUGCUAUUGCUUUCUUCAUGACUUAUACAUGUUCCUAUGAGUAUGAGAUUAUGCAACUCCCGUUUACUGGAGGAACACUUUGUGUGCAACCAAACAUCACAACGUAACUGGGUGAUUAUAAAGGUGCUCUACAGGUGUCUCUGAAGGUACUUGAAAGGAUCAAUAUGGUUGACUAGAGGGGGGUGAAUAGGGAACUAACAAUUUUUUAGGCUUUUCUUUACCAAUUUAAACUUUGCAACAAAAUAGGUUGUCUAGAUAUGCAACUAUGUGAGCAACCUAUAUGAUGCAAUAACAACUAGCACAUAAGCAAGCAAGGGAUACAACACAAGUAGGCUUGCAAAAGUAAAGGCACGAAAUAACCAAGAGUGGAGCCGGUGGAGACGAGGAUGUGUUACCGAAGUUCCUUCCUUUUAAGGGGAAGUACGUCUCUGUUAGAGCGGUGUGGAGGCACAAUGCUCCCCAAGAGGCCACUAGGGCCACCGUAUUCUCCUCACGCCCUCACACAAUGCGAGAUGCCGUGAUUCCACUAUUGGUGCCCUUGAAGGCGGCGACCGAACCUUUACAAACAAGGUUGGGGCGAUCUCCACAACAAUUGGAGGCUCCCAACAACACCACGAAGCUUCACCAUAAUGGAGUAUGGCUUCGAGGUGACCUCAACCGUCUAGGGUGCUCAAACACCCAAGAGUAACAAGAUCCACUAGGGAUAAGAGAGGGAAUCAAAUUUCUCUUGGUGGAAGUGUAGAUCGGGGCCUUCUCAACCAAUCCCGAGCAAAUCAACAAGUUUGAUUGGCUAGGGAGAGAGAUCGGGCGAAAAUGAAGCUUGGAGCAACAAUGGAGCUUUGGGGGAAAGAGGUGGGUCAACUUUGGGGAAGAAGACACCUUUAUAUAGUGGGGGAAACUAUCCAACCGUUACCCCACUGAACAGCCAUGCACAGAGCGGUACUACCGCUUGGGCUGGGCGGUACUACCGCUCCCACCCAGCGGUACUACCGCCCUGACGAGGAAGGCAGGGUCCUGGCCCCAGAGCGGUACUACCGCGGGAGUAAGAGCGGUACUACCGCUUGGAGCGGUACUACCGCCACUACUGCCGCUCCUAGUACCGUAAAACCCGACACGAAAAAACAUCGGGCUCGAGUCGAGGCGGUAGUAGCCCGGAACCACUGCGGUACUAAGGCCGAAGACCACAAGCGGUACUACCGCUCUGGGAGCGGUACUACCGCUGGAAGAGCGGUACUACCGCUUGGCGAGCUUCGGCGGUACUACCGCUGAGGACCGCGGUACUACCGCUGGGACAGGACGGAGCAGGUACGGAGGGAAAGCCAGCUCCAAUGAAACGGAAGGAAAACAUCGGGUGAUACGGAUGUGUACGUGUUGAUUCCACCCUAGCCUUACCAAAGCGGAUACCCUCUUGAUAGUACGGUGACUCCUACGAAACUAGUCCACCAACAGAGAAACGAAGGAGCUACACCGUCUUGAAAAACACACCGAGGGGAGGUAAUCGUCUCGUGCCAAUGGAUGAAUCUCUGAAAGAACCUAACGCACACGAUUAGUCCGCAAAAGCAUUGUCAUCAAUCACCAAAACAUCUUGGGGAUAAAUAUGCCCUUACAAUCUCCGCCUUUUUGGUGGAUUGAUGACAAUACGGGAUUUGCACAAACAUGAGAGAUAUAGGACAAGCGCAUAAACCCCACCGUCCUAAAAUGUAGAUGGGCUCCCCCUAGAUGUGUGCUAUCUAGAUAAGUGCUUUGGACUGCACGGCACACAUACUAGGAUCAAUGCUCCCCCUACAUUUUAGUGACCGACCAACCACCUAAGCAGGAUAUAUGAGAGGAGCAUAGAUAACUUAGCAGAAUAAGCAUGCAACUCAUAAGCUAGAUAGUGACAUAGAUAAUGAUACUGGAAAGAUAAGGUAGCAUAUGUCUCACACCAUAUGACGGGAACUUAGGUCUCACUGACACAAACCAAACAAAGCAAACUGCAAGGAAAACACAAACACAGAGGACGGAAGACACAAAGCACAAAUCCCUAAACUCUCUCCCCCUUUGGCAUCGAGACACCAAAAAGGAGAGGGAGUGUUGCUAUGGCUCCAGGUGAUAGCAAUAGAGGGACACAAACAUCAGAUCUCAGCGGGAUCAUCUGCGCCACCGUCGUCGGUCGGGAAGUGCUCGGCAUUAGAAUCGGUCCACGGGCAGUGCUGCUGAAUCCACUCCUCCUCCUCAGUAAGCUGGUCCUCAGAUCCACUGUUAACUGUAGCACCCAACUGACGCAUGAGCUCCUUGUGGCGACCUCGGGCCUUCUUCUUAGCCACAUGAGUCAUGUACUGACCGUGAGACUCCAUGCAGAACAGCUUCUUCAUCUUGAGCUUGAGCUUCUUUGUCCAAGAGGGCUCUGCCUCAGAAGGCAUGUAGUCACCAUCAUCAUCCUCAGCCUCAGCCCCAGUCUCCUCCUCGGUCUCCAUGGCACUAGUAGACGAAGGAACUCCAGAUUUAGGGGCCUGAGUGCCCAAGUUGUCCUUCUUCCUCAGACGCUUGAUGUCGUGAGAAACCAGCUCUCCAGUCUCCAGCAUCACCUUGGGAUAGACACGAGCCCAUGCCUUCUCAAUGAGCAGCAUGAUGAACGGACCAUAGAUCGGGCACUUGCGCUCGGAGAUAGCAGAUAGCAGCUCAGACCACAUAACAUGAGAGAUAUCCAGGGACUCUCCGGUGUUCUAUUCCUUCUGACGCUGGCAGAAGAGAAGCAUGUCCAUGAGAUAAGAAUGAACCAUAUCCAGAUUCCCGAUACGAGGGAAAAGAGUCUCUCGGAAGACACGGUGAAGAAUAUCCAGAAAGGCAGGCAGCUCAUAAGUUUCCUUCUUCGCCUCAGGGUUGAUCCUCAAAGUGCAGUAGGGCCAUAGAGCUUGCUUGUGAGUGGAGGUGGUGUUGCGGUGUGGGCGAAAGCCGAGAGGAGACUCAAGUCCUUGAUCUUCCACCCCAAUCAACUCCAUGAAUGCUUUCCACUUGACUGAAAGCAGCUUGCCAUUGGUCAUCCAAGUCAGUGUCCUGUCCUCAUCAGUCCCGAGAUGAACCGUGGCAUAGAAUUGGGCCACAAUAUCAGCAUCAUAAUCUUUGUUGAAUUGCAUGACCCCAAGAAUGUUCAGCUGAGUGCACAUCUGAAGAGCUUCACCAAAGUAUUCAGGAUCCUUCUCCAUAUGGUCGGUGUCGAUGGAGUGCACGUUGACAAAGAGGUUCUUCUUGGCUUUGAGAACAUAAAAGAAGAUGGCAAACUGAAACCUGUUCCAGAACGGACGGUUGACCAAAGUGGGAUCUUGGUCUGCCUCAUAUGGGUUGCGGCGACGCCUUGCCCAGAACUCCUAGGGUUGCAUUUCUGGCACGGUUUUGCCAGCGGUCUUCGGCUUGACACCAGACGUCUUCUUGAGUUGAGGUGGAGGUGGAGCACUUGAGGAACCUCCUGCAGACUCAGUUGUGCGGUAACGCUUGGACGUGGCACGAUUGGGGUUGAUACGCCGAGCCUGAUGCUCAGGAACCUCAUCACCUGGAACCACACACAAGAACACACAAACAACCAGAAAGAACGAGCAUAAGCCACAAAAUACAACCAAAAAGAUCACUGAGAGGUGAGAGCAUGGUGGAACCUGGUAGAGGGCGGUAGUACCGCAACCUGCGAGCGGUAGUACCGCUCCAAGAGGUAGUACCGCUCCGGAGAGAGCGGUAGUACCACUCGAGACAGGGAAACAGCAGUUUCCUACUGCCAUGGUCAGAUCCGGCACUACCGUCCUACCAAAUUCAAAAAUACUCCAACCAAACACCAAUCAAAACUGCCUAGAAGCUUUCUCCAUCCUACUCAAGCCUAGAUUUGGCCAAAAAUCUAGAGAUGCAACUGCUAUUGCCCCUAAGAUGCUAGAUUGGAAAUCUAGACAAGAAGAGAGCGGGAACGGGGGCAAUAACGGCAUCCAUGGCAAGAGGACAAGGUGGGGAUCGUCUCCACCGAAGGAAAUGGAGAGGAAUGCCCCGGAGAGGGAGAUCCGCCGGAGCCCUCCCGCGGCGCCGGUUGCUGGAGAGAUGAACAGAGCGAGGGGGCGUGCGAAUGGGUAUGGGGGAGAAGAAAACUCCCCUGCCCCCGAUAUAACCCCCUGCCCCCGCCUCGCAGCGGUAGUACCGCGCUGGAGGGCGGUCGUACCGCUCGGAGCGGUAGUACCGCUUGCCACCAGCGGUAGUACCGCUCAGCAACCAAAUGGCCUCUAGACAAAUGACUAAAGCACAAAAGAGAUGAGAAAGCAAGGCCAAGAAAAAGGAAAGACCAACAAGGAAACACACACACUAACAACGAUCCAGAACCCACUCCUUCAAAACAACCACACGAAAGCAGAGCGAGCUCUGGCCUCUCUCAAGAGAGGGCGGUGGCCGGAGCCACCUAUGUCUGAGUCAAUUAGUAUGGCACCGCGAAGAAUUAUCCUUGGACCCAUGACCAAAACUCGUCUUUGAAGCACAAGUACCAUCGAAAAUGGCUAAUGUGAAAGAGUUGAUCGUUUUAUGCAUAAUGGGGGGGAGGGAGAGUUCAUUGAGAGAACAACACUCCCCCUAUGUCCAUGCCUACAUCUAAACUAGACACCAAGUUGAGUGAGGUGGGGUGUGCAAGGGUUCAAGUAACAUUGCUCGAAUCAAUGAUAUUUAGCUCAUGCCUUAGCUCGCGAAAUCUUGCUUCAUCCAAGGGCUUCGUGAAAAUAUCUGCAAGGUUAUCAUGAGUGUUGACAUACUUGAGCUCGAUCUUGCCUCGCCUAAUGUGAUCCCGGAUGAAAUGAUACCGAAUCUCAAUAUGCUUCGUCUUGAAGUGUUGCACCGGGUUGAGAGAAAUCUUGAUGGCACUUUCGUUGUCACACCAAAGAGGCACUUUGUCACAAAUGACACCGUAUUCCUUUAAAGUUUUCCUCAUCCAUAAGAGUUGUGCACAACAACUACCGACCGCCACAUAUUCUGCUUCGGUGGACGAGAGAGACACACAACUUUGCUUCUUUGAAGACCAACUCACCAAAGAGCACCCAAGAAACUGGCACCCUCCGGAAGUGGACUUCCUAUCCACUUUGUCUCUCGCCCAAUCGGAAUCCGUAAAUCCUUCAAGCUUGAAGUUUGCCCCUCUUGGGUACCAUAGGCCAAAGUUUGGGGUAUGAGCCAAAUAUCGAAAAUUCGCUUGACCGCCACAUAGUGACUUUCCUUCGGUGCUGCUUGAAAUCGUGCACACAUCCCCACACUCAACAUGAUAUCCGGUCUAGAUGCACAAAGGUAAAGCAAGGAGCCAAUCAUGGAGCGAUAUACCUUUUGAUCCACCGCUUUACCAUUGGGAUCAAUGUCAAGUUGGCACUUGGUGGGCAUUGGUGUAGUAGCCGGCUUGACAUCACUUAGCUUGAAUCUUUUUAGCAUGUCUUGAGUGUAUUUGGCUUGGUUGAUGAAGGUUCCUUCUCUUCUUUGUAUGAUAUCAAAACCAAGGAAGAACUUCAACUCUCCCAUCGAAGACAUCUUGAACUUGGAGGUCAUGAGAGCGGCAAGUUCCUCAUUGAAAGCUUUGUUAGGGGAACCAAAGAUAAUAUCAUCAACAUAUAGUUGGCAUACAAACAACUCCCCUUUGACCUUCUUAGUAAAAAGAGUGGGAUCGAUUAGCCCCACCUCAAAUUCACGAUCUUGUAACAACUCGGUAAGGUGGUCAUACCAUGCAAGUGGGGCUUGUUUAAGGCCAUAGAGUGCCUUAUCGAGUUGAUACACAUGAUCCGGGAAGUAAGGAUCCUCGAACCCGGGGGGUUGCAUGACAUAGACCAACUCAUUAAUAGGACCAUUAAGAAAAGCACUUUUCACAUCCAUUUGUUGCAACUUAAGGUUGUGAUGGGAAGCAUAAGCAAUCAACAAACGUAUGGAUUCAAGGCGAGCAAUGGGAGCAAAGGUUUCACCGUAGUCGAUACCCUCGACUUGGGAGUAGCCUUGUGCUACCAAUCUUACCUUGUUGCGAACGAUGUUCCCAUGAGCAUCUUGCUUGUUCUUGAAGAUCCACUUGGUUCCAAUGACGUUGUGGUCCCCCGAUGGCCUUGGCACCAAUCUCCACACCUUGUUGUACUCGAAGUUGUUGAGUUCUUCAUGCAUGGCAUUGAGCCAAUCCGAGUCUUCGAGCGCCUCAUAGACCUUUUGGGGUUCAACACAAGAGACAAAGCGUGAUGUUCACAAUAGUUUGCUAAUUGUCUACGAGUGCUUACCCCCUUUGUUAGGCUUCCAACCACAUUUUCCAUGAGAUGGCCUUGGGUGGUGAGCUUGGAAGCAAUCUUCGCGGCACGACGCUCUAAUUCCUCCUCGGGUGUGGAAGGAGGAGGGUUAACUUGAUUAUCUUGAGCACCGUCUUGAGCUUGUUCUUGAUCUUGAGCUUGCUCAUGAUCUUGAGCUUGCUCAUGAUCUUGAACUUGCUCGAGGGGGAGAACUUGACCUUGGGCAUCAUUUAGAGGUUCACCACCAUCUUGAGGUUGAUCUUGCCCUUGGUCUUGUUCAUGAGGUUGAGGGCCUUCACUUUGUUCUUCGGAAGCGUGUGGGUCUUGGGGAGGUGAUGGCUCCACUUGAGUGGAGCAUUGUCCUUCUCCUUCGGCCACAAGGGGUUCCUCAAUGGGUAGAAUAUGACCAAUACCCAUUCUUCUUAUGGCUUGGGGAGGAAUUUCAUCACCUACAUCACAAGUACCACUUUGCUCCACUUGGGAGCCGUUAUUUUCGUCAAACUCCACGUUACACGUCUCCUCAAUGAGUCCGGUGGACUUGUUGAGGACACGGUAAGCAUGAGAGUUUGUAGCAUAACCAACAAAUAUGCCCUCAUGAGCUCUAGCCUCAAAUUUAGACAAACGAACACCUUUCUUGAGAAUGAAACACUUACAACCAAACACCCGGAAGUACUUGAGGUUGGGCUUGUUGCCGGUGAGUAUCUCAUAAGGAGUCUUGUUCAAGCCUUUGCAGAGAUAGAGCCGAUUGGAUGCAUGACAUGCGGUGUUGAUGGCUUCGGCCCACAAGUUGUAUGGAGACUUGAACUCCGCCAUCAUGGUCCUUGCCGCAUCCAUCAACGUCCGGUUCUUCCUCUCCGCAACACCAUUUUGUUGAGGGGUAUAUGGAGCAGCAUAUUGGUGCUUGAUCCCCUCAUCACUAAGAAAUUCAUCCAAGGUGUCACUUCUGAUUGUCAAGAUCUUUGCAUUAUGUUGACGUUGAGCUUCAUUUGCAAAGUCGAUGACGGUUUGCUGAGUCUCACUCUUCCUCUUGAAGAAGUAUACCCAAGUGUAUCUUGAAUAAUCAUCCACAAUCACCAAGCAAUACUUUCUACCUCCAAGACUAUCAAAAGAUGGAGGCCCAAAGAGAUCCAUGUGAAGGAGCUCCAAGGGUCUCUUCGAGUAGAUGGUGGUCGUGGGAGGGUGAGCCUUCUCAUGAAGCUUUCCUUCAAUACAAGCACUGCAAGCACGAUCUUUGGCAAAACUAACAUUUGUUAGUCCACGGACAUGGUCCCCCUUGAGAAGACUUUGCAAAGAUCUCAUAUUAACGUGGGCCAAACGGCGAUGCCAAAGCCAUCCCAUGUCAACUUUAGCCAUUAGGCAUGCCGCGGUCUUAGUGGGUCGCUCCGAAAAGUUAAUCACAUAGAGACCGUUCUUGACAUGCCCAACAAAGGCUACUUUAAGAGUCUUGCUCCACAAGAGGGCCACGGUAUCAAUGUCAAAGAAGGUAGCAAAACCCAUGAGUGCAAGUUGACGAACGGAAAGCAAAUUGUAUGCAAGGGACUCAACAAGCAUGACUUUCUCGAUCGUUAGAUCAUGAGAAAUGACAACCUUGCCAAGUCCCAAUACCUUAGAAUGUGAGGCAUCACCCCAAUCAACAUUGGUGGGCAUAGAUGGAAUCUUUUGCACGUCCACCACCAAGUCCUUGCUUCCGGUCAUAUGAUUUGUUGCUCCACUAUCGAGCAACCAUGAUCCCCCACCGGAAGCAAACACCUACAAGAGAUCAAUGCUUGGUUUUAGGUACCCAUUUAGUAAUGGGUCCUUUGAUGUUAGUAACAAGGGUCUUAGGAACCCAAAUAUACCAUUCAAUGUACUCAUAAGGAGAACCAACGAAUUUAGCAUAAACAUGUCCAUCACUAGCACGACACAACGCAUAUGAUGGGUUAAAAUCGCCGGCUUUGUUGGAGGAAAUGCUUUUGCCCUUUUGGACGUCAACUCCCUUCACUCUUUCUUUCUUAUCCUUAGGAGCACCCUCUCCCUCUUUCACAAAAGUUUUCUUGAGAGGAGGAGGACGUUUGGUCUUGUCGUUCUUCUUCUUCUUGCUCUUGGACUUGGGUGCAAACCCAAUUCCUUCCUUGGCCACAACUUCCUUUUGAUUGCUCAAAAGGUCGUUGAGGUUCUUCUCACCUUGAAUGCAUGUCACAAGGCCUUUCUCAAGUUGAUCCUUCAAUUUGGCAUUCUCCUCCACAAGAUGCACAUGCUCACAACAAGGGUUAGUAGCACAUGCAUUAUCAAUUAAUAUCAUGUGUGGGAAGGUGGCCUUUUCCUUGGUUAGCUUAACUUGGAGUUGAGCAUGAGACUCCUUGAGGUUAGCAUGAGCACCCUUCAAGACCUUGUGGGCCUUGUCAAGUAUCUCAAACUCCUCUUUGAGUCUAGCAUGAUCAACCCCAAGUUUAGCCUUCUCGGAAGUUAGCGCACGAGACACAACAAGAGCAUGAUCAAGAUCUUUCUUUAACUUAGCAUGGUCAUCGUUGUGUGACUCCUCAAAAGUCAAAUGAUGCAAACGAUCUUCCUCAAGAGCAUUAGAGAGAUCCGAUAUCUCAUCGGCAUACUCACGACUAUGACCUUCCAUCUUAGAGAUGGUUUCUUCGUGAGCCUCGAUCAUGUCAUUGGCCUCACCAAGUUGUUCCAAGAGAGCAACAAAUUGCUUCUUGGACUUGCCCUUGAGCUUACUCAUAAAAGACUCCAAUUCAUUCACUUCAUCAUUAGACUCAUCAUGUUCAUCAAUGCAAUCCUCCAAGGAGGGAUUAGUAAUGAUGGUGGUUGUGAUGUUGGGGGUUACCUUGUUUUGAAGCUUUAGCCAUGAGGCACUUGGCGGUGAUGUUUUCGUUGGGUGAAUCAAAGAGAGACACCCGGGGAGUAGUAGCAAUGGCAAUGGAUGCCAUGGCCAUUGCUUCUCCAUUUUCAUCAUCAUCGUGAUCCUCUUGGUAUUCUUCUUGAACCAAAAACCCACGAGUGGGAGUCUUCUUGGCGAAGUUGUUCUUGUUGGGGAAGGACUUGGCUUUGUCUUUUCGGAUGAACUUGCCACCAUUGUCUUCCCGCUUCUCGUAAGGACAAUCCGCAACGAAAUGGCUCACAUUGCCACAGUUGAAGCAAGUUCUAACUCGUUGCUUGCCCUUGACGCCACUUGAGUUGUUCUUGUUGAAGUUGGGUCUUGUAUUCUUCUUGCUCCAAAAUUGUCUUGAAGCAAGGGCCAUGUGCUCAUGAUAAUCAUACUUGGUGUCUUCGGGUUGCUCUCCUCAUCUUCCACUUCUUCCUCUUCUUCCAUAAUAACCUUGGCGUUCAAAGCAACGUUGGGCUUCUUUGCCUUUUGAGAACAGAGCACCACAUUGUCGGCGGUCUUGUCCAAGAUGCUCAUAGCAACGAACUCAUCCAACACUUCACUUGAGGUCAUGGAGUGGAAGUCCGGUCUUUGACGAAUGACGGGGGACAUGGCCUUGUUGUAGGGCAUCAUGGCCUUGAGGAAUUUGCGCUUGAUCCAAUUGUCAUCCAUGUCCUUGCUUCCAUGAUCUCGGAGUGAGACCGCGAGUUUGGUCACUCUUCGAAAGAGCUCACGAGGUUCUUCAUCUUCUUUCAUUGCAAACUCAUCGGCUUCAUCUUGCACCACUUCAUAGUUGGAGCGUUGAAUGCUAGAACUUCCUCGAUAGAGAGACACAACACAUUUCCAUGCGUCUUUAGCCAUGGCAUGAGGUCAAAUAUGAGGGAGAUCUUCGGGAAGGAUUGCAUCUUGGAUGAUGAAGAGAUCACUCUCAUUGAAUUGAUUAUCCACGGCUUCUCGAGGGGUGAAGUUGCUUGGGUCAUGAGGAUAUAAACCUUCUUCAAUGAUUCUCAAAAGGUUAGUAUUCACAUGUUUUAAAUGACGCUUGAAGCGAUAAACCCAAGAAUCAAAAUCUUCAUGUUUCUCAUACUUAGGAGGAGGACCGGCAUGAUUUAAAUGAGUAGAGGGAAUCAGCCCUCCAUAAAUUGGAGGUUCCACAUGGGCAAAGAUGUCGAUGCCAUUUCUACCACUAGUAGAAGGACUCUUUUCACUGUGGGCUUCCUCCUUGUCGGAGGUAGCAUCCGUCACCUUGUUAGUGGGAUCACCCACUUUCAUAGGCGAGGUGGAUGGUUUGAGUCCUUCAAGAAAUUUAGUAAGCAUGCUUUCAACCUUGGUCGUCAUGGAGUCUCUCAAUGUGUCUAGAGCCACAUUGAGAUCCUCACGAGAGACCGAGGUUCCCCCAUCGGCCGUAGACGAGAUAAGAUUCACACCGGAGUGCUCCUCCACACCGUCUGUGGUGUCAACCAUAAUCUUCAGACGACAAAGUCCUAAAUAAAGAGACGAGGCUCUGAUACUAAUUGAAAGGAUCGAUAUGGUUGACUAGAGGGGGGUGAAUAGGCAACUAACAAUUUUUAAGCUUUUCUUUACCAAUUUAAACUUUGCAACAAAAUAGGUUGUCUAGAUAUGCAACUAUGUGAGCAACCUAUAUGAUGCAAUAACAACUAGCACAUAAGCAAGCAAGGGAUACAACACAAGUAGGCUUGCAAAAGUAAAGGCACGAAAUAACCAAGAGUGGAGCCGGUGGAGACGAGGAUGUGUUACCGAAGUUCCUUCCUUUUAAGGGGAAGUGCGUCUCCGUUAGAGCGGUGUGGAGGCACAAUGCUCCCCAAGAAGCCACUAGGACCACCGUAUUCUCCUCACGCCCUCACACAAUGCGAGAUGCCGUGAUUCCACUAUUGGUGCCCUUGAAGGUGGCGACCGAACCUUUACAAACAAGGUUGGGGCAAUCUCCACAACAAUUGGAGCUCCCAAAAACACCACGAAGCUUCACCACAAUGGAGUAUGGCUUCGAGGUGACCUCAACCGUCUAGGGUGCUCAAACACCCAAGAGUAACAAGAUCCGCUAGGGAUAAGAGAGGGAAUCAAAUUUCUCUUGGUGGAAGUGUAGAUCGGGGCCUUCUCAACCAAUCCCGAGCAAAUCAACAAGUUUGAUUGGCUUGGGAGAGAGAUCGGGUGAAAAUGGAGCUUGGAGCAACAAUGGAGCUUUGGGGGAAAGAGGUGGGUCAACUUUGGGGAAGAAGACACCUUUAUAUAGUGGGGGAAACUAUCCAACCGUUACCCCACUGAACAGCCAUGCACAGAGCGGUACUACCGCUUGGGAAGGGCGGUACUACCACUGAAGAGCGGUACUACCGUUCCCACCCAGCGGUACUACCGCGCUGACGAGGAAGGCAGGGUCCUGGCCCCAGAGCGGUACUACCGCGGGAGUAAGAGCGGUACUACCGCUUGGAGCGGUACUACCGCCACUACUGCCGCUCCUAGUACCGUAAAACCCGACACGAAAAAACAUCGGGCUCGAGUCGAGGCGGUGGUAGCCCGGAACCACUGCGGUACUACGGCCGAAGACCACAAGCGGUACUACCGCUCUGGGAGCGGUACUACCGCUGGGAGCGGUACUACCGCUGGGAGCGGUACUACCGCUCGAAGAGCGGUACUACCGCUUGGCGAGCUUCGGCGGUUCUACCGCUGAGGACCACGGUACUACCACUGGGACAGGACGGAGCAGAUACGGAGGGAAAGCCAGCUCCAAUGAAACGGAAGGAAAACAUCGGGUGAUACGGAUGUGUACGUGUUGAUUCCACCCUAGCCUUACCAAAGCGGAUCCCCUCUUGAUAGUACGGUGACUCCUACGAAACUAGUCCACCAACAAAGAAACGAAGGAGCUACACCGUCUUGAAAAACACACCGAGGGGAGGUAAUCGUCUCGUGCCAAUGGAUGAAUCUCUGAAAGAACUUAAGGCACACGAUUAGUUCGCAAAAGCAUUGUCAUCAAUCACCAAAACAUCUUGGGGAUAAAUAUGUCCUUACAGUACUUGUUGAGUUGGCGUAUUUCGAGAUUAGGAUUUGUCACUCCGAUUGUCGGAGAGGUAUCUCUGGGCCCUCUCGAUAAUGCACAUCACUAUAAAACUUGAAAGCAAUGUGACUAAUGAGUUAGUUGCGGGAUGAUGUAUUACAGAACGAGUAAGGAGACUUGCCGGUAAUGAGAUUAAGCUAGGUAUUGAGAUACCGACGAUCGAAUCUCAGGCAAGUAACAUACCGAUGACAAGUUGUUAUGCGGUUUGACCGAUAAAGAUCUUCAUAGAAUAUGUGGGAGCCAAUAUGAGCAUCCAGGUUCCGCUAUUGGUUAUUGACCGAAGACGUGUCUCGGUCAUGUCUACAUAGUUCUAGAACCCGUAGGGUCCACACGCUUAACGUUCGCUGACGAUUUAUAUUAUGAGUUAUGUGUUUUGAUGUACCGAAGGUAGUUCAGAGUCCCGGAUGAGACCAGGGACAUGACGAGGAGUCUCAAAAUGGUCAAUACGUAAAGAUCGACAUAUUGGACGACUAUAUUCGGACAUCGCAAAUGUUCCGAGUGAUUCGGGUAUUUUUUGGAGUACCGGAGAGUUACGGGAAUUCGCCGGGGAGUAUAUGGGCCUUAUAGGGCUUUAGGGGAAAGAGAGAGGGGAGGCUGCGUGCCCCGCAAGGCCUAGUCCGAAUUGGACAAGGGGGAGGGGCUACGCCCCAUCCUUCCUUCUCUUCUCUUUUCCCUUUCCUUGACUCCUACUCCUACUACUUGGAAGGGGGGUAAUCCUACUCCCGGUGGGAGUAGGACUCCUCCAGGGCGCGCCAUAGGAGGGCCGGCCCUCCCCCCUCCUCCACUCCUUUAUAUACGGGGGCAGGGGGGCACCUCUAGACACACAAGUUGAUCUGUUGAUCUCUCCCAGCCGUGUGCGGUGCCCCCCUCCACCAUAUUCCACCUCGGUAAUAUCGUAGCGGUGCUUACGCGAAGCCCUACGUCGGUAGCAUCAUCGACACCAUCAUCAUGCCAUUGUGCUGACAGAACUCUCCCGCAAAGCUCAGCUAGAUCGGAGUUCGUGGGAUGUCAUCGAGCUGAACGUGUGCUAAACUUGAAGGUGCCGUACGUUCGGUACUUGGAUCGGUCGGAUCGUGAAGACGUAUGACUACAUCAACCGUGUUGUGCUAACGCUUCUGUUUUCGAUCUACGACGGUACGUGGACGGCACUCUCCCCUCUCGUUGCUAUGCAUCACCAUGAUCUUGCGUGUGCAUAGGAUUUUUUUGAAAUUACUACGUUCCCCAACACCUGCAAGCUUAAAUAAUCCACAAACUUCAUCCACAUAGAUUAGGUGUAAAUCGGGAUGCAAUGUUCCAUCUCCUGUAAAGGGAUUAGCUAGCAGUUUCUCUACCAUACCCGAAGAAUUUCGAAGUAAACAUUGUCAGUAGGGUCAGUAGGUUGAGGAGCAACUCUUUGCUCUACUGGUCGGGGUGAAGAUACCCCGAACAAGCCCCUCAAAGGAUUAUGUUCCAUAGUAACAAGUGACAGUAAAUUUCAGCACACUAUAUAAAUUUUUCCUUACCAAUUAAGUUCCAUUUACCAAAGGCGCUUCACUUCCCGGCAACGACGCCAGAAAAGAGUCUUCAUGACCCACAAGUGUAGGGGAUCUAUCUUAGUCCUUUCGAUAAGUAAGAGUGUCGAACCCAACGAGGAGCAGAAGGAAAUGACAAGCGGUUUUUCAUAAGGUAUUUUCUGCAAGCACUGAAAUUAUCGGUAACAGAUAGUUUUGUGAUAAGGUAAUUUGUAACGGGUAACAAGCAAUGAAAGUAAAUAAGGUUCAGCAAGGUAGCCCAAUCCUUUUUAUAGCAAAGGACAAGCCUGGACAAAUUCUUAUAUAGAGAAAAGCGCUCCCAAGGACACAUGGGAAUUAUCGUCAAGCUAGUUUUCAUCACGUCCAUAUGAUUCGCGUUCGUUACUUUGAUAAUUUGAUAUGUGAGUGGACCGUUGUUUGGGUACUGUCCUUUCUUAGACAAGCAUCCCACAUAUGAUUAACCCCAAUUGCAAGCAUCCGCAACUAUAAAAGAAGUAUUAAGGUAAACCUAACCAUAGCAUGAAACAAGUGGAUCCAAAUCAGCCCCUUACGAAGCAACGCAUAAACUAAGGUUUAAGCUUCUGUCACUCUACCAACCCAUCAUCUACUUAUUACUUUCCAAUGCCUUCCUCUAGGCCCAAUUAAUGGUGAAGUGUCAUGUAGUCGACGUUCACAUAACACCACUAGAGGAGAGACAACAUACAUCUCAUCAAAAUAUCGAACGAAUACCAAAUUCACAUGACUACUAAUAGCAAGACUUCUCUCAUGUCCUCAGGAACAAACGUAACUACUCACAAAGCAUAUUCAUGUUCAUAAUCAGAGGGGUAUUAAUAUGCAUUAAGGAUCUGAACAUAUGAUCUUCCACCAAAUAAACCAACUAACAUCAACUACAAGGAGUAAUCAACACUACUAGCAACCCACAGGUACCAAUCUGAGGUUUUGGUACAAAGAUUGGAUACAAGAGAUGAACUAGGGUUUGAGAGGAUAUGGUGCUGGUGAAUAUGUUGACGAAGAUUGACCCCCUCCUGAUGAGAGGAUCGUCGGUGAGGACGAUGGUGAUGAUUUCCCCCUCCCGGAGGGAAGUUUCCCCGGCAGAACAGCUCCGCUAGAGCCCUAGAUUGGUUCUGCCAAGGUUCCGCCUCGUGGCGGCGGAGUUUCGUCCCAUAAGCUUACUUAGGUUUUUUCCAGGGUAAAAGACUUCAAAGAGCAGAAGAUGGCCACUGGAGGGCUGCCAGGGGGCCCACGAGGCAGGGGGCGCGCCCCCCACCCUCGUGGCCAGGGCGUGGACCCCCUCUGGUACUUCUUCCGCUCAAUAUUUAUUAUUAAUUCUGAAAUGACUUUCGUGGACUUUCAAGUCUUUUGGAGCUGUGCAGAAUAGGUCUCCAAUAUUUGCUCCUUUUCCAGCCCAGAAUCCCAGCUGCCGGCAUUCUCCCUCUUCAUGUAAACCUUGUAAAAUAAGAGAGAAUAGGCAUAAGUAUUGUGACAUAACGUGUAACAACAGCCCAUAAUGUAAUAAAUAUCGAUAUAAAAGCAUGAUGCAAAAUGCACGUAUCACACAACAAUAGAAGCAAGACCAAUUAAUUCAUCCUUACUAGGCAAUUCUUUUUCAUGAUGAUUUCCACUAAACUUGGAAAAACUAAACUCAUGAGAUUCAUCACCAAAUCUAACACCUACAGUUUGUUUCUUACAAUCUAUUCUAGCAUUGACGGUGUUCAAGAAAGGUCUACCAAAUAUAAUGGGACAAAAUUUAUCCUAUGGGGUGGUAAGAACAAGAAAAUUAGUAGGGUAUUUUAUCUUCCCACACGAGACUUUAACAUCUCUAAGAAUCCCAACUGGUGAUAUAGUAUCUCUAUUAGCAAGUUUAAUAGUAACAUCUAUGUCUCCUAAUUCAGCAAGUGCUAUUUCAUCUCUAAUUUCUUCAUAUAAGGAGUGGGGAAUGGCACUCACACUAGCACCCAUGUCACAUAAACCAUGAUAACAGUCAUCUCCUAUUUUAAUUGAAACAACAGGCAUGCCAACAACUAGUCUAUGUUUAUCUUUCCCCUCGGGUUUAACAAUUCUAGCAGCUUCUUCACAGAAGUAAAUAACAUGCCCAUCCAUAUGUUCUUCCAAGAGAUCUUUAACCAUAGCAAUGCUAAGUUCUACUUUAAUUUGUUCAUCAUGUUUAGUUGUUCUAACAUAGCUUUUGUUAACCACCGUUGAAACUUUAGCAUGUUAUUUUAUCCUAACAGGGAAAGGUGCUUUCUCAAAAUAAGCUGAAGUAAUAACUGGAUCAACAUUAUAAUGUAUAGUUUCUUCUUUAACUGGUACUGGUUCUUUAAUAGGUGGGUGAUAUUUAACCCACUUCUCUUUAGGAAGUUCAACAUGAGUAGCAAAUGAUUCACAAAAAGAGGCUACUAUUUCAGAGUCAAGUCCAUAUUUAGUGCUAAACUUUUGAAAAGCAUCGGUAUCCUUAAAAGGUUUAACACAAUCAUACUUAAGCUUUAUACUCGACUCUUUACCUUCGUCAAGUUCCCAAUCUUUAGAGUUGCGUUUAAUUCUUUCCAAAAGAUCCCACUGGAAUUCAAUAGUUUUCUUCAUAAAAGAACCAACAUAAGAAGUAUCCAGCAUGGUUUGAUCAUUACGAGAAAGUCGAGCAUAAAAAUUCUGAAUAAUAAUUUCUCUUGAGAGCUCAUGAUUGGGGCAUGAAUAUUACACCGACUUAAGCCUCCCCCAAGCUAGAGCGAUACUUUCUCCUUCACGAGGUCAAAAGUUAUAUAUAUAAUUCCGAUCAGGAUGAACUAGAUGCAUAGGAUAAUUUUUUUGAUGGAACUCCAAUUUCAAACGAUUCCAAUUCCAUGAUCUAAUAUCAUCGCAUAGCCUAUAUCAUGCCAAUUCUUUUCCCUUCAAAGAUAAAGGGAAAACCUUUUUCAUCACUUCAUCUCUGGGUAAACUUGCAAGUUUAAACAAUCCACAAAUUUGUUCCACAUGUAUCAAGUGCAUAUCAGGAUGUUCAGUUCCAUCUCCUGCAUAAGGAUUAGCUAGCAGUUGUUCUAUCAUAUCCGAAGGGAUUUCUUAUUCAAUAUUUUCAGUAGGUGCAGUAGGUUGAGGGGUAACUAAUUGUGGUUCCGGACGAGGUGAAGAUACCCUGAACAAACCCCUCAAAGGAUUGUUUCCCAUAGUAACAAGUGACAAAAAAAUUUAGCACACUAUAUAAAUGUUUCCUUACCGAAUUCCACUUACCAAAGGCGCUUUGCUCCCCGGAAACGGCGCCAGAAAAUAGCCUUGAUGACCCACAAGUAUAUAGAGUCAAUUGUAGCUCUUUUCGAUAAGUAAGAGUGUCGAACCCAAUGAGCAGCAGAAGGAAAUGACAAGUGGUUUUCAGCAAAGUAAUGUCUGCAAGUGCAAAAAUUGUAAGUAGCGGAGUAGUUUGGUAGCAAGAUAAUUUGUAACGAGCAAGUAAAAAUAGUAGUAACAAAAGUGCAGAAAGGUAGCCCAAUCCUUUUGAGGCAUAGGACAGGCCAAAACGGUUUCUUAUGAUAAGCAAAGUGUUCUUGAGGGUACACGGGGAUUUCAUCUAGUUACUUUCAUCAUGUUGGUUUGAUUUGUGCUUGCUACUUUGAUAAUUUGAUAUGUGGGUGGACCGGUGCUUAGGUGUUGUUCUUACUUGAACAAACCUCCUACUUAUGAUUAACCCUCCUGCAAGCAUCCACAACUACGAGAAAAGUAUUAAGAAUAAAUUCUAACCAUAGCAUUAAACUCUAGGAUCCAAUCGGUCCCUUACGGAAUAGUGCAUAAACUGGGGUUUAAGUUUCUGUCACUCUCGCAACCCACCAUCUAUUUACUACUCAACAAUGCAUUCCCUUAGGCCCAAAUAUGGUGAAGUGUCAUGUAGUCAACAUUCACAUGACACCACUAAGAGAAUGGCAACAUGCAUACCAUCAAAAUAUCGAACACAUAUCAAGUUCACAUGAUUACUUGCAACAUGAUUUCUCCCGUGACCUCAAGAAUGAAAUUAAAUACUCACAAAUGAUAAACAUGCUCAAGAUAAGAGGGGUAUUGAAUAGCAUAAUGGAUCUGAACAUAUAAUCUUCCACCAAAUAAACCGUAUAGUAAUCAACGACAAGAUGUAAUCAACACUACUAGUCACCCACGGGCACCAAUCUAUAGUUUUGAUACAAAGAUUGAACACAAGAGAUGAACUAGGGUUUGAGAGGAGUUGGUGCUGUGAAGAUGUUGAUGAAGAUGGCCCUCCCCAAGAUGGGAGAGUUGUUGGUGAUGAUGAUGACGAUGAUUUCCCCCUCCGGGAGGGAAGUUCUCUCGAGACGACGGCGCUUUGUCCCGAAUGUACUCCCCUUAUUUUUUCUAGGUCAAAAUGACUUAUAUACCAGAAGAUGGGCACCAGAGGUGGGCCGAGGAGGGCACAACCCACCAGGCGCGCCUGGGCUCCCUGGCACGCCCAGGUGAGUUGUGCCCACCUGGUGGCCCUCCUCUGGUAGUUAUUUGCUCCAAUAUUCCUUAAAUAUUCCAUAAAAAUUCUCCCUGAAGGCUCAGCUUGUUUGGAGUUGUGUAGAAUAGGUAGCCUGACGUAGCUUUUUCAUGUCCAGAUUUCCAGCUGCCGGAAUUCUCCCUCUUUGUGUGCACCUUGCAAAUUAUGAGAGAAAAGGAAUUAAAAUUACUCUAAAAAGCAUUAUUAUGGAUAAAAACAUUGUAAAUAACAGUAAGAAAACAUGAUACAAAAUGGACGUAUCAUGCAUCAAAGCUUUCCGGCAUUGUCCUCCUGUUAUGUUUGGGGAUGUUAUUACAGUUACAUUUUCAAAGAGACUACAACUGAUAAUUAAGAUACAAGUACAUCUGAAUUAAAUGGUUCGGCUGAACUUAAAAAAUAUAGCUUACAUACUACAUGAAGUCAUCAUCGUCAUCCUUCAUUGGUGCAACCCUCUUGCCCUUCGACGUUGCGGUCCUCUUGCCCUCCGUUGAUGCAGCAUUCUUGCCCUUCGACGACGCGGCACUACUCUUGCCCUUCGACGAUGCAGAACCUGGAAGCGGCAGCAUGAAGAUAUCAUCUUUGUCCUCGCUGUCGUCAGUCCAUAAAUAUGGAUUCUUUGUUGCAUUCCUUCUGAAAGUUUCACUCUUGGGCUCCACUACCUUCUUCCACCUUUCAUGCAACCUAAGAAGUUCUUUACGUACCUCCUCAUAGGUCCUUUCAGGCCACCUAGACCUACGUAAUUUGUGAGCCAACUCAUUCACUAUGGUGUCACUACCGGUGAGUUCGUUCCAUGGAACUAUCCUAUUGUCCAUCCUAAAAUCUGUGGCUAGCCUCAGAAGACAUCUGCUCAUACCAGGGUGAAAACUACAAUCGAAAGGAUAAUGGGACAUCUCGACUACACUACACUGGAGUGCUUAUCCACCUCCGUGUGGAGGGGGUUUUAUAGGUAGAGAGGAGAAAAUGGCAGGAAAGAAUGACUACGGUAUGGCGGGAAAGGGUUGGCGGGAACGGGUUGGCGGGAAACGGGUAGCGGGAACAUAUGGAGGGAAAGAGUUGGUGGGAAAAUAUUGAGGGGAAAGGGUUGCGCGAAUAUAUUUUUUUAAUGUCUAAGAUGGGCAAUGGUUGCACAAUCUUCAUAAGCCAAAAUUAAAAAAAGAAAUCAUUUCGGCCUAACGUAAGCCGAAGAGUGGAGCCAUGUAGCUUCGGCCAACCGUUAACGUGAAAAGGUGGGCCCAAGGACUUUUCGGCCUACUGCUGACCAAAAUGGUCUUUUCGGCCUACUACUGACCAAAAAGGCCUUUUCGGCCCAGGUACGCACCUCUUCGGCCAAGGCAAGGCCGAAAGCCCUUUUCGGCCAAGAGGAGGCCGACGAGGUGCUAGUUUUGAUAUAUUUUUUGCAUUGCAUGCUAUAGUUUCUGAAUUUGCUAUAAAAAGCGGUAGUUUUAAAAUAAUCAAUACAAGGUUCGCAGAUGCUGAAACUUUUUGACGGUGUGAACUGCCUUAGCUUCCUCUGUUCUAGAUGAUGUCAUUGUAGCUAUUUCUAUCACUUUCUAUGCCCCAUGUUCUAUUUAGAUCUGCUAACUCUCAGUCUGUUAAACCUGCUAAUGACAGGAUUUGUUCAUGACUGUAUAUCUACGUACUUUCUGUCAGUUGGAAUAUAUUAUCCUUGGUGAUACCAAUGUUUCUAGCUUUCACUGUGAUAAUGAAGUUAUCUUUGGCAGUCGCAACAACCUAGGGUGCACCGGCAUUGUAACAGCUUGGAUUUUGGCCCUUUUUCUUUUUCUUUUGAUUUAUUUGGUUUUUUUGCUCUAUUUUUCUUUUUGGAGUGGUUCCGUGGCCUUGCCACCUGGGAAAUCAUCCUCAUUCCCCCUCCCAAGUGGCUCAUCAUUCUCAAAACCUUGCCAAGAUCAUGUCCCUUCACUCCUUGACCAAACCCUAAAAUCUUUUUUCUAGGGAAAAUUCCUUUUUCAUUAAAGGAAUAACCCUAUCUGCCCUAGGUUGUGAAGCAGCCUAUAUUUUUGUCCAUACAAAAAUUCCCAAAUAAUUUUCAUAAUUCCUUUGGGUCAUAUAUAGCUCAAAUAUGCCCAAACAUUGCCUUGGCCAGUUCAAAAAUAAUUCCCCAAUAAUUAUUCUUCCGUUCUGCCCUGAAUGGCACUUUGUGAAGGAAGUGUAAUUUAUAUUUCUCCUAGUGCCUCCCAAUCUUUUUGGGCAUGAUUAUAUGUCCAAAUAAUUUCCCCAUGCACAAGUUCAAAUUUAUUUGCCUAGCCAAUCUUGCUCAUUGAAUUUUCAAAGUUUCUGUCAGACAGAAGGCUUUGUGAAGGAAGUACUAGCUAGGAGUACCCAAAUGAGUUGAACUUUUUCACACUCCUUAAUGUUUUCUUAUUAAUCCCCUCCACCCAUUUGCAGCCCUAUACAAUCAUCUAUGUGAGCACAGGCGCACAUCUUUGAUUCUGGCAAUAUUUUCAGGUUGUGAAGCAAGUGCAUUAUAUAUUUCUUCAAAAAUCCUGAUAAAUUAUCAGAUCAUUCUUAUACCCAGAAAACAUCUGUCCACCCAAUUUGGCAUCAUUUCAAUAAGCCAUUUGAUCACCAAAAUUAUUCCAAGUUUCUGGACAGAAAUGAUGUUUGUGAAGCAAGUGCCAUUUUGGCUUGUCCAUUUGGCAUGAGCUUUUUACAGCAUCAUCAUAUGUACAAAUAAUCAAGCUUUGCCCAAUCUUAGUGCAAGUUGACACUCUAUGUGAGUGCACAAUCAUGAUCUAGUUUCUGGACUAUUUUGGUCAGUUGUGAAGCAACUGCAGUAAAUCUUGGUCCAUUUCCCCUCAAAACCUCCAGGAUGAAAGUCCUUCUUACCCUAAACCUCUCGGACAAAUUAUUUACCGAGUUACCUAGCUGGUGUCCCCACUGCACAGCACAAACACUCGACUGCUGGUUUACUUUGGAGCUAAGUGCAAAACUCUUCUUUGCCUCUGGAGCGAUUUGUUUCCCCAUUUAUACUAAGGUCACUAGGGUCAUUCCACUAGACAUGGUCGGCCCAGCCAGAAUGCGCCAUUUGCACCAGAGCCCGUGGUGAUCACGAUGUCGUCACACACAUUUCGUGCUCUGGCUGGUUCUUGCCACUCUGCUCGUCUCCUCCCUCCUCGUCUUGACCACCAACCAUGUCUAGUAGCUGCCCCGUGAGCCUCUGCAUCGCCCUGCGCCUCUGCCUCGUCGCCGUUCGCCAUAAAUGAGUCGCUAGCUCCACGCCCAUGCCACGUCCAGCCUCUACCCGCCAUUAAAGCUUGGUCGGGAGCUCGUCCGUGAGCUCUAGAGCCCUCCUCCGCGCCUAUAUAAGGACCACCGAACCCCUCCGCACCUCCCCAGCCUCUCCCCAAGCCUCCUCGACCACCGGAGUCGCCCAAUCUCGCCAUUUUCUUCUUCGGCCACCGCAGCCACCACCGGAGUUCAUCUCCGUUCCAGCCACCGCAGGCCCCCUCUCCUCCUCCCAAGCCCUCCACUAGCUUACCCUCAUUCCACUCAGCCGCCCCACCCCCUUGCCCCUUGCCGGAGUACCCCACAUCACCGAGAGCCCCCUCCGCCCGAAGCUCUCUAUAGUCUUCCAUCACCGUGGCCUCCCCUCCGUUUUGCUCCUCCCCGGCGCCGAUUCUUCCUCUCACUGGACACGGCGUGGUUCUCUGAUCCCGCCGGUGUCCUCAGACCAGCCGGAGCCCGCCGGAUCAGCCUGCGCCAUCGCCGCCCAUCCACCCCUGUCUCCUCCUAUCACCGUGCGCUGCCGCGACCUCGAACCUCCCCGACGCCUGCUAGCCUCCGGGAUGGAUGCGGGAGGCCAGGCCGCAGCCGCCGGUGGUUGCCGCUCGACCGGAGGUGGCCUGAGCGGGCCGCCACGUCACCGGCAGCUCGGCCCCUCCCCUACCUCUUCUGUCCUGCGCGGGGGAGCAGUGAGGAGGAAGACUGUUGAGAACCGACAUCAACGAAGCAGCUUUAGCGAAUCGUCGUUAGGAAACGUAGUUAGCGGUUAUUAGGCGUCCCAAAUCUUGUAUAAAUAUGUGAUUAAAGCAUCAGAUCAUUCGUACAAUCACUUUUAUCUUUAUACAUUAUCAGCACUGCUCUACCGAAAGAGAGAUAGAGCCAUCACCGGGAAGGACAAGAAAAGGUAGGUCAUGGCAGGGAGAAACCUGUCAUCAGCGGCUUUUGCUUUCGCUCGCUUUAUCCAAAGAGAGAGCCGUCGCCUUUCCUGCACUCCUCGCGACCGUGCCGCACGUCGCCGUCAUGGCCUUGGUGUAAGGAGCGGCCCAUGUCGCCGCUUCUUCGCCGGGAACCACCGCCAGAACCGCCGCCGUGGAUAUGCAUGCCAUGGCAACCACCCUGUGCACCAGGCUGGGCCUUCCGCCACGACCACUGCUACAAAUGGAGAGAUACCUGCAAUGCACCAGGCCGGGCCUUCGGCUCCGGCAGUCGCCAACGAGUACGUCGGACACGCGACUAUACCAACUGUCUUCUCCAUCCCUCUGAUGGAGUGGUUGCUUGCAGGGCCAUCGGCGCCAUUUCUCGGAGAAGAGGAGAUGUUCCCUUGUGAACUCGCGCCGCCACCGCUGCCCCCGUACUGCCUGCAGCACGAGUUUGGACCGUGCCCAACGCGUACGGGCGCACAACUGCGGCUGCCGUCACCGACGCCGUUGGAUGAACUGCCGGAGCACUUCUUCCCUCCUGGAUACGGUCCUUCCCGGAUCUCCCAUCUCCGACGCCGGCAGCAGUGGAAGUCCACGCCUACUCCACCGUCCCCGAUCUGAACAUGGCCAUCAAGGAAGAAGAAGAGAAGAUGGAAGGAUAGGGCUCGUCGUCGACGCCGCCGCCGCCUCAUUCAUCACCGGCGACACCACCCCUGCCUCCAGCGCCACCCCUCCCUCCCACGCCUCCACCAGAGGCGCGUCGGAUACUGCGGCAGUUCGCCGCGGCCAUGGCGCAAAACCGCGCAGCCGUCCGGGGCGCGUGGUCGCCGACGGCCCUCGGCCUCACCGGCGCCCCCGGGGCGUGCAGCAGCGGCGGGGGCCGUGCGGAGAUGCGGGGCACACCCCGCCUCCCUUGACGACGACGCCAUGAGCAGGGAAGAGACGGUGUGGUGAGGUGUUGUGCCAGAUCGAGCACAGAAGUGGGGAACGGGAGAAGCGGCGCUGUGUGGGAAACCCUCGUGCGUGCUAUCAUUAUCCUUCUCUCUGUCGGUGCAUGGGCCAGCCCAAGUCACGUACGUUCUCACCAAACAGGCCUACAGGCCAAGAAAUCCAAUAAAUGGCUGCUGGCGCUGUGUCAUUUCCAACAGGAAAUAGCCAUAGUGUAUAUAUUGUACAGCAGCUUGUUCUUUCUAUUUGAGAGUAGUAUUUUAUUGUAUUAAGAACCUCUGCUUAUCAUAUUCAGUACUAUAUUAUAAGUGUGAAUAUUUAGACUAUGUAUCGUCUAACAUAAAGUCUCAGACUAUGUGUACAUAUUCUAUAUGAUUGCUUCAGCAUUUUUUUAGAAUAUGUAAUUCUUAACUGCAACAAUUUUAUUUUACAAUUCAAAAUUUGGGAUCACAAGGCAGAUGAGGCAUCUACUGCACUUUGCAGAUUACCCUCAUCGUUGAAAGAUCUACAUUUUGCCUUUUCUAUUUUGGCAAAAUGACUAUCUUCAAGUGCUCUCCCAAAUAUACAAAAUUGAUGUGACUACCUCGAAUUUUAUACUUGCAAAUCACAAGGUAAUUGUGUGAUCUACUGCAUCAAAUUGCAGACUAUCCACUCUUGUUGUAAGGUCUACAUCUAGUAUUUUGACAGAUGACUACCUUCAAAGUGUUUUUGUAAAAUGUAGUGUGACACAAGGUAAUGGACAUAUGAACAUCUACUGGUCAAAACCAGAUUAUGCUCUACAUUAUUGUGAGAUCUACACCGCAAUGGUGACUAUCUUCAAAGUGCCAUAUACAUAAAAUGAGGUCUACACAUAUAAGUAUAAAGCAUCUAUACUUGAAAAUUUUGCUUCUUCGAAGCAUUUGUUGUACUUAUAUUUUACUCUCAUAGUAAAACUAAAAUUAUGCAUGAUAAUACCAUGCAGGAAAUGGCUGGCGUCAUGAACAGAGAAUUUCAUGAACUUGAACUAGAUGGUAGUAACUAUUUACCAUGGGCUAUGGAUGCAAAGAUAGCCCUUGAAAGUCGUAAACUCGGUUCCACCAUCAUCACACCCAUUGAAGGCGCCGGAGAAAUCCCCACGGCAACCAAAUAUACCGCUUUAAGUUUCUUAAGGCACCAUCUCCAUCCGGACUUAAAGUCGGAAUAUUUGAUGGAAGAAGAUCCACUAGUUUUGUGGAACUCUCUCAAGGAGAGAUAUGACCAACAAAGAGCAGUUAUGCUGCCAGAAGCACAGAGAGAAUGGUCCCUCAUAAGGUUCCAAGAUUUCAAAUCUGUGGCAGCAUAUAACUCUGCAGUUCACAAGGUUAACUCAAAACUAAGGUUUUGCAAUCAAGCAAUUUCCAAAGAAGACCUUAUUGAGAAGACCUUGUGCACUUUCCACCCCUCAAUGAGAGUACUACAACAGCAAUACCGUCAACAAAAAUACAAAAAGUAUUCUGAGCUCAUAUACACUUUACUUCAGGCUGAGAAACAUGAUGAACUUCUCAUGAAGAAUCAUCAGACACGCCCAACAGGCUCAAUGCCACUCCCUGAAGCACAUGCUAACACUCAGUUUACUAAAAAGUAUGGGGGCAACAAAAAGAAUUUCUCGAAAUUCAAUGGAAAGUGGAAAAGGAACAACAAGCAGAAAAGCUUUGGUCAAUCUAAAGGUAAAGGUCACUUCAAGAAAAAUGACCGAAACACCAACUCCGAGAUUUGUCAAAGGUGUGGAUGUACUAACCAUCGUACUAGCAAAUGCCGAACUCCCAAGCAUCUAGCGGAUUUAUAUCUCAAAUCCACCGGGAAAGGCAAACAAGUUCAUGGAAAAGCAGAAGCUUACUUCAAUGCUUUACAACAAGAAGAGAACCUUGAAGCUAGCACCUCUCAAAGCGCUCCCCAGGAAACAAGGAAGAAGGAUGAAGAUCUUCUUGAUGUCGACAACAUGAUGGUGGAAUACACCCAAGACGCAUACGGAGAUCUCAUAUAAUCUCCACAUCACUCAUUUGAUGUUAUUAGCUAUUUUAUUGUAAUAAUGGAAGUUAUAAUUUGUAUAACCCUGAGUAGAAUAAAGUCCUACGGACCAAUCAUAUAUGUAAUUCACACACAAUGUCAUAUUUAUAUUUGUAACUGUAAUAUGAAUACUUUGUAUGUAUUUAUAUGUGAGUAAUGAAUAAAAUUUCAUGCUAAAAUAUUCUCUCACUCUAUAUAGAUUUUACGGGAAAAUAAUCCAAUGGAAGAAGAAUUAUGUUUGGUGGACAGUUGUACCACUAACACAAUAUUAAGGGAAAUAAAAUAUUUCCAAACUCUAACUAAGAGAAAAGGGAAUAUUAUGACCAUCGCCGGUCGCGAUGCCUCGAUUAUUUGUUCAGGACGAGCCACACUCGUUCUACCUAUGGGUACUACAAUUGUAAUUGAGGAUGCACUCUUGUAUCCUGAAUCUACACGCACCCUUCUAAGUUUCAAAGACCUCAGAUCAAAUAAUUUCCAUCUAGAAACAAUUUCUAAAAAUAAUUCUGAAUAUUUACUUUUAACAAAGAGUACUGGGUCUCAGAAACAAACUCUUGAGAAAUUCCCCUCGCUUCAUCUGGAUUAUAUUACAGUUAUACAAAACCCGUUCCACAUGUUGCGUACAAAAUAAUUUUUCAAGACCUUGAUAAAUUCAAGACUUGGCAUGAUCGCCUAGGUCAUCCUGGCAUAGGGAUGAUGGGAAAAAUUAUUGACAAUUCUAUUGAUCACAGCCUUCCAACUAAAAACUUCCCUAAAUCAUCAGAUUUUGUGUGCACUUCAUGUGCAACUGGGAAAUUAAUUAUAAGACCAUCUUAUCUUAAAGUAAAAAAUGAGUCACUUAAUUUUCUUGAACGCAUUCAAGGAGAUAUAUGUGGUCCAAUUCAACCACUAUUGGGACCUUUUAGAUAUUUCAUGGUACUCAUAGAUGCAUCUACUAGAUGGUCACAUGUGUGUCUAUUGUCCACACGAAAUCAUGCUUUUGCCAAGAUAAUUGCUCAAAUUAUCAAAUUAAGAGCAAAUCAUCCUGAAAAUAGGAUAAAAACAAUUCGAAUGGAUAAUGCCGUUGAAUUUUCUUCACGUGCAUUCAAUGACUAUUGCAUGGCUAUGGGCAUUCAUUUAGAACAUUAUGUGCCAUAUGUUCAUACUCAAAAUGGUUUGGCUGAAUCUCUCAUCAAAAGAGUAAAAUUAGUUGCUCGACCCCUAUUACAGAAUUGUAAUUUACCAGCAUCUUGUUGGGCACAUGCGGUAUUACACGUCGCCGAUCUAAUACAAAUCAAACCAACUGCAUAUCAUACAACCUCCCCGAUACAGAUAGUACGUGGCACUCAGCCAAGUAUUUCCCAUCUGCGAAAAUUCGGUUGCGCAGUAUAUGUACCGAUAUCACCACCGCAACGUACAACCAUGGGCGCCCACAGAAAACUAGGGAUCUAUGUGGGUUAUAAUUCUCCGUCAAUUAUAAAAUAUCUUGAACCUCUUACAGGGGACCUAUUUACUGCCCGCUAUGCUGAUUCUAUUUUUGAUGAGGACCAUUUCCCGACAUUAGGGGGAGAAUCAAACCACAAAGAAUGCCAGGAAAUCGAUUGGAAUGUAACAGGCAUCCAGUCCUUAGAUCCACGUACUAAAGAAUCUAAAACUGAAGUUCAGAGGAUUAUAGAUUUGCAACACAUUGCAAAUAACCUGCCAGAUGCAUUUGCUGACCAUAAAGGUGUCACUAAAUCACAUAUUCCCGAUGUUAAUGCACCAGAACGAGUGGAGGUGCCAAGUAAAACCACUCAAACCCCAAAUGAGAGUAAGAGGGGGAGAAAUCUGGUUAGCCGGAAUAUAGCUUCUCAAAAGCCUCCGCGGAAACAGAGGAAAUCAAAUCCUCUACCAAUAAAUGCAAUUCAACCUCAAGUUGAAGGACACCAAUCAGAUGCUCAAAAUCUAGAACCCAGCAUAAAUGCGCAUACAAAUAUAAUAGCUGGGACAUCGGAACACCAUGACUCUAUUGUUGUGGGAAAUCACAUAGAGUCCGAAGGUAUAAAAGAAAUUUCCAUAAACUAUAUAGAAUCAGGAGAAUCAUACAACAGAGAGACUACAAUUGUCGACAUAUAUUUUGCCUCCGAAAUUGCCGAAACCCUUCAACUGGAUCUAGAACUAAAGACCGUCAGGGAGUGCCUCAAGCGUCCUGAUUGGCCUAAAUGGAAGGAAGCAAUUGAGGCAGAACUACGCUCGCUCAAUAAAAGAGAGGUAUUUUCCUCAGUAAUACCUACUCCUCAUAAUGUCUUCCCUGUGGGAGCGAAAUGGGUUUUUGUUCGGAAAAAGAAUGAAAACAAUGAGGUGGUGAGAUACAAAGCAAGGCUUGUAGCACAAGGGUUCACGCAGAGACCCGGCAUUGAUUACGAUGAUACAUACUCUCCUGUUAUGAGUGGAAUAACGUUUCGAUAUUUAAUAUCUAUGGCAGUACAAAUGAGUUUAUCUAUGCAGUUGAUGGAUGUAGUGACAGCAUACUUAUAUGGGUCACUCAAAUCGGACAUAUAUAUGAAAGUCCCUGAAGGACUUAAAAUGCCGAAUCCAAAAUCAAAUAGCAACGCAUAUUGUGUAAAAUUACAAAAUUCACUCUAUGGCUUAAAACAGUCGGGUAGAAUGUGGUAUAACCGACUAAGUGAGUUCCUUAUUCAGAAAGGCUACUCAAAUAAUGAUGAUUGCCCUUGUGUAUUUAUAAAGAAAUCCUCAAAUGGAUUUUGCAUCAUCUCUGUGUACGUUGAUGACCUCAAUAUCAUUGGGAGUACACCUGAUAUAGAAGAAGCACGCAAUCAUCUAAUGGCGGAAUUUGAGAUGAAAGAUUUGGGAAAGACCAAAUUCUGCUUAGGCUUACAGCUUGAGCACCUUCCCUCAGGAAUUUUAGUAUACCAACCUGCUUAUAUUCAAAAGGUUUUGGAGAAAUUUAAUAUGGAUAAAUCAUAUCCAACCAAGACACCCAUGGUUGUCAGAUCCCUUGAUAUGAAUAAAGAUCCUUUUAGACCUCGGGAUGAUGACGAAAUAUAUUAGCACCUGAGUUCCCAUAUCUCAGUGCCAUUGGUGCGCUAAUGUACCUUGCAAAUUGCACCAGGCCUGAUAUUGCAUUUGCGGUAAAUUUACUAGCUAGACAUAGCUCAGCUCCAACAAAACGUCAUUGGACGGGAGUAAAGAAUAUCCUUAGAUAUUUACAUGGCACAAAAGAUCUUGGUUUAUUCUAUCAGAAAAACCAAGAUAUGACUAUGGUAGGAUAUACUGACGCUGGCUAUCUAUCUGAUCCUCACAACGCCAGGUCACAGACAGGUUUUGUAUUCUUAUAUGGUGGAACUGCUUUUCCAUGGAAGUCAACAAAACAGACUCUUGUAGCAACUUUCACUAAUCAUUCUGAAAUUAUUGCAUUAUUUGAAGCAUCAAAGGAAUGUGUAUGGCUUCGCAUGAUGAUUAACCACAUUCAAACUGCAUGUGGUGUUGGUUCAUUAGGAUCACCAACUAUUAUUUAUGAAGAUAAUGCAGCUUGUGUUGCUCAAAUGCAAAUGGGUUAUAUAAAAAGUAAUAUCACAAAACACAUUUCUCCUAAGUUGUUCUAUCCUCAUGCAUUACAGAAAAAUGGAGAAAUUGGUAUUUUGCAAACUAAAUCAUGUGACAAUCUAGCAGAUUUGUUCACAAAGUCUUUACCAAAUUCAACAUUCCAGAAAUGCAUUCAUGGAAUUGGUAUGAGACGACUUCGAGAUUUGCAAAGUUUGGGGGGAGAAAUCUCCUGAAAAUAUAAUCCUUUUAGUUAUCAGCAGAUAAUGAAUAUUGUACUCUUUUCCUUUUGAGUUUUUCCAAUAGGUUUCUCAUAAGAGGUUUUUAACGAGACAAUUAAAUACAAGCGUUAAUGUAUGCCAUAUCAUAUUUCUCCUUAUAUUUUUCCUACUAGGUUUUAAAGGAGUUUUUCAUGGCACAUCUGAUUGCACUCUUUUCAUUAUGAGUUUCUUUGAAAUUUUUCUCAUGAUGUUUUUAAUGAGGCAAAUAUCUUCAUAAAGAUUAUAUGCUAUACUUUCUAUUUUUCCUAUGAAGGUUUUUAAAGGAAAGUGUCUAAAGCAUGUUUAUUGUUCUCUAACUCACUAAUAAUUUUCUCCUUCUUUGAAGGUUUUUCUCAUAUGAGUUAUCAAGAGACAAUAAUCUCUAUAUGUUGCAUCAUUUUCUCCUUAUUUUUCCCACUGGGUUUAAAGGAGUUUUAGCAACAUAUCUAUACCAUUCUCCUCAUAUUUUUUUCCCACAGGGUUUUUGGAGGAGACUCUCAAGAGAUGAAUGAUAAAUAUACAAGAAGCUUUCAAAGAUGAAUCAAAAGAAGAGACGUUGUACAAGGGGGGGUGUUGAGAACUGACAUCAACGAAGCGGCUUUAGCGAAUCGUCGUUAGGAAACGUAGUUAGCGGUCAUUAGUAUCCAAGCGUCGUACGGACGCAUCUGUCCGUACAGGCGCCUCUUUGUACAGAUGCCUUUACAAUGCGUCCCAAAUCUUGUAUAAAUAUGUGAUUCUCAAUCAAUGAAAGCAUCAGAUCAUUCGUACAAUCACUUUUAUCUUUACAAAGACGACGACGACCGGCCCCCCCUCCAGCUGGCUGAUGGGCCCUGCUGGUAAGCCCCUCAGUCGUUGACCCGGCUGACGCUGACGUGGAUAAGUGGAAGCGUAGUUCCCAGAAUACGCUUUCAGUUUUUUUGUCCAGGCCCCUGUUUGAAAAUAUUUUUCUUGCAGAAAGGUCCCUGGCAGAAAACACCUCAUAACUUUUUAUCCGUAACUCCAAAUGAGGUGAUUCCAAAGCCUACUUCUUCGUUUUGUAGAUCCCAUUCUGUUGGUUUCAUUUUGAUUAUGGUUUGACACUGUGAAAAUGACCAUUAUGCCCUUGCCCUUAUUCAGCCCCCUCCGAGAGAGAACGUUUUCCGGCGAUUCGUUCCACGAGUUUCUUGCACUUUCUCCUGCUGAUUUCUUCCACCCCAGGCAAGCCACAAUACCCACUUGCAUGAUAGUCAUGCAGUAGCCAUGGUUUUCAACUUGAAUCUUUAUUAAAUGUUUGCCUGUUGAAAAGAUGGUUAUCGUUGUUCCAGUGAUGUUUAGAUUUGCAUGUUCACUUUUGUGCUAUGUUGUCUUGUACUCUGUUAUCAUGUUCUACCCGCUAGUAUUUCCUUUCAUUUGUUUAUGCUUGCUAGUAGUAAAUGUUGAUGAUUAGUGAUGGUCUUUGGUGCAUGAUUGCCGUCUGUCCCGAUUACCGUUGUUAUGCAUGUUCCAUUGCAUCCAGUUGGUUAAAUGCUUGCACGAUGGCAUUGUUGAUAUGUUCUUGCAUGAUAUUUAUUGUUGAUGCUAGUGGUUAUGUUAUGUUUCAGACAAGUAUGUACUGGUGAUGUUCAUGCUAGUCAGUAUGCCAUGCUCAGUGGAUAUGAUUCAUUGUUGAUAUGGUGGUAGUUAUGUGAUACCGUUAUGAUUAUGUUGAUAUCAUGUUCAUGCAUUGUAAUUUGCAUCAUGUUAUUUUAUCAUGGCUCAGCAUAUUUGCAUUCAAGUUUAACCAGAUUAAAGUGAACUUGAACAACUGUUGGCUGAGUCAUGGUGCCACUGAAUCGAGCUGACCAGUGCAACCACGCUUGCCAGUAUGGGAUGGCCCUAACUGGGUUUAUUGUUGUGCCUCUCGCUGGUGCCUCCAACGAGGGAAGGUUAUGGGCGCGCGCUACCCUGAUCAGGUAGGCGGACAUAAGCCUUGUGUGCCCGUUGUUGUUAUAUGGAUCCGGGUCCCUGUGUGGGAUCGUUUAUGUUUUGGCCAUGACGGUGGUCAUUGUGUCUUUGGUAGACAUGGGGCCACCCAGGACUAGCCUAGUGGGGAGUGAGUCGAAGUGGCCGGGAGAGUGUCAUGGCAGUAGGACGGUUUUGUCGGAACGCCAUUGGUCCACCCGAAUGGGAGUGCGAGGCCAUGGGUUCCAUAGUGUGGGUACAGUGUACUAACCUCUAUAGAGUGUAUAUUAAAUCUAUCGAUAGCCGCGCCCGCGGAUAAGGGCCCACUUCGUAUCGGUCACACUGUGAGUCAACAGUAUUAAUAAUAACUUGAUUAAUGACAAUCCCGGUUCGAUGAUGAGAUAAGUUGGUUGUGAUCGUCAUAAGGAUCGCGGUUUGAGGCCAAGUGUUGGUCGUGGUUGUGAUCGCCGUAAGGAUCACGGUUUGAGGCCAAGUGUUGGUCGUGGUUGUGAUCGCCAUAAGGAUCACGGUUUGAGGCCAAGUGUUCGUUGUGGUUGUGAUCGCCGGAAAAAUCACCGUUUGAGACCAAGUGUUGUUCGUGGUUGUGAUCGCUAGAAAGGUCACCGUGGUACCGAGGAUACCGAGUUGUUGGAUAUUCGUGAUGUUGUGCGAGAGUCGUGGGUAAAAAUCAAGCUCCUUGUGGUCAUUUAAUGAUCGCUACGGUAUUGUUCAUACCAAGCUUGAUUUGAUCCUGAGAUGAUCGUGUGAUGUCCGAGGUUGGUAUGUGAUGCAUGUGACGGUUACCAGGUAACCCGAGCAGAAUAAGUGGUGCAUAUAGUGUCAUCAUGUUGCAUGCUAGUAUCGUCAGAUUCAUAUGUUCAUGCCAUGCUCAUAUUAUUCUAGCUGUAUCAUGUUUAUGUUGGUCAUGCCAUGUUAUUCUGAUGAUCUCAUGAUAAUUCAUGUUUAACCUGUAAUUGCCAUGUUGUUUUGAAUGCUUCUGGUUAUUGUGAGCUGCAAGUACAUUCAAUGUACUGACCUGGUGUGUCAUGCCAGUUUGCAGGUCAUGCUGGAUUUGAUUGCUUGCUUGUCGUGGUUUCCGUUCGUGCGAGCUAGGAUAAGCGUUCCAGCCAGAGUCCCUGCGGAGUGGAGUUCACCACUGUCGUCAUGGUUCCGCUGCUAGAAGUUUUUCCGUUGCAUCGUGUUGCUCUGCUACUUGCAUAGAGCAACUGAGGAUGGCGUAGUGUCGCCGUACCGAUGUUAUUCAUUGUAAUAUUGGAGACCUUGUAAUCAUAUCCGUGUAAUAAUAGAGAGCUGAUUUGUUCUAUGCUAAGCAGUUCUGUAUUCCAGAAGACUUCUCCUCAAUCUCUAGGCUGAAAUAUGGGGCGUUCCGGUUUGUCUAAGCCGGGGUGCCACAGGCUUGCUAUUAGAGCAGGUUUGGCUGUAGGACACUCUAGUCAGCGCGAGCGGUAGAAACUGGUAGAAAUCGAUAGUAUAGAGUCGGAUUUGUUUAUUGCAUUUGGUUGCUGCAUUUGUUUGUUGCAUAGCAUGCAUAUUAGCCUUAGUAUUUGUGAUAACGGUUUAUCUGGUGAGUGUAUCUGGCAUCGGUUCGGAUCCACUACAGCUCAACCUUUGCAUUUCUCCAGUUCCUUUUUCUUUCGGUGUUUGGUGUCAUUUCUGUCCUAGCAGAGUGAUGCCAAGUGAUCCCAACACUAUUUGCAAAAAUGGUGCUCAGGUAUCGCGCCGAUGUCUUUCUUUCAGUCUCGUCUAUCGUUUCGGUGAUGGACAUGCUUCUAUCCCGAAUCGUUCUUUUAUUUUGUCGUGUUGGUAACCCUUAAUGAUCUUAGUUAUCAAGAAAGGGCAAUGUCAACAGCCUCAGUUUUUCCCCGCUAUCCUAUUUCUUGGACGAGUACGGAUCUUUUUCCGUCCGCUUGAUAAUAAUGUGGGUGCGACCUUCGUGUCCCACUACAUGAUUACCGAGUACGUCCUCGCCUCCGAGCUAGUCCAGGUUGCUACCUGACUAAGCUAGCACUUGGUGUAGCGCUGUUUACACUAAUUCUUCCACACAUUUAUUCGUCCUCGUGCACAUCGUCACAGCAUGUUAGAUCGUAGUACCGGAUAUUCCGUGAAAUUUGUGUGCUUAAGUAGGCAUGCAUAUUGUGUGACUAGCAGAAAUAUGUGACAUUGAUUGUGUGUGAAUUGAUUGUUGUUGUGUGUUUUUGUUUAGUUGAGUUUUCUUUUGCCUCUUUCUUUUUGGGCCCCGGUGUUACAUUAUUUUUCCCCUAUAAAGAAUUGCUCAUCCACCAACACCAGACUCAAAGAAGCAAUAAGGAUUUGAAAUAUUUGAAAGAAGCUCAGCUAGACAUUAUUGGCUACCCCGUCAACUGCAUUAUGGGAUUAAAAUCUGCUUAGAAUACCAAUGGUGUAUUGAGUUGAUUAUCAGCAUCGAGUCUACCUCAGUGCAAAAUCCUCACAGCAGUUAUGAUCCAGCCAGCAGAAAGACAAGUCAGGUACAAGAUCAACGGUAUAUCUCCAGACAGAGGUAUGGAUCAUAUACAAAAAUUUGGCUCAGCAAUGCAUGAUGCUUGAAAUAUGUUAUCAUCUGAAGUAAAGUCAAAAUGUGGUAUGCUCAAUAAAGAGAGUCAAACCAUUUUUCUCAUGCAAAUAAUCAGCCUCAUAAUAUUAUGGGCGUGUGUACGGAUUUCAAUCUGCAUAUCAGUAUGAAGUUUUGGGUAUAAGAAACUCAGUCCUCUUCCACACGCUAUCGGAAAAAAAAUAUGAUGCAAGGCUCCUUUUUCCUCAACAUGAUAUGUGAACCAUUUCCGGCCCAUGAUACCCAGUCUUUCUCAGCAAGAUAUCUUAGUAAAGGCUGCUGACAAACGGAAAUGAAAUUUUCUAAACAAGCAAACCCGAGGAGAAGCUUCUCAAGUACGGAACUCAGGCUUCUCCAGCACAAUAAUCAGAGCAAGCUUUGUGUGUAAGCCAUAGAGCCUUCUUCUGCACGAUACCCAAACAAAAGCUUUGAGCAGAAGUUAACAAGUCUUCCUUAGCAAGCUACUCGGAUGGCUUCUCUCAUAAGCUACCUAGUCCGCGUCAGUACCACAAUAUUGCACCAUCCUCAGAGAUUAUAUGAUGAGUUUUUGAUGUAUGGCAGUACUACUCAAGGACCAGACUUGCAAUAAUUUUUGUCAGAGGUAAAAUUCGGUCAAAACAUAUGCCUACCGCAAGGAUCGAGUGAUUGGUGGCAUAUCCUUAUUAUAUAUGGUGAGCAUGUAUCCCCAGUCAUAUCAGUAACUCAUACGUGAUGCGACAGUGAUCCAGCAGAUAUACCUAAGGAAAGUAAGGAUUCAACAACCUCCCCAGUCAGGCAAAGGAAAAAUAAGCAGAGAUACAUCUCCUAAAUUGCAAGGAUCGACAAGGUCUGGAGAUGACAUCACAGAAUCCACAGUCUUGACAGUGGUCAUCAAGGACAUUAUUUCCCCAACUGACAAGGAGAUAUUAUAAAACCUUGUCACCUUCUUGUAUGAUUGGCCUCAGCAAUGAGCUCCGUAUAGCUACAAACCCCGAAUAUAUGCCAUAUAAGUGCGAACCUAGGUCGGAAAAACAAGCACAAGGAAUAAUGCCAAAAAUAUUGCACUAAUCACAUUCAUGGCCAUACGAAGAAUCAAGGACAUGUGUGGCCAAGUUAUUUCUGUAAGGUAUCCUGACAAAGAAAAUCAUGACCGUAAAAAGGAUGAGACCGACCGCAAAGGUAUGAUGAUUUUUGCACGACCAUCAGGGUCCGGAUGCCCAAAUCAGUUGGAGGCCAUAAUUCCAUAUGGAUCCACAAAGGCAUACUCUCAGCGGCCUACUCUAUUUACAAGGAUUUUUAAUAUCCCACUGACCCGCUUGACAUGGUUAGUGUGGAAUAUCUAAGUCUGUUAUGUCAGAUCCAAGAUUCCUUUGCAACCUCGGCAAUUUGACUUCAGCGGCAGUGUUAAAGCAUAUCACAGCCUAUUACCACAGAUGGGUAUAUCAACAAAAUGAGAAAGUCAAAAGCCAAACAAUCAGCUCAGACCCGGUAUACUCACCGACGAAAUCAAGUACACGGUCAGUCGGUCAGGAAAGCAUUUGUCCGUCAGCCCCUGUCGAGCCAAUCUCAAGAUGUAAAUAUUUGAGGUAUGACACUCUAUUAUAUUGCUCAUGACAGAAGGCAGUCAAAUCUUUGGUACAUAUCUCAUGCUCGAGCCAAAGAAAUAAAUCAAGAUGAAUCAGUGCCACCUGUGAGCAGUCAGAUCCCGUCAGAAGAUGGCCAUGAUUCUCAGCAUUUAUUGAACCUAGAAGGCCUGCAUUUAUUUGAAGCAACCCCAUGGCGGAAGUAAAAAAAGUUUUCAUGACCAAGGGAAAAUUUAUACUCAUAUCCAUUGGAUAUCACCACAGAUAUGAGAAAAUUCACGUCAACAAAAAGAUUUGGUAUAUGAGCAAAGACCUGUCAGAAUUUGGGAAAGGUGAAGCAAACCACCCCAGAGCAAGAUAAGUUGAUCAUCUGAAAUUCUUGUGGGGACAAUAAAUAAAGGAACAAGGAUACCCGAGUUGGAAACGCUGUCCUCAAGUCAUACUUGUUCCCUGAGCAAUCGAAUCUCGAGGACGAGAUUUCUUUAAGGGGGUAAGAGUUGUAAUAGCUUGGAUUUUGGCCCUUUUCUUUUUCUUUUGAUUUAUUUGGUUUUUUUGCUCUGUUUUUCUUUUUGCAGUGGUUCCGUGGCCUUGCCACCUGGGAAAUCAUCCUCAUUCCCCCUCCCAAGUGGCUAAUAAUUCUCAAAACCUUGCCAAGAUCAUGUCCCUUCACUCCUUGACCAAACCCUAAAAUAUUUUUCCUAGGGAAAAUUCAUUUUUCAUUAAAGGAAUAACCCUAUCUGCCCUAGGUUCUGAAGCAACCAAUAUUUCUGUCCAUCCAAAAAAUCCCAAAUAAUUAUCAUAAUUCCUUUGGGUCAUAUAUAGCUCAAAUAUGCCCAAACAUUGCCUUGGCCAGUUCAAAAAAAUUCCCCAAUAAUUACUCUUCCUUUCUGCCCUAAAUGGCACUUUGCGAAAGAAGUGUCAUUUACAUUUCUCCUAGUGCUUCCCAACCUUUUUGGGCAUGAUUAUAUGUCCAAAUAAUUGCCCCAUGCACAAGUUCAAAUUUAUUUGCCUAGCCAAUCUUCCUUAGUGAAUUUUCAAAGUUUCUGUCAGAUAGAAGGCUUUAUGAAGGAAGUACUAGAUAGGAGUACCCAAAUGAUUUGAAAUUUUGCAGACUCCUUAAUGUGCUCAUAUUAAUCCUCUCCACCCAUUUGCAGCCCCAUAAAAUCAUCUAUGUGAGCACAGGAGCAAAUCUUUGAUUCUGGCAAUAUUUUCAGGUUGUGAAGCAAGUGCAUUUUAUAUUGCUUCAAAAAUCCUAAUAAAUUACCAGAUCAUUGUUAUACCCAUAAAACAUCUGUCCACCCAAUUUGGCAUCAUUUCAAUAAGCCAUUUGAUCACCAAAAUUAUUCCAAGUUUCAGGACAGAAAUGAUGUUUGUGAAUCAAGUGCCAUUUUUGCUUGUCCAUUUGGCAUGAUCUUUUUACAUCAUCAUCAUAUGUCCAAUUGAUCAAGCUUUGCCCAAUCUUAGCCCAAGUUGACACUCUAUGUGAGUGCACCAUCAUGAUCUAGUUUCUGGACCAUUUUGGUCAGUUGUGAAGCAACUGCAGUAAAUCUUGGUCUAUUUCCCCUAAAAACCUCCAGGAUGAAAGUCCUUCUUACCGUAAACCUCCCAGAAAAAUUAUUUACUGAGUUACCUAGCUGGUGUCCCCACUGCACAGCACAAACACUUGGCUACUGGUUUAGUUUGGAGCUAAGUGCAAAACUCUUCUUUGCCCCUGGAGCGAUUUGUUUCCCUAUUUAUACUAAGGUCACUAGGGCCAUUCCAGUGGACAUGGUAGGCCCAGCCAGAAUGCGCCAUUUGCACCAGAGCCCGUGGUGAUCACGAUGGCGUCACACACAUUUCGUGCUCUGGCUAGUUCUUGCCACUUUGCUCGUCUCCUCCCUCCUCGUCUUGACCCCCAACCAUGUCUAGUAGCUGCCCCGUGAGCCUCUGCAUCGCCCUGCGCCUCUACCUUGUCGCCGUUCGCCAUAAAUGAGUCGCUAGCUCCACGUCCGUGCCACGUCCAGCCUCUACCCGCCAUUAAAGCUUGGUCGGGAGCUCGUCCUCGGGCCCUAGAGCCCUCCUCCGCGACUAUAUAAGGACCCCCGAACCCCUCCGCACCUCACCAGCCUCUCCGCAAGCCUCCUCGACCACCGGAGUCGCCCAAUCUCGCCAUUUUCUUCUUCGGCCACCGCGGCCACCACCGGAGUUCAUCUCCGUUCCGGCCACCGCAGGCCCCCUCUCCUCCUUCCAAGCCCUCCACUAGCUUCCCCUCGUUCCACUCAGCCGCCCCACCCCCUUGCCCCUUCCCGGAGUACCCCGCAUCACCGAGAGCCCCCGCCGCCCGAAGCUCUCUGUAGUCUUCCAUCACCGCGGCCUCCCCUCCAUUCUGCUCCUCCCAGGCGCCGGUUCUUCCUCUCACUGGACACGGCGUGGUUCUAUGGUCCCGCCGGUGUCCUCAGAUCAGCCGGAGCCCGCCGGAUCAGCCUGCGCCAUCGCCGCCCGUCCGCCCCUAUCUCCUCCUAUCGUCGCGCGCCGCCGCGACCUCGGACCUCCCUGACGCCUGCUAGCCUCCGGGAUGGAUGCGGGAGGCCAGGCCGCAGCCGCCGGUGGUUGCCGNNNNNNNNNNNNNNNNNNNNNNNNNNNNNNNNNNNNNNNNNNNNNNNNNNNNNNNNNNNNNNNNNNNNNNNNNNNNNNNNNNNNNNNNNNNNNNNNNNNNNNNNNNNNNNNNNNNNNNNNNNNNNNNNNNNNNNNNNNNNNNNNNNNNNNNNNNNNNNNNNNNNNNNNNNNNNNNNNNNNNNNNNNNNNNNNNNNNNNNNNNNNNNNNNNNNNNNNNNNNNNNNNNNNNNNNNNNNNNNNNNNNNNNNNNNNNNNNNNNNNNNNNNNNNNNNNNNNNNNNNNNNNNNNNNNNNNNNNNNNNNNNNNNNNNNNNNNNNNNNNNNNNNNNNNNNNNNNNNNNNNGCUAACACUGACGUGGAUAAGUGGAAGUGUAGUUACCAGAAUACGCUUUCAGGUUUUCUAUCCAGGCCCCUGUUUGAAAAUAUUUUUCUUGCAGAAAGGUCCCUAGCAGAAAACACCUCAUAACUUUUUAUCCGUAACUCCAAAUGAGGUGAUUCCAAAGCCUACUUCUUUGUUUCAUCAAGCCUGUUCUGUUGGUUUCAUUUUCACUAUGGUUUGACACAGUGAAAAUGACCAUUAUGCCCUUGCCCUUAUUCAGCCCCCUCCGAGAGAGAAUGUUUUCCGGCGAUUUGUUCCGCGAGUUUCUCGCACUUUCUCGCGGUGAUUUCUUCCACCCCAGGCAAGCCACAAUACCCACUUGCAUGAUAGUCAUGCAGUAGCCAUGGUUUUCAACUUGAAUCUUUAUUAAAUGUUUGCUUGUUGAAAAGAUGGUUAUCGUUGUUCCGGUGAUGUUUAGAUUUGCAUGUUCACUUGUGUGCUAUGUUGUCUUGUACUCUGUUAUCAUGUUCUACCUGCUAGUAUUUCCUUUCAUAUGUUUAUGCUUGCUAGUAGUAAAUGUUGAUGAUUGGUGAUGGUCUUCGGUGCAUGACUGCCGUCUGUCCCGAGUACCGUUGUUAUGCAUGUUCCAUUGCAUCCAGUUGGUUAAAUGCUUGCACGAUGGCAUUGUUGAUAUGUUAUUGCUUGAUAUUUAUUGUUGAUGCUAGUGGUCAUGUUAUGUUUCGGACAAGUAUGUACUGGUGAUGUUCAUGCUAGUCAGUAUGCCAUGCUCAGUGGAUAUGAUUCAUUGUUGAUAUGGUGGAUAGUUAUGUGAUACCGUUAUGAUUAUGUUGAUAUCUUGUUCAUGCAUUGUAAUUUGCAGCAUGUUGUUCUAUCAUGGCUCAGCAUAUUUGCAUUCAAGUUUAACCGGAUUAAAGUGAACUUGAACAACUGUUGGUUGAGUCAUGGUGCCACUGAAUUGAGCUGACCUGUGCAACCAUGCUUGCCGGUAUAGGACGGCCCUAACUGGGUCUAUUGUUGUGCCUCUCGCCGGUGCCUCCAACGAGGGAAGGUUAUGGGCACGCGCUACCCUGAUCAGGUAGGCGGACAUAAGCCUUUUGUGUUCGUUGUUGUUAUAUGGAUCUGGUUCCCCGUGUGGGAUCGUUUAUGUUUUGGCCACGACGGUGGUCGUUGUGUCUUUGGUAGACACGGGGCCACCCAGGACUAGCCCAGUGGGGAGUGAGCCGGAGUGGCUGGGAGAGUGUCACGACAGUAGGACGGUUUUGUCAGAACACCGUUGGUCCACCCGGGAGUGUGAGGCCAUGGGUUCCGUAGUGUGGGUACAAUGUACUAAUCUCUGCAGAGUGUAUAUUAAAUCUAUCGAUAGCCGCGCCCGCGGAUAAGGGCCCACUUCGUGUCGGUCACACUGUGAGUCAACUGUAUUAAUAAUAACUUGAUUAAUGGCAAUCCUGAUUCGAUGAUGAGAUAAGUUGGUUGUGAUCGCCGUAAGGAUCACGGUUUGAGGCCAAGUGUUGGUCGUGGUUGUGAUCGCCGUAAAAAUCACGGUUUGAGGCCAAGUGUUGGUCGUGGUUGUGAUCGCCGUAAGGAUCACGGUUUGUGGCCAAGUGUUGGUCGUGGUUGUGAUCACCGGAAAGAUCACCGUUUGAGACCAAGUGUUGGUCGUGGUUGUGAUCGCCGGAAAGGUCACCGUGGUAUCGAGGAUACCGAGUUGUUGGAUAUUCGUGAUGUUGUGCGAGAGUCGUGGGUAAAAAUCAAGCUCCUUGUGGUCAUUUAAUGAUCGCUACGGUAUUGUUCAUACCAAGCUUGAUUUGAUCCUGAGAUGAUCGUGUGAUGUCCGAGGUUGGUAAGUGAUGCAUGUGACGGUUACCAGGUAACCCGAGCAGAAUAAGUGGUGCAUAUAGUGUCAUCAUGUUGCAUGCUAGUAUCGUCAGAUUCAUAUGUUCAUGCCAUGCUCAUAUUGUUCUAGCUGUAUCAUGUUUAUGUUGGUCAUGCCAUGUUAUUCUGAUGAUCUCAUGAUAAUUCCUGUUUAACUUGUAAUUGCCAUGAUGUUUUGAAUGCUUCUGGUUAUUGUGACCUUGCAAGUACAUUCAAUGAAUUGACCUGGCGUGUCAUGCCAGUUUGCAGGUCAUGCCGGAUUUGAUUGCUUGUUUGUCGUGGUUUCCGUUAGUGCGAGCUAGGAUAAGCGUUCCAGCCAGAGUCCCUGCGGAGUGGAGUUCACCACCGUCGUCAUUGUUCCGCUGCUAGAAGUUUUUCCGCUGCAUCGUGUUGCUCUGCUGCUUGCAUAGAGCAACUGAGGAUGGCAUAGUGUCGCCGUACCGCUAUUAUUCAUUGUAAUACUGGAGACCUUGUAAUCAUAUCCGCGUAAUAACAGAGAGUUGAUUUGUUCUAUGCUAAGCAGUUCCGUAUUCCAAAAGACUUCUCCUCGAUCUAUGGGCUGGAAUACGGGGCAUUCCGGUUUCUCUGAGCCAGUGUGCCACACGCAUUUUGUGGCAGUGGCAAACAGAUCAUAGGCCAUAUAAAGCACCAUUAAAACUAAACACAUCUUUGGUCGUGGCACCUAGGAGUAUUUUAGAAGCAGGCCGGUUUGUUAGUUUCAGCUUAGAUGUGCAUGAAUUUACCUGUUGAUUCUUUCUCAUCUUGCACAAUUAUUAAAAAAACACUCAUUUGCAUGCAACAAGACACAUGAGAUAUAGUUUAAUUGGCUUCUUUCGCCCCAUACAGACGCAUCUUGGGGCUUAUUGGUUUCUAGCCACACUUUACCACACCUCACCUUAGGCAAGUUUGACCAAGUUAGGUGGGUGUUUGGUUCUAGCCACACAUAAGGCAAGAAUUCUUUUGUGAGCAGUGAACCCCACAUAUCAUAGACACAAAAAGUGUGGCAAGAUUCCCUUAGGCAAGCCAAAGUGUAGCUAUCAAUUUGAGCAACUCAAGUUAAUCAAGUGUGGGAAAAUAUAGUGGCAAUAUAAGGCAAACAUAGUCACAAUCCAAACUGAACCAUAAAGCAAAUUUUCAUCAGGUGAAAAAUAGUCGUCCAGAUAAAUUCAUCAUUGUACAAGUAGGUGAAGAAAUAAAAAUAGGAAAAGUAGGAAGGAAACAAAGUGUUGGUCCGCCUCAACAGUCUUACUUAUUACUCCUUGUAGGGUCGAGGACGUGCCCCGCAAAGACAACUGCUCCGGUCGCCUCCUCCACUAUGUACUCCCUCCGUUCCAAAAUAGAUGACCCAACUUUAUACUAACUUUAGUAUAAAGUUGGGUCAUCUAUUUUGAAACGGAGGGAGUAGUAGGCAAAUGGAUGGUCGGCGAUGAAAUCCACAUGUGGAGGUGUUGGAGGUGAUGGCAUUGUGCAUCCAAGACCCUGGACGACCAUGGUGACAGCGGCGGCUUCAGUCCCUUCCUCGUUUACCUCGACGAUGGCCUUGUGAAUGACAUCAUCCACCACUAUCGGCAAGCCAGAGCCAUCAUCCUCCACCAUGUCCGACAGGUUGCCCUGCUGGCAAAACGAGAGCUCAAGCCCAAGCUUCUUGAGGACGGCGGCAAUGCUGCUGUGGAAGGACAACUUGAACUUUAGUAUCCGGAACUCGUGGAGGGCGAUUCUCUGCUCCGGCAGGUGGUCGUGCAGGAACCCAGGCUGGGAUGCCAUCGUGUCCAGCAGCCCCCACGGGACGUCAUGGGCGUCCUGGAGGAAGAUGCACAUGGAGAACUGCAUGUACCCGGUAUGAUCGGAGCUAGAGUGCGCCCAUGAAGCAGCACCCUGGGAUGGGUAGGCAUUGCCUGUCCAUGGAUCAGGCGCGUAGCUAUUGCAAAAUGCAUUAUGGCGGGGGAAAUAUGGGUUACGAGGGUGGCCAAUCAGACCAACACGACCAAAUGGAACCUGGAGGGCAUAUGAUGGAUUAGGAAGGUAGCCAAACCGACCAAGUGCGCCAUAUGGAUAUGGCCUAGGAUGGGCGCACGAAGAGAAGGUGAUGCCGGCCCAGGGAGGAGGAUCCUGACGAUGGUGACGGAAGUAUGGUGAGGGUCCGGUGGGAAGAUAAUUUGGAGACGGACCCCCAUCGUUGUAAGCAGCACUCACAUGGCGAUGGGCGUAGGGAGCACCAUGGCCAUGGGCGCCAUGGUCACCAUGGCCCAAAGGAGGAAGAGGCGCAUGUUCCAGUGUCGUGCCCUCAUGAUCUAGCUCCUCCAUCUUGUACCGGAGUUUGAGGACCUUGAACCCAUCGUGGACGGCGACGAACAAUGACUUAAAGCUCUGCAUGAAGGGCACGUUAACUUGGAUGCGGUCGAGCCAGCGGAAGGGUUUGUGCGCGGUGUGCCUCCUGUUUUUUUAGAAAAGGGGGAGAUCCCCGGCCUCUGCAUCAGAAUGAUGCAUACAGCCACAUUUAUUAAAAAGCAAAUAAGUUCAACAUAGGUCCUCAAGUCUCAGCAUGAAUGAAACAAAAAAGCUCACAAAGAGCAUGAUGGUGAAAAUAAAGCCACAACUGGCUGGCAAAAGAAAGAUAGGAAAACUAAUUGCCUAUCCUAUUACAUGACCGCCAUCCAAACCGGUUGAAUAUAGCCCGAGCUACCAUCUCCCAUAGGAUAGAUCCAGUAACUAAACGCUCCUUGGCCUCCGUCUGAGUGAGUAGCGACCACAUACGGAUCAACACAGUGGCUCGGAAGAUAACCUGCAAAAAAUGAGUAUUUGUUGUUCUGUUAAAAACCAAAUCAUUCCUGCAGUUCCAGACUGCCCACAGUAAAGCACAUACUCCUACACGAAUGUGUCUUGCUGUUUCAAAAUCUAUCCCAUCAAGCCACGUCCCAAAUAACGUGUUGAUAUUAUUCGGAGGAGUAAUAUUAAAAGCAAUGUGUACAGUCCACCAUAAAAUUUUCGCCAUCAGACGGUCAAGAAAGAGGUGUUUGAUGGUCUCAUCCUGGUCACAAAAACUACAUCUAGAACCAGCCCAGUUGCGUUUUGCCAAAUUGUCCUUAGUUAAAAUGACUUGUUUGUGUACAAACCACAUAAACACAUUAACCCUCAAAGGUACUUUGACAUUCCAAACAUGUUUCAAUCUAGGAAUAGACCUAGAGUUGAUAACAUCCAGAUACAUGGAUUUAACUACAAACUCUCCAUUCCUGGUUAGUUUCCAGCACAACUGGUCUGGGAGCUCAGAAAGCUGCACGCCCAUCAGUCUUCUUACUAGAUGGAGCCAGGCUUCCCAACGGGCACCGGCAAGUGUUCUCCUGAAAUGAAAUAUUAAGAGGAGUGGACUGAAGCACAGUUGCAACGAAAGCGUCUCUUCGUUCAACAAUGCUAUACAGUGAAGGAUACUGAAGCGCGAGGGGUGUUUCCCCUAGCCAUGUAUCCUCCCAGAAUCUCGUAGAUGUACCAUUUCCGACUUUAAACUUUGUCCUGUUGAAAAAGACUGAUUUAACUCUCAUCAGACCUUUCCAAAAAGGCGAGUCCGUCGGCCUCACUGUCACCUGGGACAAAGUUUUGGAAUGAAGAUACUUAUUACGCAGAAUCUGCACCCACGUGGCCUUCGACUCUACAGAUAGCUUAUACAGCCACUUGCUGAGAAGACAUCUGUUUUUUACCUCAAGAUUUUCAAUACCUAGACCCCCUUGGUCUUUUGGUCAACAAAUUAUAUCCCAUUUAGCGAGUCGAUACUUUCUUUUCAGGUCAUCACUCUGCCAGAAGAACCGGGAUCGAUAGAAAUCUAGUCUUUUCCGAACUCCAACUAGCACCUCGAAAAAAGACAAUAGAAACAUAGACAUGCUCGUGAAUACCAAAUUAAUGAGAAUUAAUUGGCCCCCAUAUGACAUCAGCUUGCCCUUUUAUCAACUCAGUUUCUUUUCAAAUCGAUCCUCAAUACACUUCCAUUCUCUAUUUGUUAGCUGGUGAAUUGGUAUACCCAAAUACAUGAAAGGUAAAGCCCCCCAGUUCAUAGCCGAACAAUUGUUUGUACGCCUCUUGUUCCUCUUUGGCUCUUCUGAAGCAGAACAAUUCGCUUUUGUGAAAGUUAAUUUUUAACCCGGUCAAUUGUUCGAAUAAGCAUAACACCAGCUUCAUGUUUCUCGCUUUUGCCAAUUCAUGCUCCAUGAAUAUAAUAGUAUCAUCAGCGUACUAUAGGAUAGACACCCCUCCAUCAACUAUAUGAGGUACUAGUCCACCUACUUGACCAGCAUCCUUUGCCCUUCCUAUUAGAAUUGUCAACAUGUCAACUACAAUGUUGAACAGACUAGGUGACAUUGGAUCUCCUUGUCUGAGGCCCUUAUGUGUUUGGAAGUAGUGACCUAUGUUGUCAUUCACUUUGAUUCCAACACUCCCUUUUUGCGUGAAAGAUUCAACCUGGUGUCUCCAGGCCUGAUCAAAACCUUUCAUGCGCAAUGCUUGUUGCAGAAAGGGCCAUUUGACUUUGUCAUACACUUUUUUGAAAUCCACUUUGAAAACAACCCCAUCUAGUUUUUUCGUAUGGAUUUCAUGGAGCGUUUCAUGAAGGACCACAACUCCUUCCAGGAUGUUCUGUCCGUCAUGAAAGCAGUUUGGGUCGGCUGCACCACAGAGUGCACAAUCUGUGUGAGUAUUAGUCCCAACCUUGGUAAAAAAUUUGAAACUAACAUUAAGAAGACAGAUAGGCCUGAACUGCUCAAUUCUCACAGCCUCUAUUUUCUUCAGAAGCAAAGCUAUAGUUCCAAAAUCCAGGUGAAACAGGUGAAGCUGUCCGACGAAUAGAUCAUGGAACAUCGAUAACAAAUCCCCUUUAAUUAUGUGCCAGCAUUUUUUAUAAAACUCCGCCGGAAAUCCAUCCGACCCUGGAGCUUUACUAUUCUUCAUCUGUGAAAUAGCUUCAAACACCUCUUUCUCCGGAAAAGGGGCGGCUAACACAUCAUUCUCCUCCGCAGCCAGCUGAGGAACAUCCUCAAUUCGAGACUCAUCCAAGGACACAAAAUUAUCCUUUGGAGGUCCAAAAAGCUGCUUGUAGUAAUUGGUUAUGUAUAAUUUUAGGUUUUCAUGUCCUAAACUCAUCCCCUCGUCUUGCUCAAGCUAAAGAUUCUUUUAUUUCUAUGCUUGCCAUUGGCGGUCAUAUGAAAGAAUUGAGUGUUGGAAUCCCCUUGGACAACUUUGCGAACCUUAGCUCGCAAUUCCCACUUCAACUCCUCUUCUCGCAGAAGUUCUUUUAGUCGCAUCUCCGCGUCUACUUUAGCGUGGAGCUCCGAGGUUUCUAAAUUGUGGACUUGGCUUUCAAAUCUAGGGCCUGAAUAAGUGUAUGGAGCCUCCUGUUGAAUGGCUGGCCCUCCCACUUGCCCUUGAAGUACAUGGCGUUGCCGAGCAUGACCCAAGUCGUUGCCGGAUUUAUCGAUCCCAGGGGAAGGCCGGAGUCGAUGAGGUUCCUCGUCACCUAAGCCGCCCACGCAUUGAUCUGGUGGCAAGCUUCCUCUAGCGUGUCGCAGAAGUUAACGGUGCUCGCCUCGGCCUUGUACGUUCCCACGACGGCUGAGCAGAAGGCCGGCUUUGGCGGCCGCGUCAGGUCGCUCCACACGGCGCACGCGAACGCCACACGGGGGCCGCCUGAGGCCAACCUGUCAUGGGGCGUGCCCGCCGCCAUGCGAGACAUGAAGUUCUCGAGCUCGCUGCACGACCACAUGCCGAGGACGCGUAGGAUCUCGUCCAGUGUGGCGUCCCUGGCGCCGGCGGCCAAGAGCGACAGGGCUGCGUAGAUGGACAACAGUGAGAAUAUUAGGUUGUCGUUCGUCCUCCUAUCGGCGAGGCACCUCGCGAGCCCGACGGCAAGCGCUGCCAGGACGCUAGAGCCAGGAUUCCCCAUAGGCCCUACUACGUCGAACUGCGCUGGCAAGUUUUUGGUCACCGGCGAGUUUCUGGUCAUCGGCAACUCGAAUCCUCUAUCAUGUAGUCGAUGCUCGUUAAGUGCACGCCGUUGUUUCUGUUGCACAAUCCGCGUCGGGCUGUUACCAUUGCUAGGGUCGACGACAUGCCCUGCAAACAUGAUCGCGCCGAAUGCCUCCUCGACUAUGAAAUACAUGAAAGGAUGGUCGGCGAGGAAAUCCACCCUCGACUUCGGCAUCAUCAUGGGAGCACAUCCAAACUCCGCACUCAUCAUGGUGACAGUCGCAACUUCCAUUCGUAGGACCUUGAGAAGAGGUGUCUAGAGGGGGGGUGAUUAGACACUAAGUAUCAAAGUUGCAGUUUUUAACUUCUUUAAGUUUAAGUGGAGUUUAGGAACAAGUUUAACAUUCACAAUACAUAACAAGCAAGCAUGCAAAGAGUAUAUGAGCAGCGGAAAGUAAAGCAUGCAACUUGCAAGAAUGUAAAGGGAAGGGUUUUGGAGGAUUCAAACGCAAUUUGAGACACGGAUGUUUUUGUCGUGGUUCCGAUAGGUGGUGCUAUUGUACAUCCACGUUGAUGGAGACUUCAACCCACGAAGGGUAAUGGUUGCGUGAGUCCACGGAGGGCUCCACCCACGAAGGGUCCACGAAGAAGCAACCUUGUCUAUCCCACCAUGGCCGUCGCCCACGAAGGACUUGCCUCACUAGCGGUAUAUCUUCAUGAAGUAGGCGAUCCCCUUGCCCUUACAAACUCCUUGGUUCCACUCCACAAUCUUGUCGGAGGCUCCCAAGUGACACCUAGCCAAUCUAGGAGACACCACUCUCCAAGAAGUAACAAAUGGUGCGUUGAUGAUGAACUCCUUGCUCUUGUGCUUAAAAUGAUAGUCUCCCCAACACUCAACUCUCUCUCAUAGGAUUUGGAUCUGGUGGAAAGAAUAUUUGAGUGGAAAGCAACUUGGGGAAGGCUAGAGAUCAAGAUUCAUAUGGUAGGAAUGGAAUAUCUUGGCCUCAACACAUGAGUAGGUAGUUCUCUCUCAGAACUGGUAAGUUGGAAGUGUAGGUUUGUUCUGAUGGCUCUCUCCACGAAUGAAUAGGAGGUGGAGGGGUAUAUAUAGCCUCCACAAAAAAUCUAACUGUUACACACAAUUUACCAAACUCGGUGGGACCGAAUCAACAAACUCAGUUGGACCGAUUUAGUAAAUCUAGUGACCGUUAGGGUUUUCGGUGGGACCGACAUGCAACUCGGUAGGACCAAUAUGGUUACGGUUAGGGCAUAACGUAAUCUCGGUGAGAUCGAUUACACAAACUCGGUGAGACUGGUUUUGGUAAUUACCUAACCAGAGAGUUGGUCAGGCAAACUCGGUGGGACCGAUUACUCAAACUCGGUGGGACCGAUUUUGGUAAUAAGUUAACCAGAGAGUUUGCAUUGUAAUCUUGGUAGUACCAAUUGCUCAAACUCGGUGAGACCAAUUUUGGUAAUGGACAUACACAGAGAGAUUACAAUCCCAUCUCGGUGAGACCGAGAUCCCUAUCGGUGAGACCGAUUUGUCUAGGGUUUGUGGCAGUGGCUAAGACAUUUGAACUUGGUGGCGCCGGAUAGAAAGAAUCGGUGGGGCUGAGUUUGACUUUAGGUUUAGGUCAUAUGUGUGGAAGUGGGAAAGUAGUUGAGAGUUUUGGAGCAUAUCACUAAGCACUGUGGAGCAAGAAUCUCAUUAAGCAACACCUCAUCCCUUCUUGAUAGUAUUGGCUUUUCCUAUAGACUCAAUGUGAUCUUGGAUCACUAAAAUGUAAAAUGAAGAGUCUUGAGCUUGAAGGUUGAGCCAAUCCUUUGUCCUUAGCAUCUAGAAGGAGUUCCCACAUCCUUUAGUCCAUGCCACUCCAUUGUUGAACUUAUCUGAAACAUACUAGAUAAAAGUGUUAGUCCAACAAGAGAUAUGUUGACAUUAAUUACCAAAACCACCUAGGGAGCACUUGUGCUUUCAAUCUCCCCCUUUUUGGUAAUUGAUGACAACAUACAUCAAAGCUUUAGAUAAAGAUAUAAAGAAUAGCAAGUAAAGCUUUGGAAAGACAUGUAACAAGCAUAGGCUCCCCCUACAUGUAUGCAAUCAUGUGAAUAUGGAAUAUAGAAGCAUGUGAGAGCAUAACCAUGAUAGAGUAGGCAAUGUGUUACAUGUAUCUUGGCCAUAUGCAUCAAAGCAAAGAAUAUUAAAGAAAAUACCUUCAUGCCCAUGAGUCCUUCUUGCAAACAGUAUGUACAUCAGCAAGAAUUCCUCAUACACAUGAUUGUGAUGCAUAUACUUACCUUGUAGUCUUGAGUUGGCUUAGGAUGGAAUGAACCUGCGUAAACAAGGUUAGAUAACACAGGUACAUCUACUAACCAGAGCAAACAGAAGAAACCACAAGAAUACCAAGGCUGGGAUGACAUGUAGAGAGUGAGUACUAAGUACCACAUUGGAUUAGACAUGUCCCCAAGAGUAAAGAUAUGCAAUGAAUUUAAAUGAUUUCUUUCCCUUAGAUGUCUUGCUCCCCCUGAAUCUAGCAUGGGAUACUGGGAGAAGAUAGGGAACAGAAAAUCAGAGCUGAAAGAUAUAAAUGAAAAGAGCUAAUGCAAAUAAGCACAUAUGAACAUGUCUUUCCCCUCAAGAAGACAUGUGGCAUCUAUCCUCUUGAACACCAAGCAUCUGGGAUCCUUGAGAAAUACUUUCUACUUGAGUAUUCUCUCCCCCUGGAGAUCUCUUUCUCCCCCUGUGGAAGUAAUGCUCUCUCCCUUUUGGAAGUAAUAAGCUUUGAUGUGAUCUCUCUCUCCCCCUUUGACAUCAAUUUCCAAGAAGGGUUUGAUCCUUGAGUCACAACACAAAGCAUUUAUAUAAAUGUGAUGCUUGUAGAGGACAAGAUUCAUUGAGUGGAGGUGGAUCAGAAGAAACACAGAAUAAGUGGCAAACUGUUUUUUCCUGUUGUGAAAUCGGUGGCACCGAGUGGUAUGCUUCAGUUGUACCGAAAGGAUUCAGUUGGACCGAAAACAGCAAAUCAGUGAAACCGAGUUCAUCGCAGAGAAAACACUUGUCACCUCAGCUCACUAGACUAGUAAGAUCUCACAAAGAUUUGCAAGGAAUUUACUGAAUGAUAUGCAAUGAAUUGGAUGCAGAAAAUGCAGAGCAAACGGAAAGAAAUCUAGAUGAAUUUUUUUUUGAAAGGGGAAAUAAAUAUGCAUGAGAAAAAUGCAAAAACACAGAAAAGAACACAAGAGAACUUCAUCUAGAGAUGGUCGGCGACAAAGUCACCUAUGUUAGAGUAUAUUGACUUAGGAGUCAAGUGAGAUCACUUGAUCAUAGGUCAUACUCAUCAUUCAAGCUCAAAAUGGGGUUGCCAUUUUUCGUUUAAGCAUCUUGAUGUAUUCACAUCUUGUCGAGUUGCUUUAGCUCAUGACUUGGAGUAAAGCUUCUCUAAGAUGGAAUAACAUACCUUGGUUGGUGGUGUUGAACAUGUAGUUGAACUUGUGUGGGUUGCUCAAGGUUGAUGUAGCUCAUCAAGAAUUGGGAGCACCACUUGGAAUUUGAGUCCAUCUACCUACAUGGGUUAGUUCUUGCAAGGAAGAGCACUUGUGUAUCCAAAAAUGACAAUCAUGAAGCUCAACAUAGAAUUUGUCAAAGGAUAUGUUCGAAUGGUUCCGUGCUUCCUUGUCUUCAACCACCAUAGUGUAGAAACUUGGUGAUGUAGAGAUUGCUCAAGAUGUGAGUAGAUCUCAAUCUCAUGGAAUUUGAUUCAACCAAGUACCUACAUGGGUUAUAUAACAUGCAAGAUGCAAAUAUAUCCAAGACAUAAGAUCUUCAUCAUAAGAGAAAUAUCAAGGAUUAGUCAUAAGCUCAUGUCUUGCAUGUGUCCAAUGGAGUUUCUACUCCAAGUUUGAAGCAUCUAUGAUGUUCAAUUCUCCUCUCAACCUGCAAAACACUUUCUCAUCAAGAGGUUUAGUGAAUAUAUCCGCUAAUUGCUUUUGGGUGCAAACAUGCUUAAGAUUAAUGUCACCCUUAGCAACAUGAUCUCGAAUGAAAUGAUGACGAACUUCAAUAUGCUUAGUUCGAGAAUGUUGUACGGGAUUAUGAACAAUUUUGAUAGCACUUUCAUUGUCACAAAGCAAUGGAACAUGUUUCACAUAUAUCCCAUAAUCUUUAAGAGUUUGGGUCAUCCAAAGUAACUGAGCACAACAUGAACCAGCGGCAAUGUAUUCCGCUUCGGCGGUGGAUAAGGAUACCGAGUUUUGUUUCUUGGAGGACCAAGACACAAGAGAUCUACCAAGAAAUUGACAAGUACCCGAAGUGGACUUUCUAUCAACCUUGUCUCCAGCAUAGUCCGAGUCGAAGUAGCCAACAAGAUCGAAAGAGGCCCUCUUAGGAUACCAAAUGCCAAAAUUUGGUGUAUGGAUUAAGUAUCUCACUAUCCUUUUCACGGCCUUAAGAUGACAUUCUUUAGGAGCAGCUUGAUAUCGUGCACACAUGCACACACUUAGCAUGAUAUCGGGACGUGAAGCACAUAGAUAUAACAAUGAACCAAUCAUAGAGCGAUAAACCUUUUGAUCAACCGGUUCACCAUCUUUGGUCAAGUCAAGAUGUCCACUAGUAGGCAUGGGUGUAGUCAUACCUUUGCAUUCUUGCAUAUUGAACUUCUUGAAUAGGUCCUUGGUGUACUUCGUUUGAGAGACAAAGGUACCUUCCUUAGUUUGCUUGAUUUGCAAACCAAGAAAAAAUUUGAGUUCACUCAUCAUAGACAUCUCAAACUUCUCCGACAUUAGCUUCCCAAACUUUUCACUAAAAUGAGGGUUAGUUGAACCAAAUAUAAUAUCAUCAACAUAGAUUUGGCACACAAAUAGUUCUCCAUUAACCCUUUUAGUAAAAAGUGUGGAAUCAAUUUUCCCAAUUUCAAAGCCUUUUUCAAUGAGGAACUUGGUCAAGCAUUUAUACCACGCUCUAGGAGCUUGUUUAAGACCAUAAAGGGCUUUGUGAAGUUUGUAGACAUGAUUUGGUUUCUUAGGAUUGACAAAGCCGGGAGGUUGCUUAACAUAAACUUCCUCCUCUAUUUCACCAUUUAGAAAAGCACUUUUAAUGUCCAUUUGGUACAAGGUGAUAUCAUGGUGAUUAGCAUAGGCAAGUAAGAUGUGAAUGGACUCAAGUCUAGCAACGGGAGCGUAAGUCUCACCAUAGUCCAUACCUUCGACUUGUGUUUAGCCUUGGGUGACGAGACGUGCUUUUUUGCGAACUACUUGUCCAUCUUCAUCUUGCUUGUUGCGAAACACCCAUUUGGUACUGAUGAUAUUGUGGUUGUUGUCGGGCUUCUCAACCAAUGUCCAAACUUGGUUCCUCUCAAAGUUGUGUAGCUCUUCAUGCGUAGCAUUUAUCCAAUCCGGAUCUUCCAAUGCUUCUUCGACCUUCAUAGGUUCAAUGCUAGAGAUGAAAGAAUAGUUUUCAAAAAAGUUAGCUAAACGAUUUUUAGAGCGAGUGAUUCUCCCGGUUUGAAUAUCAUUGUAGAUUUGCUUGAUGGGAUGGUCUUUAGCAAUUCUUGCUCGAACUCGUGAAAGCUUUUGCUUGGUUCUUGGUUGAACUUCUUCUUUAUCUUGUUCUUCUUCUUGGCCUUCUUCAUUGUUGGCGUUGGCGUUCUCUUGUCGUGGUGGAGAAGGAGGUUGUUGACGUUCAUCUUGAUGCACUUCCUCGUUUUCUUUAUCUUGGUGUGUCCCACUUGUGGAUGCUUCCGUAUCAACUCUUGGUUCACCUUGUCAUGAAGUAGAAGCUUCCACUUGGACGGACGAGGUACUCUCCUUCACCUCCGUUGGACGGACCUUGCCAAUAGACAAGUCUUGGAUUGCUUCCGAAGGAUCUUUGUCUCCUACAUCAAUUGGCAAUUGCUCUACUUGCGAGCCGUUAGAUUCAUCAAACUUCACAUCUACCGUCUCUUCAACCUUUCGGGUGAAAUUGUUGUAGACACGGUAAGUGUGAGAGUUUGAGCCAUAACCUAGUAGGAAACCUUCAUGAGACUUAGGAGCAAAUUUAGAACGACGAUGCUUAUCAAGAAUGUAGCACUUUGAGUCGAAUACUCGAAAGUAUCCAACUUGGGGUUUNNNNNNNNNNNNNNNNNNNNNNNNNNNNNNNNNNNNNNNNNNNNNNNNNNNNNNNNNNNNNNNNNNNNNNNNNNNNNNNNNNNNNNNNNNNNNNNNNNNNNNNNNNNNNNNNNNNNNNNNNNNNNNNNNNNNNNNNNNNNNNNNNNNNNNNNNNNNNNNNNNNNNNNNNNNNNNNNNNNNNNNNNNNNNNNNNNNNNNNNNNNNNNNNNNNNNNNUGCCGAGUAGCUUGUGAAGAUACAAGCGAUUUGUUGCAUGACAAGCUGUCUCAACUGCUUCUGCCCAAAAGUGCUUCGGUGUCUUGUACUCAUCAAGCAUCGUUCUCGCCAUUUUGAUGAGCGUCUGUUUCUUCCUCUCAACAACUCCAUUUUGUUGAGGUGUGUACGUAGCCGAGAACUCGUGUGAAAUCCCUUCUUCGUCAAGAAAGGUGUCCAUGUUUGCGUUCUUGAACUCUGUUCCGUUGUCGCUGCGAACCUUCUUGAUCUUCACUUCAAACUGAUUUUGAGCUUUCCCGGCGAAGUUUUUGAAGACCUUUUGGACCUGCGAUUUAUCAUCGAGAAAGAACACCCACGUAAAUCUUGAAAAAUCAUCAACUAUAACUAGACCAAAAGAAUUUCCACCGAGACUAUUGUAAGCGUUGGGACCAAAAAGAUCCAUGUGAAGUAGCUCAAGUGGCCUCCUUGUGGUCAUGAUGUUUUUCACGGGAUGCCUUCCUCCAACCUGUUUACCUGCUUGACAAGCACUGCAAAGUCUACCCUUAUCAAAUAUGACAUCGUUAACACCAAGGAUAUGAUUCCCUUUAAUAAGCUUGUCAAGGUUUCUCAUGCCAACGUGACCUAGUCGUCUAUGCCAUAACCAACCUUUUGAGGAUUUAGCAAUGAAGCAAGUUUUAGGUUGAGCCUUUUUAGAGAAAUCAACAAUGUAAAGAUCACCUCUACGUAUACCAGUAAAGACCAUUUUAUGAUUGUCUCGACGAAACACUUGGCAAUCUACUUCAGUAAAUAGGACAUUGAAACCGAAAUCAGCAAGUCUAGAUACUGAAAGUAAGUUGUAGCCAAGAGAUUCAACGAGCAUAACAUUCUGAAUGGAGCUAUCAUGUGAGAUGGCCACCUUACCGAGGCCAACCACCUUACCCUUUGAGUUGUCACCGAAAGUGACAUACUUUCAAGGACUAUCAUUUUCAGCAAGCUCACGAAACAUGUCUUUAUCUCCAGUCAUGUGAUCGGUACAUCCACUGUCAAGAACCCAUUCCUUUCCUCCUGACAUAUAUCCCCGAAGAUUUUCCAUAAGACCAAAAUGUCUCAUUGCAUCGUCAAGAUCGAAGUCACUAUCAUCAUCCUCAUCAUAGUAUCCAUGUUCAACAUCGUCAUGUGGUGGAUCAAGUCCUAGAGAGGGUAAUUCGUUAGAGUGAGUUUGACAAUGAUCUUGCUUAUGAAUUCUUAUAGCUUCGGAAAUAAUAUCACCAAUAAUUCCAACAUCUCCUUUUGCACGCAUAAGGUUUGUAAGUUCAAAUAGACGAUCACCAAACAUAGGAUCACUAGUAUUCAUCUUACUCAAGGCAAUAGACUUAUGGAGAAUUUCAUCUAGAUUUUUCAAGGAAUAAUUUGGAAAGCAUUCCUCAAGAAAUUUCCAUAUAGUGUAGGCACACUCAAGAGUAGGCAAGUUUCUAAUUAAGUUUCUAGGAAAGCCUCUAGUGAUAAGAUUAACAGUUCUAAUAUUCCUAAUCAUGUCAAUUGACUCAUCAAGAGUAGGAUGCAUAGGAUCAACAUGAGGUGCACAAGGGCUAGCAAUGUACUUGUUCAAAUGAUAUUGAUUGAAAAUUACAAGCAUCUCAUUUUUCCACUCAUGAAAAUACUCUCCAUCAAGUAUAGGCACUCUAUGCCUAAGACUCCCCAAAGUAGACUCAUCCAUCUUCCUCCAAUGGUGAUUAAACCAAGGCAACGGAGACCAAUGCUCUGAUACCACUUGUAGGACCUUGAGAAGACAUGUCUAGAGGGGGGGUGAUUAGACACUAAGUAUCAACGUUGCAGUUUUUAACUUCUUUAAGUUUAAGUGGAGUUUAGGCACAAGUUUAACAUUCACAAUACAUAACAAGCAAGCAUGCAAAGAGUAUAUGAGCAGCGGAAAGUAAAGCAUGCAACUUGCAAGAAUGUAAAGGGAAGGGUUUUGGAGGAUUCAAACGCAAUUUGAGACACGGAUGUUUUUGUCGUGGUUCUGAUAGGUGGUGCUAUCGUACAUCCACAUUGAUGGAGACUUCAACCCACGAAGGGUAACGGUUGCACGAGUCCACGGAGGGCUCCACCCACGAAGGGUCCACGAAGAAGCAACCUUGUCUAUCCCACCAUGGUCAUCGCCCACGAAGGACUUGCCUCACUAGCGGUAGAUCUUCACGAAGUAGGCGAUGCCCUUGCCCUUACAAACUCCUUGGUUCAACUCCACAAUCUUGUCGGAGGCUCCAAGGUGACACCUAGCCAAUCUAGGAGACACCACUCUCCAAGAAGUAACAAAUGGUGCGUUGAUGAUGAACUCCUUGCUCUUGUGCUUCAAAUGAUAGUCUCCCCAACACUCAACUCUCUCUCAUAGGAUUUGGAUCUGGUGGAAAGAAGAUUUGAGUGGAAAGCAACUUGGGGAAGGCUAGAGAUCAAGAUUCAUAUGGUAGGAAUGGAAUAUCUUGGCCUCAGCACAUGAGUAGGUAGUUCUCUCUCAGAACUGGUAAGUUGGAAGUGUAGGUUUGUUCUGAUGGCUCUCUCCAUGAAUAAAGAGGAGGUGGAGGGGUAUAUAUAGCCUCCACACAAAAUCUAAUCGUUACACACAAUUUACCAAACUCGGUGGGACCGAAUCAACAAACUCGGUCGGACCGAUUUAGUAAAUCUAGUGACCGUUAGGGUUUUCGGUGGGACCGACAUGCAACUCGAUAGGACCGACAUGGUUAGGGUUAGGGCAUAAUGUAAUCUCGGUGAGACCGAUUACACAAACUCGGUGAGACCGAUUUUGGUAAUUAGCUAACCAGAGAGUUGGUCAGGCAAACUCGGUGGGACCGAUUACUCAAACUCGGUGGGACCGAUUUUGGUAAUAAGUUAACCAGAGAGUUUGCAUUGUAAUCUCGGUAGUACCGAUUGCUCAAACUCGGUGAGACCGAUUUUGGUAAUGGACAUACACAGAGAGAUUACAAUCCCAUCUCGGUGAGACCGAGAUCCCUAUCGGUGAGACCGAUUUGUCUAGGGUUUGUGGCAGUGGCUAAGACAUUUGAACUCGGUGGCGCCAGAUAGAAAGAAUUGAUGGGGCCGAGUUUGACUUUAGGUUUAGGUCAUAUGUGUGGAAGUGGGAAAGUAGUUGAGGGUUUUGGAGCAUAUCACUAGGCACUGUGGAGCAAGAAACUCAUUAAGCAACACCUCAUCCCUUAUUGAUAGUAUUGGCUUUUCCUAUAGACUCAAUGUGAUCUUGGAUCACUAAAAUAUAAAAUGAAGAGUCUUGAGCUUGAAGCUUGAGCCAAUCCUUUGUCCUUAGCAUCUAGAAGGAGUUCCCACAUCCUUUAGUCCAUGCCACUCCAUUGUUGAACUUAUCUGAAACAUACUAGAAAAAAGUGUUAGUCCAACAAGAGAUAUGUUGACAUUAAUUACCAAAACCACCUAGGGAGCACUUGUGCUUUCACCGUUCCUUCCUCGUUGACCUCGAUGACAGCCUUAUGGAUGACCUCUCGAAUGAUCAAAGGCAACCCAGUGCCGUCGUGCUCCACCAUGUCCGACAGAUCAGAACCCAUGCCAAACGGCAGAAUGAGCCCUAGCUGUUUCAGGACCUCAACGAGGCUGCCCGAGUAAUCAAGAUUGAACUUGGGAACCCCGAAGUCGCCGACCUUGACGGAGAUCGCCGGUAGGUGGUCGUGCACAAAGCCCAAACGGGAGGUUAUCUCGUCGACGAGACUCCGCAGGCCAUCAUACGCGUCUGGUAGGAAGAUGCACAUAGAGUAUCGUGUGGGUGGCUUGAAGCUUGUCGUAGACUCGCACGAUGUAAAUCCUCACUGCGGCAUCUUGUACGGUAGCGUGAGCACCUUGAACUCGUCGUGCAUGGCGAUGAGGUGGCGGGCGGGGUUGCGCAUGAAGGGCACAACGACGGUGGUUCCGUCGCGCCGAUGGAACGGCUGGUCCUUGGUGUCCCUCUCCUCGAAUGGUUGGGCCCACUCGCCUUUGAAGUGCAUGGCGCUCGCGAGCACGACGUCGGGUUUCCGGCCAAAGGUUCUCGGGGAUACGACGUUGUUGAUGAGGUUCUUUGUGGCCUCGGCGACCCAGGUGUUGAUGCGCUGCGCCGCUCCCGCCGGGUUCUCUCAGAGAUCCAGUGCGCGCGCCGGCGACGGCCUCGCGGUAAGCCGGCUUCAGCGGCCGCCUUUUGUCGACCCACACGCCGCGCGCGAACAUGAAGCUCGGCCCGCCAGAUCCGGACAGGUCCUGGAACGCAUCCUCCGCCAGGCGUGAGAUGGAUUCCUCGAGCUCGUCUCGGGAGGACGCGCCGAGGAGGUGGAGGACCUCGUCCAGGGUGCCCCCACGGGCGCCGGGCGCCAGGAGCGCGACGGCCGCGUAGAUGGACAGCGGCAAGAAGACGAGGUUGGUGCUGCAGAUUUCGUCGGCGAGUUGCUUGGUGAGGCGGGCGGCAAGCUCCGCCAGGCCACAGCCGGACUGCCGUGACUUGGUGGUCGGCCAGGCCAUCAUCUCUGCGGAAUCCAUCAAAGCCGCUCGCAGAAGACGUACGUAUAGUUCGUUCGGGGCGAUUUUGAUGUGCUUGUCCAGUAUAUAGACUAGCCACAAUGGUGAGUAACAUACACUAGUAACAUACACAUAUCCCUAGACUAUGUUACUACCUUCAUAGUGGGUAGUAACAUAAGUAUGGUAACAUGCAAAGCUUCAUUUAUUAGGUUAUAGACUCAUAUUGCAUUGGGACAUGUGAUGUUACAGUAACUAGCUAAGUUACUAUAACAAUCUAUUUCCUCAUUAACUCACUGCCACAUAAGCAAAUUUGCUGAGUUGGACUCGAUGUUACUGCUGAAGUUACUCCCACUCUGACUAGUCUAAUGCAGAACGCACGACGUCCGAUCCGAUUUGGAGUCGGUUGCAUACUUUCGUUCUAUUUUCAUACUAGUCAAUGCGUACUUGCAAUGCACGUUAAUUUAGAAGUAUAUUAAGUGCAUGUGGAUAUUAUUUGCGUGUUAUUAUAUGAUUAGCACGCAGGUGUUUAAAAAAAGUGUUAAAAAAGCACUAUAUUUAGCAUGAAAUUAAUUGCACGCUAAAUGAUACGUCCAUUUUGCAUCAUGCUUUUAUAUUAAUAUUUAUUGCAUUAUGGGCUGUUAUUUCACGUUAUGUCACAAUACUUAUGUCUAUUCUCUCUUGUUUUACAAGGUUUACAUGAAGAGGGAGAAUGCCAGCAGCUGGAAUUCUGGGCUGGAAAAGGAGCAAAUAUUGAAGGCCUAUUCUGUGCAACUCCAAAAGUCCUGAAACUCCACGGAAUACCUUAAAAUAAAUAAAGAAAAAUCAUCGCCAAAGAUGAAGGCCAGGGGGCCCUCUCCGACGCCCAUCUUCUCCUAUAUGAAGUCUUUCGAUGAGAAAAAAAUAGAAGGCAACCUUUCGGGAUGAGACUCCACCGCCACGAUGCGGAACCUUGGCGGAACCAAUAUAGGGCUCCGGCAGAGCUGUUCUGCCGGGGACACUUCCCUUCGGGAUGGGGAAAUCAUCACCAUCGUCAUCACCAACGCUCCUCUCAUCGGGAGAGGGCAAUCUCCAUCAACAUCUUCACCAGCACCAUCUCAUCUCUAAACCCUAGUUCAUCUCUUGUAUCCAAUUCUUGUCUUCAAGUCCGGGAUUGGUGCUAGUAGGUUGCUAGUAGUGUUGAUUACUCCUUGUAGUUGAUGCUAGUUUGUUUAUUUGGUGGAAGAUCAUAUGUUCAGAUCCUUUAUGCAUAUUAUUACCCCUCUGAUUAUGAACAUGAAUAUGCUUUGUGAGUAGUUACGUUUGUUUCUGAGGACAAGGGAGAAGUCUUGCUAUUAGUAGUCAUGUGAAUUUGGUAUUCGUUCGAUAUUUUGAUAAGAUGUAUGUUGUCUAACCUCUAGUGGUGUUAUGUGAACGUCGGCUACAUAACACUUCACCAUUAUUUGGGCCUAGAGGAAGGCAUUGGGAACUAAUAAGUAGAUGAUGGGUUGCUAGAGUGACAGAAGCUUAAACCCUAGUUUAUGUGUUGCUUCGUAAGGGGCUGAUUUGGAUCCAUAUGUUUCAUGCUAUAGUUAGGUUUACCUUAAUACUUUUGUUGUAGUUGCGGAUGCUUGCAAUAGAGGUUAAUCAUAAGUGGGAUGCUUGUCCAAGUAAGGGCAGUACCCAAGCACCGGUCCACCCACAUAUCAAAUUAUCAAAGUACCGAACGCGAAUCAUAUGAGCGUGAUGAAAACUAGCUUGACGAUAUUCCCAUGUGUCCUCGGGAGCGCUUUUCCUAUUAUAAGAGUUUGUCCAGGCUUGUCCUUUGCUACAAAAAGGAUUGGUCCAUCUUGCUGCACUUUAUUUACUUUUGUUACUUGUUGCUCGUUACAAUUUAUCCUAUCACAAAACUAUCUGUUACCACUUAUUUCAGUACUUGUAGAGAAUACCUUGCUGAAAACCGCUUAUCAUUUCCUUGUGCUCCUUGUUGGGUUCGACACUCUUACUUAUCGAAAGGACUACGAUAGACCCCCUAUACUUGUGGGUCAUAAAGACUCUUUUCUGGCGCCGUUGCCAGGGAGUGAAGCGCCUUUGGUAGGUGGAAUUUGGUAAGGAAAAAUUUAUUUAGUGUGCUGAAAUUUUCUGUCACUUGUUACUAUGGAAAGUAAUUGUCUGAGGGGCUUGUUCGGGGUAUCUUCACCCCGUCCAGUAGAGCAAAGAGUUGCUCCUCAACCUACUAAACCUACUGAACCUAUUGAAAAUGAAACUCCUUUUGAAAUUCCUUCGGGUUUGAUGGAAAAACUGCUAGCUAACACUUUUACAGGAGAUGGAACAAAGCAUCCUAAUGAACAUCUACGCUAUGUGGAUGAUGUUUGUGGACUAUUUAAGCUUGCAGUUAUACCCGAUGAUGUUGUUAAGAAGAAGGCCUUCCCUUUAUCUUUGAAGGGAGACGCAUUGACAUGGUAUAGGCUAUGUGAUGAUAUGAUAUCAUGGAACUAUAAAAGAUUGAAAUUGGAAUUUCAUCAAAAGUAUUACCCUAUGCAUCUUGUUCAUCGUGAUCUCAAUUAUAUAUAUAUAAUUUUUGGCCUCGCGAAGGAGAAAGCAUCGCUCAAGCUUGGGGGAGGCUUAAAUCAAUGUUAUAUUCAUGCCCCAAUCAUGAGCUCGCAAGAGAAGUAAUUAUGCAAAGUUUUUAUGCUCGGCUUUCUGAUAACAAUCGCACCAUGCUCGAUACUUCUUUUGCUGGCUCUUUUAUGAUGUAGCCUAUUGAAUUUAGAUGGAAUUUAUUGGAUAGAAUUAAAUGCAACUCUGAAGAUUGGGACCUCGACGAAGGUAACGAGUCAGGUAUGACACCUAAGUUUGAUUGUGUUAAAUCUUUUAUGGAUACCCAUAUUUUCCGUAAGUUUAGCACUAAAUAUGGACUUGACUCUGAGAUAGUAGCUUCUUUCUGUGAAUCUUUUGCUACUUAUGUUGAUCUCCCCAAGGAGAAGUGGUAUAAAUAUCAUCCUCCCAUAGAAGUAAAAGUAGCUGCACCUAUUAAAGUUGAAGAAAAGGCUGUCGCUUACAAUGAUCCUAUUGUUCCCACUUCUUAUGUUGAGAAACCACCUUUCCCUGUUAGAAUGAAGGAUCAUGCUAGAGCUUCAACUGUUGUUCGUAAAAGCAAUAUUAGAACUUAUAUACCUCCUGAGCAAGUCAACGUAGAACCUAAUAUUGCUAUUGUUAAAGAUCUCUUGUCUGAUAAUAUUGAUGGGCAUGUUAUUCAAUUCUCUGGUGAAACUGCUAGACUUGCUAAACCCUGUGAUAGAGAUAAACAUAGACCUGUGGUAGGCGUGCCUGUUAUUUCUGUUAAAAUAGGAGAUCAUUGUUAUCAUGACUUAUGUGAUAUGGGUGCUAGUGCUAGUGUUAUACCCAUUGACCUAUACAAAGAAAUUAUGCAUGAAAUUGCACCUGCUGAGUUAGAGGAUGUUGAUGUUACAAUUAAACUUGCCAAUAGAGAUACUAUAUCUGCAAUAGGAAUUGUUAGAGAUGUUGAAGUCUUGUGUGGAAAAACCAAAUAUCCUGCUAAUUUUCUUGUUCUUGGUUCUCCACAAGAUAGCUUUUGUCCCAUUAUAUUUGGUAGACCCUUCUUGAAUACUGUUAAUGCUAAGAUAGACUGCAAAAAGAAUGUUGUUACUAUUGGCUUGGAUGAUAUGGUUCAUGAGUUUAAUUUCUCUAAAUUUAGUAAACAACAUCGUGAGGAAGAAUUGCCUAGUAAGGAUGAAAUUAUUGGUCUUGCUUCUAUUGCCGUACCUCCUAGUGAUCCUUUAGAACACUAUUUGCUAGACCAUGAAAAUGAUAUGUUCAUGAAUGAAAGAAGGGAAAUAGAUGAAGUAUUCUUUAAACAGGAACCUAUUCUGCAACACAAUUUGCCUGUUGAAAUCCUAGGGGAUCCUCCUCCACCCAAGGGUGAUCCUGUGUUUGAGCUUAAACCGUUGCCUGAUAAUCUUAAAUAUGCUUAUCUUGAUGAAAAGAAAAUAUAUCCUGUCAUUAUUAGUGCUAACCUUUCAUAGCAUGAAGAAGAAAGAUUAUUGAAAACUCUCAAAAUGCAUCAUGCCUCUAUUGGAUAUACUCUGGAUGAUCUUAAGGGCAUCAGUCCCACUCUAUGUCAACAUAAAAUAAAUUUGGAAGCGGAUGCCAAACCAGUUUGUGAUCCUCAACGACGUUUCAAUCCUAAAAUGAAAGAAGUGGUAAGAAAGGAAAUACUCAAGCUUCUGGAGGCAGGUAUAAUUUAUCCCGUUGCUGAUAGUCAGUGGGUAAGUCCUGUCCAUUGUGUCCCUAAGAAGGGAGGUAUUACUGUCCCUAAUGAUAAAGAUGAAUUGAUUCCGCAAAGAAUUAUCACAGGUUAUAGGAUGGUAAUUGAUUUCCGCAAAUUAAAUAAGGCUACUAAGAAAGAUCAUUACCCCUUACCUUUUAUUGAUCAAAUGCUAGAAAGAUUAUGCAAACAUACACAUUAUUGCUUUCUAGAUGGUUAUUCUGGUUUCUCUCAAAUACCUGUGUCGGCUAAAGAUCAAUCAAAGACUACUUUUACAUGCCCUUUUGGUACUUUUGCUUAUAGACGUAUGCCUUUUGGUUUAUGUAAUGCACAUGCUACCUUUCAAAGAUGCAUGAUGGCUAUAUUCUCUGACUUUUGCGAGAAAAUUUGUGAGGUUUUCAUGGACGACUUUUCUGUCUAUGGUUCCUAUUUUGAUGAGUGCUUGAGCAAUCUUGCUCGAGUUUUGCAGAGAUGUGAAGAAACUAAUCUUGUCUUGAAUUGGGAAAAUGCCACUUUAUGGUUAAUGAAGGUAUUGUCUUGGGGCACAAAGUUUCUGAAAGAGGUAUUGAAGUUGAUAAAGCCAAGGUUGAUGCUAUUGAAAAGAUGCCAUGUCCCAAGGACAUCAAAGGUAUAAGAAGUUUCCUUGGUCGCGCCGGAUUCUAUAGGAGGUUCAUUAAGGACUUCUCAAAAAUCUCUCGGCCUCUGACUAAUUUAUUACAAAAAGAUGUACCAUUUGUCUUUGAUGAUGAUUGCGUAGAAGCAUUCGAAAUACUUAAGAAAGCAUUAGUCUCUGCACCUGUUGUUCAGCCACCUGAUUGGAAUUUACCCUUUGAAAUUAUGUGUGAUGCUAGUGAUUAUGCUGUAGGUGCUGUUCUAGGGCAAAGAGUUGAUAAGAAAUUAAAUGUUAUCCAUUAUGCUAGUAAGACUCUAGACAAUGCUCAAAGAAAUUAUGCUACUACCGAAAAGGAACUUUUAGCAGUUGUAUUUGCUUGUGAUAAAUUCAGACCCUAUAUUGUUGAUUCUAAAGUAACUAUUCACACAUAUCAUGCUGCUAUUAAGUAUCUUAUGGAAAAGAAAGAUGCAAAACCUAGGCUUAUUAGAUGGGUUCUCUUGCUUCAAGAAUUUGAUUUGCAUAUUGUUGAUAGAAAAGGAGCUGAGAACCCCGUUGCAGACAACUUAUCUAGGUUAGAGAAUGUUCUUGAUGACCCACUACCCAUUGAUGAUAGCUUUCCUGAUGAACAAUUAAAUGUCAUAAGCACUUCUCGUAGCACUCCAUGGUAUGCUGAUUAUGCUAAUUAUAUUGUUGCUAAAUUUAUACCACCUAGCUUCACAUACCAACAAAAGAAAAAGUUUUUCUAUGACUUGCGACAUUACUUUUGGGAUGACCCACAUCUUUAUAAAGAAGGAGUAGAUGGUGUUAUUAGACGUUGUGUACCUGAGCAUGAACAGGAAUAGAUCCUACGCAAGUGUCACUCCGAAGCUUAUGGAGGACACCACGCUGGAGAUAGAACUGCACAUAAGGUAUUGCAAUCCGGUUUUUAUUGGCCUACUCUCUUCAUGGAUGCCCGUAAGUUUGUUUUGUCUUGCGACGAAUGUCAAAGAAUUGGUAAUAUUAGUAGACGUCAAGAAAUGCCUAUGAAUUAUUCACUUGUUAUUGAACCAUUUGAUGUUUGGGGCUUUGAUUAUAUGGGACCAUUUCCUGCCUCUAAUGGAUACACACAUAUUUUAGCUGCUGUUGAUUACGUUACUAAGUGGGUAGAAGCUAUUCCAACUAGUAGUGCUGAUCAUAACACUUUCUAUUAAAAUGCUUAAGGAAGUUAUUUUUCCGAGGUUUGGAGUCCCUAGAUAUUUAAUGACCGAUGGUGGUUCACAUUUUAUUCAUGGUGCUUUCCGUAAGAUGCUUGCUAAAUAUGACGUUAAUCAUAGAAUUGCAUCCCCAUAUCACCCGCGGUCUAGUGGUCACGUAGAAUUGAGCAAUAGAGAGCUCAAAUUAAUUUUGCAAAAGACUGUCAAUAGGUCUAGGAAGAAUUGGUCCAAGAAACUGAAUGACGCGUUAUGGGCCUAUAGAACUGCAUACAAAAAUCCUAUGGGUAUGUCUCCGUAUAAAAUGGUUUAUGGAAAAGCUUGUCACUUGCCUCUCGAACUAGAACAUAAGGCAUAUUCGGCUAUUAAAGAGCUCAACUAUGAUUUCAAACUUGACGGUGAGAAGAGGUUAUUUGAUAUUAGCUCACUUGAUGAAUGGAGAACCCAAGCUUAUGAAAAUGCCAAGUUGUUCAAGGAAAAGGUUAAAAGAUGGCAUGACAAAAGGAUACAAAAGCGUGAGUUUAAUGUAGGUGAUUAUGUAUUGCUAUACAACACUCGUUUAAGAUUUUUUGCAAGAAAACUUCUCUCUAAAUGGGAAGGUCCCUACGUUAUCGAGGAGGUCUAUCGUUCCGGUGGCAUAAAAAUCAACAACUUCGUAGGCACAAAUCUGAAGGUGGUAAACGCUCAAAGGAUCAAACACUAUAUCUCAGGUAAUCCUAUAAAUGUUGAAACUAAUAUUAUUGAAACCGUAACCCCGGAGGAAUACAUAAAGGACACCUUUCAGACCAUUCCAGACUCCGAAAAGGAAUAGGUAUGUGGUACGGUAAGUAAACUGACUCCAAAACAAUUUUUAAGGCAAUAUUUCUCCGUUUUGGAAUAGUUAGAAAAAUAGAAAAAUAAGUAGCAGUCCGGGGAGGACACGCACCCUCCACAAGGGUGGAGGGCGCGCCCUACCCCCCUGGGCGCGCCCCCUACCUCGUGAGCACCUCGUGUGCCCUCCGGACUCCGUUUCCUUGCACGAUACGUAUUUUGGUCGGUAAAAAUUCAUUAUAUAUACUCCGAAAGGUUUUGACUCCCGUAUCACGCAAAUCUCCCCUGUUCUUGUUUCGAGCUGUUUUUCUGACAGGUCUAGAUCAUCAUGACGACCCCAAGUGCUUCCAAGGACAAGUUUCUUCGAGAAGGUGAUCAACCCUUACCUCGCGGAGGUGCUGCGACACCCUCAAACCAUUGAGAUGCAUGAUGGGUUGCUGCACAUCCGCGAUGUUGUGGGACCAAAUGGAACCGGAAGCGUGGAGUCGAGGCUCAAAGCAAUGGAGCAACAAGUUUUCAAGUGCCAGGGGAUGGUGGAGCGUGGAAUCAACGCCACCCACAAGAUGCUCGCGGAGUUCACCAACAACUAUGAGCCGGAUGCCAAGAAGACCGAGGAGGCCAUCUUCAAGCUACAUGAGAAGAUCGAGCACCUCCAAGCCCAAAUCUAUGAUCUGCAAAACCAAAACUGUGAAUAUGAAUAUAGAUUCAAAAGGAUGAGUUUGGCUGCAGAUUUGAGGAUUCCGGAGACUCGAUCAUCCUUCUAUGAUGGUGAGCCUAUGCCAUGGAAGGUGGACGACAAGCUUGCAUCAUCAACAACACCUCCACCGUCAACAACAAAGAAGGAGACAUAAUCACAUGGGUAUGGGCACUCCCCUUGGCAACUGCCAAGCUUGGGGGAGGUGCCCUGGUAUCGUAUCACCAUCACAACUCCUAUCUUUACCGUUUUUCUUAGUUCGAUCCUUUUAGUAGUAUCUUGAUUUAGUAGAAUGAAGUCUUGGCAUGAUCUAGUUUUGAGUUUUGCUUUAUGAUCCUUCUUUGUAAUCGAGUCCGUGAGCUAUAUAAUAAAGAUUAGUGUCGAGUCAAGGGCUUGUUUAUUUUGCCAUGAUCUUGGGUGAUUAGAAGAAAAAGAGUAAGAGAAUCAAAGAGUUCAUAUUGAUCUUAUUGAAAGUAAUGACUUCACAUAGAAAGAGUAUGAUGACUAAAGGUUGUUGGGAGUUGGCAAAUAUAGCUUUGGUCAUCGUUGCAAUUAAUAGGAAGUAAUAAGGAAAGAGAGGUUUCACAUAUAAAUAUAUUAUCAUUGACAUCUUUUAUGAUUGGGAACACUCAUUAAAAUAUGACAUGCUAAAAAGUUGAGGUUGGACAAGGAAGACAACAUAAUGAGUUAUGUUUUCUUACAUCUGAGAUAAAGUAUGUUGUCAUGGAUCUUCUACCAUGUUGAUCUUGCCUUUCCCCCUCAUGCUACCCAAAUUCUUAGCACCAAGUAGAAAUACUACUUGUGCUUCCAAAUACCCUUAAACCAGUUUUGCCAUGAGAGUCCACCAUAUCUACCUAUGGAUUGAGUAAGAUCCUUCAAGUAAGUUGUCAUCGGUGCAAGCAAUAAAAAUUGCUCUCUAAAUAUGCAUGACUUAUUAGUGCAGAGAAAUAAGCUUUGUACGAACUUGUUGUGGACGCAAUAAAAGCAAUGGACUGCAUAAUAAAGGUCCACAUACAAGGGGCAAUAUAAAGUGAUGUUCUUUUGCAUUAAGAUUUUGUGCAUCAACCCUAAACGCGCAUGACAACCUCUGCUUCCCUCUGCGAAGGGCCUAUCUUCUAUUAUUAUCAUCUACCUUAUGCAAGAGUCACGGUGAUCUUCACCUUUCUUUUUUUCAUUUUAUCCUUUGGCAAGCUCAGCAUGUUGGAAAGAACAUGACAUAUAUAUCUAGUUGGAUGUUGGGGAGCAUGAAUUAUUUAUGUUGACAUUACCCUUGAGGUAAAAGGUUGUGGGGCAAAACUAUAAGCCCCUAUCUUUCUCUGUGUCCGAUUAAAACUCCGUAACCACAAGUAUUGGGUGAGUGUUAGCAAUUAUGAAGGACUAAGUGAUAGUUGAGUAUGUGGACUUGCUUUUAAGCUCUGAUAUAGACUCUUUCCGAUGUUAUGAUAAAUUGCAAUUGCUUCAAUGACUGAGGGUAUAAUUUGUUGGUGCUCAAUAAGGUUUCUGAUUCAUACUUUGGCUUUGUGAAAAGAUCAUCACUUGAACAUAAGUAAUCAUAUGACAAAAUCUAUAUAUGUUGCUGUUAUGAAAUAAUCAUGAUGCCUUCAUGUCCGUAUUUUAUUUUUUAUCGACGCCUCUACCUCUAAACAUGAGGACAUAUUUAUUGUUAUCGGCUUUUCGCUUGAGGACAAGCGAGGUCCAAGCUUGGGGGAGUUGAUACGUCCAUUUUGCAUCAUGCUUUUAUAUCAAUAUUUAUUGCAUUAUGGGCUGUUAUUUCACGUUAUGUCACAAUACUUAUGGCUAUUCUCUCUUGUUUUACAAGGUUUACAUGAAGAGGGAGAUUGCCGGCAGCUAGAAUUCUGGGCUGGAAAAGGAGCAAAUAUUGAAGGCCUAUUAUGCGCAACUCCAAAAGUCCUGAAACUCCACGGAAUACCUUAAAAUAAAUAAAGAAAAAUCGUCGCCAAAGAUGAAGGCCAGGGGGCCCACACCCUGCUCACGAGGGUGGGGGGCGCCCCCCCUGGGCGCGCCCCCCUACCUCAUGGGCCCCAUGGUGGCUCUUCGACGCCCAUCUUCUCCUAUAUGAAGUCUUUCGAUGAGAAAAAAAUAGAAGGCAACCUUUCGGGACGAGACUCCGCCGCCACGAGGCGGAACCUUGGCAGAACCAAUCUAGGGCUCCGGCAUAGCUGUUUUGCCGGGGACACUUCCCUCCGGAAGGGGGAAAUCAUCACCAUCGUCAUCACCAACGCUCCUCUCAUCGGGAGAGGGCAAUCUCCAUCAACAUCUUCACCAGCACCAUCUCAUCUCCAAACCCUAGUUCAUCUCUUGUAUCCAAUUCUUGUCUUCAAGUCCGGGAUUGGUGCUAGUACGUUGCUAGUAGUGUUGAUUACUCCUUGUAGUUGAUGCUAGUUGGUUUAUUUGGUGGAAGAUCAUAUGUUCAGAUCCUUUAUGCAUAUUAUUACCCCUCUGAUUAUGAACAUGAAUAUGCUUUGUGAGUAGUUACGUUUGUUCCUGAGGACAAGGGAGAAGUCUUGCUAUUAGUAGUCAUGUGAAUUUGGUAUUCGUUUGAUAUUUUGAUAAGAUGUAUGUUGUCUAACCUCUAGUGGUGUUAUGUGAACGUCGACUACAUAACACUUCACCAUUAUGUGGGCCUAGAGGAAGGCAUUGGGAAGUAAUAAGUAGAUGAUGGGUUGCUAGAGUGACAGAAGCUUAAACCCUAGUUUAUGUGUUGCUUCGUAAGGGGCUGAUUUGGAUCCAUAUGUUUCAUGCUAUAGUUAGGUUUACCUUAAUACUUUUGUUGUAGUUGCGGAUGCUUGCAAUAGAGGUUAAUCAUAAGUGCGAUGCUUGUCCAAGUAAGGGCAGUACCCAAGCACCGGUCCACCCACAUAUCAAAUUAUCAAAGUACCGAACGCGAAUCAUAUGAGCGUGAUGAAAACUAGCUUGACGAUACUCCCAUGUGUCCUCGGGGGCGCUUUUCUUAUUAUAAGAGUUUGUCCAGGCUUGUCCUUUGCUACAAAAAGGAUUGGGCCAUCUUGCUGCACUUUAUUUACUUUUGUUACUUGUUGCUCGUUACAAUUUAUCCUAUCACAAAACUAUCUGUUACCACUUAUUUCAGUACUUGCAGAGAAUACCUUGCUGAAAACCGCUUAUCAUUUCCUUCUGCUCCUUGUUGGGUUCGACACUCUUACUUAUCGAAAGGACUACGAUAGAUCCCAUAUACUUGUGGGUCAUCACUAAACGUGUCGGGCGCUCGACAUUGAAGCAGUCUAGGUCGUUGGAUUGCCAUGAUUUGAUGGCCAAGAUUAAUUGGAUCUGCCCCUUUGCAUCUUUUUGUAUUGGUAUAGAUGAUGUGUUGAGUGAGGCAUUUUGUCUCUCAGAUCAUCGGCACCUGCGCUCAAUAAAAGAAUCAAAACAAAUACUACACAAAUUCACAAAUUUCCAAAAAAAAUUGGCAUGGUAGAUAAUAUGGUGCGUGAUGUCCGCUCCAAAUUUCAAAUCAUUUGGACAACUGAGUAGCUCUCGGCAAAAAAGACAAAUUUAGGGCUAUGAAAUAGUGUACUAUUCAUAUACUGUUCUGACCCAAUUUGUUUUUUUCUGAGAGCUACUAAAAUGUCCAAAUGUUCUAAAAUUUAUAGCGCACCUCAUGCACCAAAUUAUCUACCUUGCACAAAAAAUGGAUUUUGUUUUAUUUUUUUAUGAAUUGUUUCUUGAGUGGGUGCAGAUGAGACCGGGCUCAGAAUUGGAUAUUCGACUCAGUUCGAGCUAAUAUGGCAUUUCCUAUUGUGCAAUACCCAGUACAAAAUCAAGGCAAUGAGAUAAGUGGGAAUGUAUCCGUGCAACCACACUUGUGCUACCAGUCCAUCGGAUGUCGCAGAAUGUUUUAAAAAAUCUAAAAUAAAUCUAACGCGUUGACACAACAUCAAUGUAUGAUGUCACGAAAUUCCGUACAAAAAUUUGAAAUAUUUUUUGACAUACAAAAAUGACAAACUUGACAUCAAUGUGAUAGUGGGUCAAAUCUAAAGCCCAAAUUAUGUUAUGUACUAUUUAGUGUUGAAUUUGUCAUUCUUGUUUUUUGAGUUAUGUUUUGAAUUUUGAGUUGUAAUUCUGUAACAACUAGCAUUGCUGUUGUGUGAGUGCCCUGAUUUUUUCAGAAUUUUUUGAACAUUUUGAAAGCACAAUUGAGCUCGGUGCACUAGUGACACCACAAGCUCCGGUGCAUCAGAUAUUUUCCCCGAGAUAAGUAGCUUAUUACUUCCAUUUAAAUAAGGUUCUUUCUAGCACAUCUAGAUGUGUCCUGGUUAUUGCAUAUCUAAGAACAUUUUUAACUGAUCCCUUAAAAUAUAGCGGAGUAUCCGGUAGUAAACCUUAGUGGAGUAUUUAUACUUCACUAAAUUUUGGUCGGUUCUAGCCGAUCCCCUAAACUUAGUGGAGUAAAUGUAAAUUUGCAUAAAUUCAAUCUAAUUUCAACCAAAAUUUGAAUGCAUUUAAACAUAGGAAAAUGUUUCAUGACGGAGCGUCGGCCGAACCGUUCGGCCGGCCGCGUCCACGCAUGAACGCAUCCAGCAACUCGGCUAGGGACACGUAGGAUGGGGGCGCGCCCACGUGCGUCUUCUUCCUCCUUUUUCUCUUCUCUGGUCGCUCGUCUUUGUCCGUCCUUUCUCUGCCUCCUUCUCAGGCCCCGGUGCCAUGGUCAACCGCCGCUGCCUGGAGGCCUCCCAGGGCACCGUCGCCACGAGAAUCAGCCGAUCCGGCCACCCUCGGCCAGAUCCGCUUUUGGAUUCGCGCCACCGAAGCUCUGCCUACCUCGCCGGACCUGGCAACAUCGGAGCUGCAACCGUUCAUAAUGGGACUACGCCCCUCGACGCAAUUUUGCUGGAACCGGCGGGCGUCGAGGGUACAACCAUGUUGAUUUUUUGCUAUAACUCACAAGCCUCAGUUCUACAUCCUCUCGGUGCAAAAUUGCUGGAACCAGCGGACGUCGAGGUUACGACCAUGGGGAUUUUUUGCUACAACCGACGAGCAUGGGUGCUACAACCUGCAUCUCUUUUUGCUACAAACAGCCAUGACGAGACGACUUUGUUACAACCAUUGUUGGUUUUGCUACUACCGGCGAUCAUUUUUGUUGCAUCGGUGACGGUGAACGAUGUGGACACCAGCAUGGCAUGCUACAACUAGGCAAGGGGAGCUGCAACCAUGGCCAGAAGAGCUAGAACCGCAGUCCAGCAGAGCUGCAAUGGUGGUCCGGUGGAGCUGUAUUUUUUGCUUCAACCGGAAACAGGAAAGCUACAACCGGCACUCAGAUUUGCUACAAACAGGCAACCAUGGAAGCUUCCACCGGUGUGGGAUUUUUGCUGCAACCAUGGGUGGGCUUCUAGAACUGCGGCUUUUUAGGAACGAGGAUGGCGAACGGCGGCUAGCCGGUGAGGUCAUGAGCAUUGGGGGUGUUCGGGACUGGCAGGGUUUGAUUUUUCCUUUUUGUUGGGUCCAUUUUUUUGCUGCAUAAGACGGGCGGGGGCAUGGGGCACCAAUGCUCCAACUGGCGAGCAGAGGGGCGACAGUGAGCGGCGACAGCAAGGCGAGCAGUUGCGACAGCGUGGCGGGCGGUGCGAGCCGGCGGUGCUUCACGGUUGCGCAUCCAUGGCGGCCCCGACUGGCUCGCUCCUCUGUGUGUGUGUGUGUGUGUGUGUGUGUGUGUGUGUGUGUGUGUGUGUGUUGGAGGCGAGGAUAAGGUAAGAAAAAGGUAGAAGAGGAGUUGCGAUCUGACGGUCUCGCGUGGGCAGAUCCGGGCGGCUGGGGGCAGACCGGCCGAAACUUUCGGCCAGGGUGCCGGCGCCCAGUGCUGGCCCUAAACAUAAGUUUAACAUGGAUAGUCUUCACAACCGAACAUUAAACAUAAAUUUAAACUUAAACUAAACUACACUAAAAACUACUUAAAUUGAGGUAAUAACACCAGCGGUGCCUAAACUUGCCAUCGAUGUUCACUUUCGUGUCUGAACUUGAAAAAUACACCGAACUUGUUCUAUAACUUGACAGUAUGGUUCAAAUACGAUUCAAAUGACGUCUGGAUAUGUAUGUAUUGCUGACUAGACAUGCCAGCGUGGCGUGGGGCUGAAGGAAAUAUGCCCUAGAGGCAAUAACAAAGUUGUUAUUUUAUAUUUCCUUAUUCAUGAUAAAUGUUUAUUAUUCAUGCUAGAAUUGUAUUGAUCGGAAACUUAAAUACAUGUGAUACAUAAACAAAUACCGUGUCCCUAGUAAGCCUCUACUAGACUAGCUCGUUGAUCAAAUAUGGUUAAGGUUUCCUAACCAUAGGCAUGUGUUGUCAUUUGAUAACGGGAUCAUAUCAUUAGGAGAAUGAUGUGAUGGCAACACCCAUCCGUUAGCUUAUCAUAUUGAUCGUUCAGUUUAUUGCUAUUGCUUUCUUAAUGUCAAAUACAUAUUCCUUCGACUAUGAGAUUAUGCAACUCUCGGAUACCGGAGGAAUACCUUGUGUGCUAUCAAACGUCACAAUGUAACUGCGUGAUCAUAAAGAUGCUCUACAUGUAUCUCCGAAGGUGUUUGUUGAGUUGGCAUAGAUCAAGAUUAGGAUUUGUCACUUCGAGUAUCGGAGAGGUAUCUCUGGGCCCUCUCGGUAAUACACAUCUUAAGAAGCCUUGCCAGCAAAGUGACUAAUGAGUUAGUUUCAAGAUGAUGUAUUACGAAACGAGUAAAGAGACUUUCCGAUAAUGAGAUUGAACUCGGUAUGAAGAUACCGACGAUCGAAUCUCGGGCAAGUAACAUACCGAUGGACAAAGGGAAUUAUGUGUGUUGUCAUAAGGUUUGACCGAUAAAGAUAUUCGUGGAAUAUGUAGGAGCCAAUAUGAGCAUCCAGGUUCCGCUAUUGGUUAUUGGCUGGAGAGGUGUCUCGUUCAUGCCUACAUAGUUCUCGAACCCGUAGGGUCCGCACGCUUAACAUUCGUUGACGAUAUAGUGUUAUAUGAUUUGGUGACUGAAUGUUGUUCGGAGCCCCGGAUGAGAUCAUGGACAUGAUGAGGAACUCUGAAAUGGUCCAGAGAUAAAUAUUGAUAUAUAUAUAUAAUGAUAAUAUUCGGACUCCGGAAGAGUUUCGGAGUGCACCGAGUAGUUAUCGGAUCACCGGAAGGGGUUCCGGGCACCCCCGGGAAAUAUAUCGGCCAUAUGGGCCAAAAGAGGGGAGCACACCAGCCCACAAGGGGCUGGCGCGCCCCUCAUAUGGCAGCCGGCCUAGGGGAGGAAAGGAAAGGGGGGAUUCGGCCUCCCCCUUCCUCUCUCUCCCCCCUUUCCUUUCUCCCGGAAGCAAAUAUGGAAGGGGGGUGCAACCAAGGGCAGGAACCCAAGUAGGAUUCGGUCCUACUUGGGGCUCCUCCUGGCCUCUCCCCUCUCCUCCCCACCUAUAUAUAUGUGGGAGGGGGCGCCACACAUAACCACGCCAAUUGCUUAGCCGUGUGUGGCGUUCUCCUCCAUAGUUUAGUCUGUCGGUCAUAUUUUCGUAGUGCUUAGGCGAAGUCCUACGGAGAUAGCUUCACCAUCACCGUCACCAUGUUGUCGUGUUACUAGAACUCAUCCACUACUUCACCGCCUUUUUGGAUCAAGAAGGCGAGCACGUCACCGAGUUGAACGUGUGCUGAACGCGGAGGUGUCGUACGUUCGGUACUCGAACGGUUGGAUCGUGAAGAAUUUCGACUACAUCAACCGUGUUAACAAACGCUUCCGCUUUUAUAUUGAUAUUUAUUGCAUUAUGGGUUGUUAUUAAACAUUAUGGUACAAUACUUAUGCCCUUUCUCUCUUAUUUUACAAGGUUUACAUGAAAAGGGAGAAUGCCGACAGCUGGAAUUCUGGAUGAGGAAGGAGCAAAUCUGAGAGACCUAUUCUGCGCAACUCCAAAAGUCCUGAAAUUUUACAAGAAUUAUUUUGCAAUAUAUAAAAAAUAUUAGGCGAAGAAUAUAUCAAAGGGGACCCACCAGGAGGUCACAAGCCUGGGGGCUCGCCCUACCCCCCUAGGCGCGCCCCUAGGGCUUGUGGACCCCUUGGCAGGUCUUAGGUGCCCACCUUCUGCUAUAUGGAGGGUUUUGACCUUGACAAAAUUAUAAGAGAGCUUUCGGGAUGAAGCGCCGCCAUCUCGAGGCGGAACUUGGGCAGAACCAAUCUAUGGCCCCGGCGGAGCUGUUCUGCCGGGCAAACUUCCCUCCCGGAAGGGGAAAUCGAAGCAAUCGUCAUCACCAAUGAUCCUCUCAUCGAGAGGGGUCAAUCUCCAUCAACAUCUUCACCAGCACCAUCUCCUCUCAAACCCUAGUUCAUCUCUUGUAUCCGAUCUUUGUCUCAAAACCUCAGAUUGGUUCCUGUGGGUUGCUAGUAGUGUUGAUUAUUCCUUGUAGUUGAUGCUAGUUCAUUUAUUCGGUGGAAGAUCAUAUGUUCAUAUCUUUAAUGAUAUUUAUUAUUCCUCUGAUUAUGAACAUGAAUAUGUUUUGUGAGUAGUUACUUUUGUUCCUGAGGACAUGGGAAAACUCUUGUUAUGAGUAAUCAUGUGAAUUUGGUAUUCGUUUGUUAUUUUGAUGAGAUGUAUGUUGUCUUUCCUCUAGUGGUGUUAUGUGAACGUCGACUACAUGAUACUUCACCAUUGUUUGGGCCUAGGGGAAGGCAUUAGGAAGUAAUAAGUAGAUGAUGGGUUGCUAGAGUGACAGAAGCUUAAACCCUAGUUUACGUGUUGCUUCGUAAGGGGCUGAUUUGGAUCCAUAUGUUUCAUGCUAUGGUUAGAUUUAUCUUAAUUCUUCUUUCGUAGUUGUGGAUGCUUGCGAGAGGGGUUAAUCAUAAGUGGGAGGCUUGUCCAAGUAAGGACAGCACCCAAGCACCGGUCCACCCACAUAUCAAAGUAACGAACGCGAAUCAUAUGAGCAUGAUGAAGCCUAACUUGACAAUAAUUCCCAUGUGUCCUCGGGAGUGCUUUGCUUUAUAUAAGAGUUUGUCCAGGCUUUUCCUUUGCUACAAAAAAGGAUUGGGCACCUUGCUGCACUUUUGUUAUUUGUUACCCGUUACGAAUUAUCUUGUCACAAAACUAUCUGUUACCGAUAAUUUCAGUACUUGCAGAGAAUACCUUGCUGAAAACCACUUGUCAUUUGCUUCUGCUCCUCGUUGGAUUCGACACUCUUACUUAUCGAAAGGACUACAAUAGAUCCCGUAUACUUGUGGGUCAUUAAGACACACUCUCCCCCUUGUUGCUAUGCAUCUCCAUGGAUAGAUCUUGCGUGUCUGUAGAUUUUUUUUGUUUUCCAUGCAACAUUUCCCAACAGUGGCAUCCAAGCUAGGUCUAUGCGUAGAUGAUAUGCACGAGUAGAACACAAAUAGUUGUGGGUGGUGAUAGUCAUACUGCUUACCACCAAUGUCUUAUUUUGAUUCGGCGGUAUUGUGGGAUGAAGUGGCCCAGACCAACCUUACAUGUCCACGCACAUGAGACCGGUUCCACCGACUGUCAUGCAACUAGUUUUGCAUAAAGGUGGCUGGCGGGUGUUUGUUUCUCCUACUUUAGUUGAAUCAAAUUUGACUACGGUCGGUCCUUGAAGAAGGUUAAAACAGCAAACUUGAUAAAUCACCAUUGUGGUUUUUGCAUAGUUAAGAACGGUUCUUGCUAGAAGCCCGUAGCAGCCACGUAAAACUUGCAACAACAAAGUAGAGGACGUUUAACUUGUUUUUGCAGGGCAUGUUGUGAUGUGAUAUGGUCAACAUAUGAUGUGAUAUAUGUUGAUGUAUGAGAUGAUCAUGUUUUGUAAUAUCGACAACCGGCAGGAGCCUUAGGGUUGUCUCUUUAUUGUAUGAAAUGCAAGCGCCAUGUAAUUGCUUUACUUUAUCGCUAUGCUUUAGCAAUAGUUGUAGAAGAAUAGUUGGCAAGACGACCCCAACACGACGAUGGAGAUCAAGGUGUCGAGCCGGUGAUGAUGGAGAUCAUGAUGAUGCUUUGGAGAUGAAGAUCAAAAGCACAGGAGGAUGAUGGCCAUAUCAUGUCACAUAUUUUGAUUGCAUGUGAUGUUUAUCCUUUAUGCAUCUUAUUUUGCUUAGAACGGCGGUAGCAUUAUAAGAUAACCCCUUCACUAAAUUUCAAGAUAAAAGUGUUCUUAUCGAGUAUGCACUGUUGUAAGAGCAUAUUUAUCCCUAAGUGGUUUUGGUGAUUGAUGACAGUGCUUUGCAGACUAAUCGUGUGCAUUGAGCAUUUUAGAUAUCUCAUGUCUAGGUACAAGACGAUUCGGUGCCCCUUGGAGCCUAUCGAAGACGGCGGUUCUCUACGUUUCUUUUCGGUGGAUUUGAGUCGUAGGAAAUUCGUACUAUUAAGAGGUGGUCCGCUUCGGAAAGGUUAGGGUGGAAUCAACAUGUACACAUAUGUUCCUUUGCACCACCUUUCCUUCGCUUUGAUGGAGCAUCGUCCGUUUAUCCUUGUCUCUGCGAAAUGAAGGCUGCCAAAUGCUAAAGUGUCUGUGGCAUGCGGUAGUACUGCUCAAGGGAGCAGUAGUACCGCAGGGGCUUGCGUUAGUACCGCUCAAGGGAGCGGUUGUACCGCAGGUCCCAGCGGUAGUACCGCUCCUGGUGAGCGGUAGUACUGCUGCCUCCAGCCCUGAUGCUGACGCAUGGGGAAGUAUGCGCGGAUGUAAUUUUUUACUUCUGCUCCUACGCAGUAGUACCGCUCCCUGUGAGUGGUAGUACCGUGCCGGAUUUUUGCACAGCUCCCACCUUAGUGGAUGUAGCUACGGAAGCAAUUUAUUUCUUUCGUGCUUCUCCAAUGCCAGUUGAGCCCUGCCUUACGAUAGUACCAUAGGGGGGUGCGGUAGUACCGCUCCAGUGGUUCUACCGUUGUUGCCCUGUGCAAUACGUCCUCACCUGGUCACUACCGCACUAGCGGUAGUACCGCACCCUGCAGCGGUAGUACCACAACUAUAUGUAGUAGUACCGCGGCUCUGUGUGGUAGUACCGUGCCGUGCGGACUGAGAGAGGGGAUAACGGUUGGAUCUUUUCCCCUGCUAUAUAAAGGGGGUCUUCUUCCCCAGGAAAACUACCUCUUCCCUCCUUAAGCUCCAUUGUUGCUCAAACAUCCAUUUUCGCCCGAUCUCUCUCCUUAGCCAAUCAAACUUGUUGAUUUUCUAGGGGUUGGUUGAGAAGGCGCCGAUCUAUACUUUCACCAAGAGAAAUUUGAUUCCCCCCACUAAUCUAUUGCGGAUCUUGUUACUCUUGGGUGUUUGAGCACCCUAGACAGUUGAGGUCACCGCGGAGCCAUAUUCCAUUAUGGUGAAGCUUUGUGGUGUCGUUGGGAGCCUCCAAUUAAGUUGUGGAGAUAGCCCCAACCUUGUUUGUAAAGGUUCGGUCGUCGCCUUCAAGGGCACCAAUAGUGGAAUCACGGCAUCUCGCAUUGUGUGAGGGCGUGAGGAGAAAACGGUGGCCCUAGUGGCUUCUUGGGGAGCAUUGUGCCUCCACACCGCUUCAAUGAAGACGUACUUCCUCUCAAAGGGAAGGAACUUUGGUAACACAUCCUCGUCUCCACCGGCUCCACUCUUGGUUAUCUCUUACCUUUACUUGUGCAAGCUUAUAUUGUGUUGUAUCCCUUGCUUGCUUGUGUGCUUGUUGUAGUUGCAUCAUAUAGGUUGCUCACCUAAUUGCACAUCUAGACAACCUAUUUUGAUGCUAAGUUUAAUUUGGUCAAUAAAAACUAAGAUUGCUAGUUGCCAAUUCACCCCCCACCCCUCUAGUCAACCAUAUCGAUCCUUUCAACUAUGGCCAAAGUUCGUCGUCUCGAAGCACCUCGUGAUGAUCGGGUGUGAUAGACUCUACGUUCACAUAUAACGGAUGUAAGACAGUUUUACACAUGCAGCAUACUUGGGUUAAACUUGACGAGCCUAGCAUGUACAGACAUGGUCACGGAACACUGGAGACCGAAAGGUUGAACGUGAGUCAUAUAGUAGAUAUGAUCAACAUAGAGAUGUUCACCAUUGAUGACUACCCCAUCUCACGUGAUGAUCGGACAUGGGUUAGUUGAUUUGGAUCAUGUAUCACUUAGAUAACUUGAGAGAUGUCUAUUUAAGUGGGAGUUCAUUAGUAAUUUGAUUAAUUGAAGUUAAUUUAUCAUGAACUUAGUCUUAUAGUUUUUCAUAUCUAUGUUGUAGAUCAAUGGCCCGAGCUACCGUUCCCCUGAAUUUUAAUGCUUUCCUAGAGAAAACUAAGUUGAAAGAUGAUGGUAGCAACAACACGGACUGGGUCCAUAACUUCAAGAUUAUCGUCGUUGCUGCACAGAAAAAUUAUGUCCUUGAUGCACCGCUAUAUGACACACAUGCUGCAGGAGCUACUGUAGAUGUUAUGAACGUCUAGCAGGCUCGAUCUAAUCACUACUCGAUAGUUCAGUGUGCCAUGCUUUACGAUUUAGAACCGGGACUUCAAAGAUGUUUUGAACGUCAUAGAGCAUAUGAGAUGUUCCAAGAGUUGAAGUUAAUAUUUCAAGCAAAUACCCGGGUUGAGAGAUAUGAAGUCUCCAACAAGUUCUACAACUGCAAGAUGGAGGACAACAGUUCUAUUAGUGAACACAUACUCAAAAAAUUUGGGUAUCAUAACCACUUGACUCAGCUGGGAGUUGAUCUUCCAGUUGAUAGUGUUAUUGACAGAGUUCUUCAGUCACUGCCACCAAGCUACAAAGGCUUCAUGAUGAACUAUAAUAUGCAAGGGAUCAAUAAACGAUUCCUGGGCUCUUCGCAAUGCCUUAAGGCCGCAGAGGUAGAAAUCAAGAAGGAGCAAGUGUUGAUGGUUAACAAGACCACUAGUUUCAAGAAAAAGGGCAAGGGAAAGAAAGGGAACUUCAAGAAGAAUGCCAAUCAAGUUGCCACUCCCGGGAAGAAGCCCAAAGCUGGACCCAAUCCUGAAACUCGGUGCUUCUACUUCAAAGGGAAUGGUCACUGGAAGUGGAACUACCCCCAAAUACUUGGCGGAUAAGAAGGAUGGCAAAGGGAACAAAGGUAUAUUUGAUAUACAUGUUAUUGAUGUGUACCUUACUAAUGCUCGUAGUAGCGCCUGGUAUUUGAUACUGGUUCGCUUGCUCAUAUUUGUAACUCAAAACAGGAGCUGGGGAAUAAACAAAGAUUGGCAAAGGACAAGGUGACGCUGCGCGCCGGGAAUUGUUCCAAGGUCGAUGUGAUCGCCGUCGGUGCGCUACCUCUACAUCUACCUUCAGGAUUAGUUUUAGACCUCAAUAAUUGUUAUUUGUGCCAGCGUUGAGCAUGAAAAUUAUAUCUGGAUCUUGUUUAUUGCGAGACAGAUAUUCAUUUAAAUUAGAGAAUACUGGUUGUUCUAUUUAUAUGAGUAAUAUCUUUUAUGGUCAUGCACCCUUGAUGAAUGGUCUAUUUUUUUGAAUCUCGAUCGUAGUGAUACACAUAUUCAUAAUAUUGAUGCCAUAAUAUCGACCAGAGUGGUACGGUAAUCCUAUUCUGAAAGUCAUGUUAUUAGACCAAGGCGAACCUACGAACUAUGAAGAAGUUAUGAUGAGCCCAGAUUCCGAUAAAUGGCUUGAGGCCAUGAAAUCUAAGAUAGGAUCCAUGUAUGAGAACAAAGUAUGGACUUUGGUGGACUUGUCCGAUGAUCAGCAAGCCAUAGAAAAUAAAUGGAUCUUCAAGAAGAAGACUAACGCUGAUGGUAAUGUUACUAUCUACGAAGCUCGACUUGUUGCAAAAGGUUUUCGACAAGUUCAAGGAGUUGACUACGAUGAGACUUUCUCACCCGUAGAGAUGCUUAUGUCUGUCUGAAUCAUGCAAUUGCCAUAUUUUAUGAUUAUGAAAUCUGGCAAAUGGACGUCAAAAUUGCAUUCCUCAAUGGAUUUAUUAAAGAAGAGUUGUAUAUGAUGCAACCAGAAAGUUUUGUUGAUCCUAAAGGUGUUGACAAAGUGUGCAAGCUCCAGCGAUCCAUCUAUGGACUGGUGCAAGCAUCUCGGAGUUGGAAUAUAUGCUUUGAUGAGGUGAUCAAAGCAUAUGGUUUUAUACAAACUUACAGUGAAGCAUGUAUUUAUAACAAAGUGAGUGGGAGCUCUGUAGCAUUUCUGAUAUUAUAUGUGGAUGACAUAUUGUUGAUUGGAAAUGAUAUAGAAUUUCAGGAUAGCAUAAAAGGAUACUUGAAUAAAAAAAAUCAAUGAAAGACCUCGAUGAAACUGCUUAUAUAUUGGGCAUCUAUACCUACUAAUAAAGGAAAUAGGUACUCUUAGUCCCUCAUGCUAUUUUAUAGAAAAAACCCUGAUGUUUCUGACAUUAAACUCGCAGUACAUAUCAAAUGUUCUUUUUAAAAUACUCAUAUCUUCUAAAUCGUAACUCCAAAUUUAGCAUGUUAUAUAUGGAAUUUGAUUAGAAAAAUAUAUAAAAUAUGAAUGUGAUGUUAUUUUACCUGUUAACCAUUUAAAAAAUGCUAUCUAGGGUGCAAUCUUAAUCAACAGUGCAUUAUCCGUCUUUCUUUCAUAUCGGUGCUAAUCCGGGUUGGUACUGUUCCGGAUUGUGGAUGAACAUCUCAGCAAAAUUAGGAUUGGAGACAAAAUUGAAGAUCACUUGCUCGUUUCUUUCUACGUAUUAAAUCUACACGCAAGACUUGUUUAAAUAGAGGACACGUGAAAUCUUGAACUUACGCUUUUGUAGGCAAAGACCAUCUUUGUUGGGAUGUAGCUACAAAUACUCAGAUUAUAGACCAUUGUUUGUAAAUUAAGAGCAUGUGGUAUUAUUUUCUCCCGUUGCAACGCAUGGGCCCUUUUGCUAGUCAAGAUCUAUAGAGAUAGAUCGAGACGCUUAAUAGGACUUUCACAAAGCACAUACCUUGAUAGAGUUUUGAAGAAGUUCAAAAUGGAUCAGUCAAAGAAAGGGUUCUUGCCUGUGUUACAAGGUGUGAAGUUGAGUCAGACUCAAAGCCCAACCACUGUAGAAGAUAGAGAGAAAAUGAAAGUCAUUCCAUAUGCCUUAGCCAUAGGUUCUAUCAUGUAUGCUAUGCUGUGUACCAGACCUGAUGUGUGCCUUGCCAUAAGUUUGGCAGGGAGGUACCAAAGUAAUCCAGGAGUGGAUCACUGGACAGCGGUCAAGAUCUUCCUGAAGUAUCUGAAAAGGACCAAGGAUCUGUUUCUCGUUUAUGGAGGUGACGAAGAGCUCGUCGUAAAUGGUUAUGUCGAUGCUAGCUUCGACGCUGAACCGGAUGACUCUAAUUCAUAAACCAGAUACGUAUUUAUAUUGAAUGGUCGAGCUGUCGGUUGGUACAGUUCCAAGAAGAGCAUCGAGGAGGGAUCUACGUGUGAAGCGGAGUACAUAGCUGCUUCAGAAGCAGCGCAUGAAGGAGUCUGGAUGAAGGAGUUCAUAUCCGAUCUGGGUGUAACACCCAGUGCAUCGGGUCCAAUGAAAAUCUUUUGUGACAACACUGGAGCAAUUGCCUUGGCAAAGGAAUCCAGGUUUCACAAGAGAACCAAACACAUCAAGAGACACUUCAACUCCAUUCGUGGAAAAGUCAAGGAUGGAGACAUAGGGAUUUGCAAAAUACAUACGGAUCUGAAUAUAGCAACCCAUUGACUAAGCCUCUUCCGCGAGCAAAACACGAUCUACACCAAGACUCCGUGGGUGUUAGAUUCAUUACAAUGUAAUAUAGAUUAUUGACUCUAAUGCAAGUGGGAGACUGAAGGAAAUAUGCCCUAGAGGCAAUAAUAAAUUUGUUAUUUUAUAUUUCCUUAUUCAUGAUAAAUGUUUAUUAUUCAUGCUAGAAUUGUAUUGAUCGGAAACUUAAAUACAUGUGUGAAUACAUAAACAAAUACCGUGUCCCUAGAAACCCUCUACUAGACUAGCUCGUUGGUCAAAGAUGGUUAAGGUUUCCUAACCAUAGAUAUGUGUUGUCAUUUGAUAACGGGAUCACAUCAUUAGGAGAAUGAUGUGAUGGACAAGACCCAUCCUUUAGCUUAGCAUAUUGAUCAUUCAGUUUAUUUCUACUGCUUUCUUAAUGUCAAAUACAUAUUCCUUCGACUAUGAUAUUAUGCAACUCUCGGAUACCAAAGGAAUACCUUGUGUGCUAUUAAACAUCACAACGUAACUGGGUGAUCAUAAAGAUGCUCUACUGGUACCUUCGAAGGUGUUUGUUGAGUUGGCAUAGAUCAAGAUUAGGAUUUGUCACUUCGAGUAUCAGAGAGGUAUCUCUGGGCCCUCUUGGUAAUACACAUCACAAGAAGCCUUGCCAGCAAAGUGACUAAUGAGUUAGUUGCAAGAUGAUGUAUUACGGAACGAGUAAAGAGACUCUCCGGUGACGAUAUUGAACUAGGUAUGAAGAUACCGAUGAUCGAAUAUCGGGAAAGUAACAUACCGAUGGACAAAGGGAAUUACGUGUGUUGUCAUAAGGUUCGGCCGAUAAAGAUCUUCGUAGAAUAUGUAGGAGCCAAUAUGAGCAUCCAGGUUCCGCUAUUGGUUAUUGACCGGAGAGGUGUCUCGGUCAUGUCUACAUAGUUCUCGAACACGUAGGGUCCGCACGCUUAACAUUCGUUGAUGAUAUAGUGUUAUAUGAGUUAUAUGAUUUGGUGACCGAAUGUUGUUCGGAGUCUCGUAUGAGAUCACAGACAUGAGGAGGAACUCCGAAAUGGUCCAGAGGUAAAGAUUGAUAUACAUAACGAUAAUAUUCGGACUCCGAAAGAGUUUCGGAGUGCACCGGGUAGUUAUCGGAUCACCGGAAGGGGUUCCGGACACCCCCGGAAGUAUAUGGGCCAUAUGGGCCAAAAGUGGGGAGCACACCAGCCCACAAGGGGUUGGCGCGCCCCUCCUAUGGUAGCUGGCCUAGGCGAGGAAAGGAAAGGUGGGAUUCGGCCUCCCCCUUCCUUUNNNNNNNNNNNNNNNNNNNNNNNNNNNNNNNNNNNNNNNNNNNNNNNNNNNNNNNNNNNNNNNNNNNNNNNNNNNNNNNNNNNNNNNNNNNNNNNNNNNNNNNNNNNNNNNNNNNNNNNNNNNNNNNNNNNNNNNNNNNNNNNNNNNNNNNNNNNNNNNNNNNNNNNNNNAUGGAAGGGGGGUGCGGCCAAGGGCAGGAGCCCAAGUAGGAUUCGGUCCUACUUGGGGCACCUCCUGGCCUCUCCCCUCUCCUCCCCCACCUAUAUAUAUAUGUGGGAGGGGGGCGCCACAUGUAACCACGACAAUUGCUUAGCCAUGUGCGGUGUCCCCCUCCACAGUUUAGUCCCUCGGUCAUAUAUUCAUAGUGCUUAGGCGAAGUCCUGCUGAGAUAGCUUCACCAUCACCGUCACCACGCCGUCCUGUUGCCGGAACUCAUCCACUACUUUGUCGUCUUGCUGGAUCAAGAAGGCGAGGAUGUCACCGAGCUGAACGUGUGCUGAACGCGUAGGUGUCGUACGUUCGGUACUCGAUAGGUUGGAUCGCGAAGAAGUUCGACGACAUGAAUCGCUUUAACAAACGCUUUCGCUUACGGUCUACGAGGGUACUUGACACACUUCCCCUUUCGUUGCUAUGCAUCUUCAUGGAUAGAUCUUAUUUGUGCGUAGAUUUUUUUUUGUUUUCCAUGCAACGUUUCCCAACAUGGGCCCACUUGCAGUGCAGGGACAGACUACAUGAAGAAUGUGCGUCUCAAUGAUCAUCGGGUCCCACGUGUCAGUGCACAACUUGUGAAAUAAACAAAAAACCAUUGACCUGUGGGCCGCGAAGGACAUGCGCCAACAAACUCCCCCAUGUAAGUUUGUUGUUUACUACGCACUACAAAACUUUAUGUACUACGCAAUUAGUGCACCCAUUUUCCACAUGUUAGUUUUUUUUUAUUUCCUCUAAAAAAAGUUGUUUUUGUUUUAUUAAAAAUUACAAAAUAUUCACGUAGUAUAUGAAGUGUUCAUGCUUUUAGGAAAUGUAUUUCUAGUUGUAAACAGUGUUCAUGUGUUUUAAUAAAGUAUAUGUGUUUGUUAAAAGAUAUAUUUUCAAAUAGACAUAAAUUUUAAAAUAUGCUUGAAAAAAUAAAUAAUAACCUGGUUUUCCCCUAGGAUUUUAUACAUUCUUACAUUUAAAUUAACAAUUUAUCAACUGUACAUACAUUUGUCUAGUUAAAAAACAUUUUAAUUACAUGACUUUUUAAUAAUACAUAAAUAUUUUUUUGAAUUACAUUAACAUGUUUUAAAACAUUUUUAUGCAUAUUAUUUGUAAGAUAAGAAUAUUCUAGAUUUAUUUUUAUUGCUAUUACAAUAAUUUACAUAAGUUUUAGAAUUACUAAAAAUGAAAAAGAGACUCAUACAUCGAAGGGGCACGUAAAAAAAGAAAAUAUAACUAAUAUUUUUAAAAAGGGCCACGUGAUAUUUAAAAAAUGAAUAUUUUGAAAAUUAGAUUAACAUUUCAAAAAUGUAUAACUUUUAGAAAUUGUAAAAUUAUUUUAUUAUAUAUGUGAAUGCUUACGAAUAUUAUGAAACCAUUUCAUUAAUAUUUACUAUUAUUUUUAAUUUUGUGAAUAUUGAAAAUGUCAUUAACUUUUUUAGGGGUCAUCAACUAUUUAUUUAAUAUGGUGACUACAGUUUGAAUAUUUUUCUGAAAAACGAAAAAUAACUAAAUAUGGAAAAUUGGGCGCACUGAUUGCGGUCCAUUUAACUCCGCUGUCAGGCCAGGUACAUAAAGGUUAGUGAUGCGUAAUAGUCAACUAAUUUUCUUUGGUCAAAUAGUUAGCGCAGGUCCUUUGCAGUGUACAGGUAGCAAGUUCAAAUCCCAGUUGUGCUUGAUUUUUAUUUAUUUCGGUUGUGCACAGACAGGUGGGACCCGAUUGUCAUUUAGACAAACUCUUUCCAUGUCAGUCUGUCUCGGCCAUGCAAGUGGGCCCAAUGCCACGUUGGCAUGUCUAGUCAGCAAUACAUACAUAUCUGGAUGUGAUUUGGACCGCAUUUGCAUCAUACUGUCAAGUUAUAGAACCAGUUCGGUGUAUUUUUCAAGUUUAAGCAUCAAAGUGAACAUCGAUGGCAAGUUUAGGCACCACUGGUGUUAUUACCUCACUUAAAUUCAACGGUCAAAGUGGAGGUCGAGCCAACCCUUCCUCGUCAGGCCACCCUCGGCGAGAGCUGGGUCGGGGCCGGUGUCGUCGUCGUCGUCGGGGAAGACGCUCUACCACUCCUCGUCGACGUCGAUCUCCUACUCGCCGUCCUUCUUGUCGCCCUCCUCACCGCCUUCCACCUCGUCGUCGGAGAUGACGAUGACUUCCCCGUCAUUGACAGCGAAUAUCGUCCGCUCCACCUCCACGAGCUCCGAGUGCUGUCGGGGAGGUCCUCCAUGUACGCCUCGUCGGCAGCCUCUGCCUCGAGGCGCUCCCUCGCCUCUCGGUCCUCCUGCGUCAUCGUCGCGCUCACCACCCCCGGCUCCGGCGGAACGAAGUGGACCGGCGCCAUCCCGAGCGAGAAGUUUAGCCGGGCGGCGGCGCCGUGGUACCGAACUUGCUACCGGUCGUACUCCAUGGCCACGAACUCGGCCGUGUGGAACUACCCGACCCACAUCCUCUUGUGGGUCUCUCGGUCGGUGAUCUCCGCCACCCACGUCCCCCACGAGUGUUGCCGGACGCCGUGGUAGGUCCUCGUUGGCGGUUGCGGCAGAGGGCUCCGGGAAAUCGGCGAACCGGGUGGGGCGGGCGGAUCAGGCGAGCGGCGGCGGCUCGAGGAUGCGCCGGCGGACGACGACCCUCGGGUAUGGCAGCACGGAUCCACGUUGCAGAUCGGCGACGGGGACAUACAACCACCUCAUCCGACCAUUGGGAGGAGAAGGGGCGGGGGACACGCCUGUGGCUGAGCGAAGGGGAGAAGAGGAGGCAGAGGAGAGGAAGAGAGAAGGAGAGAAGUUUUACUCGGCCGCCAAGCGUUAGGAAGAUUUGCGGCGGUCAAGUAAUUUUUUUUACUCGACUAAUGUGUAUUGAGGAUCGGUUAGGUCCCGAUAGAGAAGUACUGCAUUUAAAAUAGAAAGAAAAAGGGAAAAGACAAAAGUAGUCAUAGGACAUCUAGAUGUGAUUUAGCAAAACUGUUUAAAUAAAAACAUGUCCUAUAUUCUCAAUAUCUUACUACAUUAUAAACAAGGAUCAGUCAAGACUCGUUAUGUCCUAAUCCUAUAUUCCUUUGAUCUUGCAUAGAGAUUCAUAUAGAGUAUAUAAUUUCAAUUGGGACACAUUUCAUUCAGAAUAUAAACAGUAUAACAAAUAAAUUAGGAAUAAAUGAGCAAAAUAAAGUAAUAGGGCAUUUCAAAUGGAUGAUAAUACUUGGUUGCUUACAGCUCUACUUGAGUAGAAACUAACAUAGAAUUUCAGUAACAAACUCCAGCCGAUAAAUACUCAUGUUCACGCAAAAUAUCAUCAACUACGAACUCAAGAAAGCUGAAAGUUGUGGGUAGUUUUGUCCAACUAAUGAAAGACAUCUUAAGCAGAGGCAGCAGGAGCCUUGGUAGCAGCAGAAAGCUUUGACCUCCUCUUGGCCAUGCUCUCGCUCCGGCGGUCUCUUUGCUCCUUCAGCCUCUGCGCAAGCAGCUUCUGGUACUCUGCAGCCUCUGACUUCUUCUUCGCGAUCCUCUUCUUCUUGUCGGCGAUUCUCGCGCGCUUCCUCUGGAGGGUCAACGGUGUCACAAGACGCUGGAUCUUGGGAGCCUUGCUGACGGUCUUGCCUGGAAAUAACAAACAAUAUUGUCUGCGUAAGAAACAAGUAAAUUAAAGACACAAUGUGAAUUGUAGAUUAAGUUUUUCGUUAGCAGGCUCAAGACAAGCAUUAUGAUAUUAAGACUUAAAAAUUUCUUCAAGAACAAUGGAAGAGGGUAAAAUAACACAAUAUAAUUCAUCAGUAAGCGAACAAAUCAAGGACAGCUCACCCUUCUUGUUUGUGAAGGACCUGCGGUAUGUGUUGACAUACUGGCGGACAUCAUCAUCCUUGCCAAGGUUGAAGAGCUUCUUGAUCUUGGAAGCCCUCUUGGGUCCCCUCAUCCUGGGCUUCUCAGUGUCGGUCAGGCCUGGCAGAUCAUUCUUGCCCUUCUUGACAAUCACCAAGUUGAUAACAGAUAGGUCUUGGCUGACAAUGCAACCACGGACAGACUUCCUCCGGCGCUCACCAACACGCCUGCCAUGUCCACGGAAGCAAGAUGUGCCUACAGAAGUGAGGCAAAAGAAAUACAGGUAAGAAUUCUAAUUUAAUACCGAGAAAAUGUCUGCAAGAAGUACAAUGAAAAUAAAGUAAUACCCCUGUGAAGCAGAAGGCGAACACGCCCAGGAGUUAGCACUCCUUGCUUCAUUGGGAAACCCUGCUUAUCACAGCCACCCAUGAUCUUGAAAAUAUAGCCCUCGAAUUCCUGAGAAACAGAAAAUGAUAGAUAUCUUUAAUCAAAACUACUAAAAUAUCAGCUGCAGGUUAAGUGUGAUGAAAUCACUUGCCAGUAGAUUACCUCACCCAGAAGAUCACCAACUACCUCCUGGGAGAUCCUCUUGUCAUAAAGGUUCCGCCUGUAGUUAUAUUAAACUAUUAGAUAUCCAUAUCAAAAAAACAGAGGGUAAACUCCCAACUGUUAUUAUUUUGACAAACAACAGACUAAAUUCCUACUACUAUAUUGAUCGUUGACUACUAAAAGCCUCAACUCAACAUUGUUCAUGGCAUCACAGGGUACAUAGUUAAAUAUGUCACCCAAAAAUUAUCAGUACUGAACAUCACAAGAAGUUGAAACUAUUCGUUGUUAAUCGAUACUAUGCUACAGAGAAAAUCAUCAGACAUAACUAGCUGCACCACAGACAAGUAGCAAUUACAUGAAUUUGGGGGAUGGGUGUAGUUUCUAUGCUUAGCCCUCUGCUUUGCACUAAUGCUAGCUCAGAAUACACAUACAAACAAAAUAGUGAAUGCUGUGACAUAGUGUAGUUAUCGAAACUGUUACAAGAACACCGACCUCAACGCUGACAGAACGUCCAUUCUAGUUCUCUACAACAGCAAAAGCCUCUAAUCAUGAUUCUAGUUCUCUAAAACAGCAAAAGUUCUCAACAAGAUUCCAAUCGCACCAUGACAUUUAUAAGAGCAGCAAUCACAAAUAAUAGUUCCGACAAACCCAGUCUAACAAUGUAACAGAACAGAUCCUCCACAGUCAACACGCCAAGUGUUAGAUCCACAGGAUAACAGAUUUAACGAGUCCACCAUACUAAUACAGGCCGACCACAAGGAUCCAAACUGAAUAGCAACACAAUUUCGAGAGGAAGUGUGGUGACUAGACUACACGACGCGGGUCUAAAGAAAGAAUGUGGGGCUGAGAAACACUCACAGCUUCAUGUCGUCAUCGAUCUCCACCUUCUUCUGGCACCCCGUGGUGGGGUUCGCGAUGUUCAACUGAAACCGACGCAAGAACCACACGAAUCAGGCGCCAGCACAAACGCAGAUCACAUCGGAGCACGACGGGGGAUGAGGAGAAGGUGCGUACCUUCAUGGUGAAGUUGCGGCGCAAGCUCGCGGGCCGCGAGCUGGGGGGCGGUGGGGCGGCGGCGGCGGCGGCGCGGGCGCUAGGGUUUGGGGGCGAGGAUGCGUGCGUGGGGAAGAUGUGAUGAGCUUAUAAAGGUAGGAGGCGUCGGGGAGAAGUGGAGUGGGCCGUUAGGGUCCAGCCUGCGGGUGCUCGGUUGAUCUGGGCCAUUUUCAGCGCGGGAGGGGUUUAGUUGGAGAAGAUUAAACCGGCCUAGAGUGUAUAAUGGGCCUAUGCUGUUGUCGCUAAACAAAAAACAUAAAUAAAGAAGCUCACAUUAUUACAGACCAAUAAAACCUAGUAGCUGUUUGUAUAAAAAAAGGCUAGCUGUUGUCGCUCAAAAAACAUAAAUAAAGAAGCACCCUAAAAAAAGAGAGCAACUAAUUAACGAGCGCUCCUUCGGGAGCCUCGCAACGAUCAGCGUCACUUGGCGCGCUCUCAGCCAUUCGCCACGUGUCGCACCCUGGGCGCUCCCUCCGGAAUUUUUUUUAUUUUUCCACACGCGUUUUUGGCUUUUUAAACAGUUCUUUUUUGGGGGUUCGACGUUUUGGUUUUCCAUCGGUCUUCUCUAGUUUUUCGACCAAAUUUUUUUUCAAAAAAAAUAUAUUGCGAGAGUCACGGUUUUGCUUCCGCGAGAGGCAUGGUUUUACUUUCACGAGUCAGGGCUGUGCCUCUCGAAAACGGAAAAAAAUGCGUUUUCUGUUGUUUUUUCUUUCGCGAGAGUCACGGUUUUGCUUCCGCGAGAGGCACGGUUGUGCUUUCGCGAGUCACGGCCGUGCCUCUCGGAAACGAAAAAAAACGUGUUUUCUAGUUUUUUUUUUCUCGAGAGUCACGGCUUUGCUUCUGCCAGAGGCGCGGGUGUGCUUUCGCGAGAGUUAUGAUUUCGUCAGAGGCACGGGCGUGCCUCUUUCAGAAGGGAAAAACCCGUGCUACCGGUUCGGUUAUUUCGUCUGUUUUUUUAUGAAAAAAAGUUCGUCAAAAUCUAUCAACAUGGGAUCUAGUUUUGAAGAUCUCGACGCGAGGAAUCCAACGGCGAAAGCGGUUAAAGAUUUGGACGCACGGUUUUACUAAAUAAAACAUUUUGAAUAAACGGAUCUACGAAAAAAAGGAAAAUUUUCAGGUUGCAACAAAUGGCGCACAUGCAGCACGCCACUUGUUGCAACCGGAAAAGUUGGAGUGAUCUUCGCAACGAGUACUUCUUAACUAGUGAUUUCACCUAAAAAACAUAAAUAAAGAAGCACUCCUAAAAAACAUAAAUAAAGAAGCUCGCUUAAAAAAACAUUUGUCUCAAAAGAAACUUUAAAAAAUAAAUAAAUAAAGUGAUCUCAACAACAACAAAAACAUAAAAGAAGCUCAUGAUUCUCAUAAGGAAAAAACGUAAAGAAGCUCAAGUUUACGACAACAACAAAGCCUUUAGUUCCAAACAAGUUGGGGGAGGCUAGAGGUGAAACUCAUAGGAUCUUACGAUCAACUCAUGGUUCGGUCACAUGGAUAACAAGUUUCAACGCAUUCCUGUCCAUAGCUAGUUCUUUUAUGAUAGUCCAAUCCUUCAGAUCUCUCUUCACGGACUCCUCCCAUGUCAAAUUCGGUCUACCCCGACCUCUCUUAACAUUCUUCGCACGCUUUAGCCAUCUGUUAUGCGUUGGAGGUUUUGGAUGCCUGCGCUGAAUAUGCUCAAACCAUCUCAGACGAUGUUGAACAAGCUUCUUUUCAAUUUCUACUCUACUCAAGUUUUUCAAAAGAAAAAAAACUACUCUGCUUGGUCCGGAGAGGUGUGGUUCUGUUUUACUUUUGGUUUGGAACAUGAAAUACUCUAGUUACCCUAAAAAAAUUGAACAUUCUAGCUACUCUAAAAAAAGGAGAAAUACUCAAAUACUGGUUCUUUUAAUUGCAAUACUAACUAUUUACUCCCUCCGUUCCUAAAUGUAAGUCUUUGUAGAGAUUCCACUAUGAACCACAUAUGGAUGUAUAUAGAUGCAUUUUAAGUUUAGAUUCAUUCAUUUUGCUCCGUAUAUAGUCCAUCUAAUGGAAUCCCUACAAAGACUUAUAUUUAGGAACGGAGGGAAUAGAAUAGUACAAACCCCUGUAAAAAUAGCAUCAAUACAACAUCAGGUGAGAUCGUAAUAAAAAAGUAGCAUAGGAUGAACACACGAUGGGUCAACAAUUAGGACGAUCCCUCCAACUGCUGCCUGCAAAAAAAUAGUAACAAAUAUAUAAACUGCCGAAGCGUAAAGAGAAUCAGAUCACCAGGAAUCCUACUGAUGACACCAAACACAUAUGGAAGUAUAUAGUUAUACUUAUACUUUAUCCACAGCAUCACUACGAACAACGGUUACAGAAACACAUGUAAUCAUACAACAGCACACCGCAACCCUCUGCAACAGACGACACACCAGAAGGAUGAACACAUUACAAACACAAAGCCACACCACCAAGGGGAACCACACCUGCCCGUCAC
rnacentral:lncRNA from 1 species